AAAUGUUUAAGCAACUAGGUCUCGGGAAACCCAAACAGACUAGAAUGAACAUUCAAUUAGCAGAUAAAACUAUAAGAUUCCUCAGAGGUAUUAUUGAAGAUGUGCUAGUCAAAAUCGAUAAAUUUAUAUUUUCCGUUGACUUUACUAUUCUAGACAUAGAAGAGGACAGCAACACUCCCUUAAUCCUAGGAAGACCCUUUUUAGCAACAGCUAAAACCAUCAUUGAUAUUUGCACAGGUGAACUCACACUCCGGGUGGGAGACGAAACAAUCACCCUUCAAGCUCGCAAUUCUGGCAACACAUCAGGGAUUGAAGGUAAUUAUUUAAACCAUCCUACUAAAACUAACUGUAUGAUGCAACCUACUUUGCAGAAAAUGAGUCUGAAGGAAGCACACCAGUCAUUCUCAAGCAAUAGUAGAGGACCUGUUCGUGAAGAUCAAAGACUACAAAUCAAGGAACUCGAUGAAUGGCUAACACACAAGCCAAGAACACCCGACAAAUCGAAACUACGCCAAAACGAGCCCGAUACCUCUCCAAAUCAACUUAAGGUUGGUGAUAAGGUCUUAUUAGAUGCCGCGGAUCCCCAUAUUGUCACUACUACACCGAAUGAGGAAAUCCCUCUUACGGUAUUCAGUAUUUUUCCAUUCGGUACGGUAGAGGUGAGUCAUCCCAAGUUCAGUACUUUUAAGGUAAACAACACCCGAUGAAAACCCUAUUUUGAUAAGAUUGAUAGCAGGAAUGAGGAGUAUAAACUCCUCAAACCACCAUGAUUAUUCAAUGGAGAGGUAAGUCAAGCUUAGACUAUAAAUAAACGCUUUUUUGAGAGGCAACUCGAGCACUAACAAUAGUAAUUUUUUUUAAAUUUUCGUAUUUAACUCCUAACUUACUAGUAGAAAUCUUGAAUACAGGUGUUUCUGUAGAGGCACGGCCAAGCACACGGGCGUGUGUAAGGCCAUGUGAAAACAGGGCAAAAGGUUUCCCCAACAUGGGCUACGAUUAAACGCCACGACCAUGCGAUAUGGCCAUGGUCAAGCCUGCCAAAACAACACGGGCGUGCGACACGCCCUUGUGGAAGACCCGUGAUUGAAACUGAGAAACCAGCACAGGCGUGAGACACACCUGUGUCUACCACCCGUGGUCGAACCUGUUAAAUUAACAUGUGUGUGGGGCUUGUAUACACGGGCGUGGGAGAAGUGAACGAUGCUAGACACGGCUAUGCGACACGGCCGUGUUCACCAAUACGCCUGAGGUACACGGGCAUGUGUCAAAUUUCAGACGCACCAAAAUAGUACAAAUGCGAAACACACAGGCUAAAAUUGGGGCACACGGUCAUGUCCCAUGGCCGUGUGUCCCAAAAUCUAUAAAGAGGCUAAACUAUUCAUUGUCUUCCCCACACAAAAACCCUAACCCUAGCCACUGCAAGUCCACACGGCCUCCUUACCACGCCCGUGCGCCGCUUCUCACUCCAUUUUUGAAGCCAAUCUCUCUCCCUUAGUGUUUGUUCACUCUUUUCACCUCUAUUCUACUUAUUUUAAAUGCUUAUUCUUAAAAUAAUUGUUAUUUUUAUCAUACUAUGUUCAUUUUGUUCAUUAUUUCCUACAAUAUUAGAUUAUUUAUCAUGCAUUUUAUGUUAAUGUAGGUUGUUAGGAAAGCUUCAUUCCUUUGUCAUUCACAUGCCAUUAUUAUGCUCGUCCUCAUAAUGUCACGAAAUUAUGCUAUCAAAAAGAAUUUUGUUGAUUGAGUUUAGUUCAUAUUUUGGCUGAAAUUAGUAGUUUAAAUUCAUGGCUUUCCAAAUUCAUGUAUUUACGAUUAUUCUUCUUUACAAAUUAUAGGUAUACGAUGUCGUUUUCACGAGGAAAGAAAUCCACUAUCACCGCUUCAAAGAAAAGAAAAUGAGCAUUGUCUUCCUCGGGUCCUACAAAAAAAAUUCGUCACUCUUUCCUCCAAUUCCCCAACGGGCCCCAAGAAGAACUAUUUCAAAUACUAUGGGCCCGACCUUUAGGAGCGGGCCAUUGCAUUGACUGGGCUGUUGUCGAACAAGUCUAGUUGGCUAACACGAUCCGGGCUCUUCUUACCAUUGACCCUUGGGAGCUGUUUUUCAGGAUUAUCAAGCUGACAUAUGGAACCAUGCUCAACGUUCCAUCUUCAAACCAUAAUGACAAGGUACGAUGAUCCCGAAAUGGUUCAAUUUCGCCUAGGCGAAUUAGUCCGCCAGCUAAGUGUCCCAGAUUUUGGUGUUGCACUAGGCUUAUUUACGAAGGAGUUUAGGGAGGAGAAUUAACUACAUGCUCUCAAUCGCCACAUACAUUUCUCUCUCUCGAAGUGCUGGCACACUUUGGCCCCUAGCACAGCCUCGUACAAUCUUAGCCAGUCUAAGGCAUUAGUUCUUUCACCAUCCCUGAGGUACUUACACGCUAUUUUAGCUCACACGAUUACAGGGAGGUGUGAGAGCAUUGGUGUCGUCAACACCCAUGACGUCUACUUCUUAUGGUGCAUGUCGCAAGGCACGUCAUCGACCUAGCCUAUUUCAUCGCCCUUGCAAUUCAGCACCAGACGGAGCGGCAUCAGAAGGGGGUAAUCUCCAUUGGCCCCUACGUGACUCGACUGGCGUGACACUUCGGGCUCUUCAACACCCCGACCUAAGAAUCAUCCCUCACCCUCAUCGGCCAGAUGUCUCCACAAGGCAUCUCGAGCAUGCUUAGCAUGGAUGAUAGAGAGGCGCCGAGGAACCUACCCUCCCCAGUAUCGUCUCACUCAAUCUACUGAGGAGGAGGCUUACAAGGACAUUACUGAUGAUGUCCCCCCACAGCAUGAGGACCCACCGACUCAGCCACCACCACCCUCUCGUCCAGUUCAUGUAGCGGCUUCAUAUGCUAAUAUCUCUGAGUGCCUCACUCGAUUCGAGUAGCAGUGAUUUCAACGAUUUGACAAUAUUGAUGCUACUCUACAGCAGAUUUGUUAGCACAUCCACAUCUCAUCGCCAGUCCCACCUCGCGAACCAUCCAGCGAUGAAGAUGUUUAGAAACAUUUAUUUAUUAUUUUAUGUUUUUAAUUUUUAUUGAAACUACUUUUUAUUUUUAUUGUUUAUUUUUAGUAUAUUUUAGAAUUUUAUUUUUAAUUAUCAAUUUUGGUUUUUCUUUAUGAGUAAUUAUUCUUCCUAAUAUCCCCGAAAAAGUUCUUGAUUUUAUCACAGUUAUAUAGAGCUCUUAAGCUCAUCAUUGCAUAGGAACUACAACUCCACCGGGAAAGGUUCUCCACGACUGCUGGAAACACAAAAUUUAUAUACUUUUUCAUACCCUUUUUAACUUAAAACCAGGCUAUUCCAGUUAAAUUCUUGCCAAAAAAUAAUUAAUUAUUAUAAAAUAAUUAAAUUAUGUUAAAACUAUGAACAUUAUGAAUUUUAAUUAAUUUUAUAGUUAAUUUUGAUUAAAUUUGGUUAUUUUUGAUAGAAUUACACAAUUGGAGAAAAAGGGCCCGAUGAACACUACAAGAAGAACAAAAUCGAGAGUAAUUUGAAGUAUCGAGGCCAAUUAAUUUCCAGGCCAAUACGGUCCAGAAAUGUGUAUUAAUUCAUAAUUAAAUUAAUUUUAAUUUAUUUCCUAUUUAAUUUAGGUUAAAUGAAUUAAUUUUAAUUAAUUAUGAAGAAAGGGCCUAGUGAACCGCACUGGUUGAACCGAAUGGAGUGAGCCGAACCAGCCACUAAUUGGGCUGACCAGAACUGUCCAUUGGUUGACCCAAAUCAGAAAAUUAGCUGAUAAAAUAUGCUUGCAAAAAGGCCCUUGAAAAACCUCCAAAUUACGUUCAAACCCCACCUUUAUUUUAGGCUUUGUAAAUUUGCCCCAGCCUAUUUUUAGCAAGGUUGAAAGCUUCAACCUUGCCAUGUGUGUGGCCGGCCAUGGGAGGGCUCUCUUGGCUGCUGAAUUUGCUACUUCUAGCAGCCCUCUUUAGCUAUAAAAGCCACCCUAUGCUGCCCAUUUCAAAGCAUCCCUCAACAUCCCUCAUUCCACAACAUUCUCUCAUCCUCUCUUCACUUCUCUCAAAGUUUCCUCUCAAUUUUUCCAUCCCAUUUUCCCUUCCUAUUGUGCCAAUUUCCUCUCUUGAGAAAGAGGUGUUCUUCAGCCAUCUUGGGCAGCAAUCAAGGAUUCAUAAAAGCCUUCCUCGGCGAAGACAACGAAGACUAAGAAUGGAGCAACAGUCAAGCUACUGAUAAACACUGGAUUUACUUUCUGUUCCCUUUCUUUUUGAUUUUUGUUGUUUUUAUGAUGAGCAUAUCUAUGAAAAAUAUUUUUGUUGAAAUGGUUAUUUUAAUCAAUUUAUCUUGAAUUUAAUUCGUGUUGGGUUGAUUAUAUUUUGCCUACUUGAAUUAUUAAAUUAGUGUUUAUACUGUUAUAGGCCUCAGUGAAAUGCUUGAUUAAGUAAAAUCAUGCUUAGGUUAUCUGGCAUUAUAAUUGUUUAGAAAACUAAAGAAUUAAUUGCUUAAACGGAUUGAAAUUGUAAUUAAUGGACUCAACACUUAAUCAGUGCAUGUUUAAUUCUUCUAAGGUAACUGAAAAUUAAAUCAACAUUGUAUUUGGAGAUACAUAUGCCUUGCAUAACUUGCAAGAUUUUUGUGAUUAAAUUGUUUCAAGGUAUGGCUACUUUGUUACUUCACAUAAUCUUUUACAUGUUUAUUAAGUUGAAUUAAUUGGUUGAAUCGACAUAGGAAUAUGAGAAAGAUAAUUUAAUUCAAUAAGUAUGUAUGUGCGAUAGCAUGUUUACUUUAUUAAAUCUGUUUAGUCGGUUGAAUUGGCAUAGGGUUAUAUUCAAGAGAUAAAUGGAAUUCUUUUAAUUAGUAAAUAUGUUCAUAAGUUAGCAAAUUACUGGGUUGCCAUGAAUUUAUUCAUAACAGCAUAAGCACAAAUUUAAUAUUUCUAAGUUAAAAAGGUACAAUUAAUCCAACACAAUUAUGUCAUCUUGAUUAAAUCUUUAUUGAAAUCGUGCACUAGAACUCUUUUAUUUUAUUUAAAUUGUUUGCUUAGUUUUAAAAUCUUAGUUUAUAAAUCACUCUUUUCAAACCAAAAUUAUUUUUACCUCACCAAAGUGUUUAAAUUAAUUUCAUAAAUAUUGCUUUUUACAGUCCCUGUGGGUACGAUAACUCGAUAUUUAGUUGCCACUUUAUUACUUGUUACGAUUGUGUACACUUGCACAUUUCCACCAUUCCAAGUUUUUGACGCCGUCUCCGGGGACUAUUUUUUUUAAAAAAACAUUAUUUGUGAUUUUAUUUUUACAUUUUGGUUCUUUUAUUUUCCUGUUCGAUUUUACUUAAUUAAUUCUUCUCUGAUUAUUUCAGGUGUUUAUGAGUGUUGACUGAAUUAUCGACUUACUCCCAGUGGACCCUGAAAUAGAAAGAACCUUUCACCAAUGAAGAAGACAAGCGAACCAGAGAAGGAUCGAAGAGAUGAAUUUCGAGAAUAUCAAUCAAGGAAACGGAGCAAACCUUGCUCAAAAUCCUAUCCUUAUUGCUAAUGAUAGGGAUAGAGCUUUACGACAAUAUGUUGUGCUAGUUUUUAAUGACCUUAAUCCAGGUAUUAGAAGACCCGAGAUCGAGGCACAACAAUUCGGGCUGAAGCCAGUCAUGUUCCAGAUGCUUCAAACAGUGGGCCAGUUCAGUGGAAUGCCUACUGAAGAUCCUCAUCUUCAUUUAAGACUGUUUAUGGAGGUGAGCGACUCUUUCAAGCUAGCCGAAGUACUCGAAGAUGCAUUAUGAUUAAAACUUUUCCCGUACUCGCUAAGGGACAAAGCUCGAGCCUAGUUAAACUCACUACCACCGAACUCGAUUUCUACAUGGCAAGAGUUAGCAGAGAGAUUUCUUGUGAAGUAUUUCCUGCCUAGCAAGAUUGUUAAGCUGAGAAAUGAGAUUACUACUUUCCAACAAAUGGAUGAUGAGUUUUUGUAUGAGGCAUGGGAAAGAUUCAAAGAGUUAUUACGAAAGUGCCCUCAUCACGGAAUUUCGCAUUGUAUCCAACUUGAGACAUUUUACAAUGGUCUCAAUGCUCUCACACAAGGAUGGUAGUAGAUGCUUCUGCUAACGGUGCUAUCUUAUCUAAGUCUUACAAUGAGGCUUAUGAAAUGAUCGAGAGGAUCGCCAGUAACAAUUAUCAAUGGCCAACCAAUCGAGCAACGUUAGGAAGAUGAGCUGUCGGAAUCCAUGAAGUGGACGCCCUCACUUUACUUGUAUCCCAAGUAUCUUUGAUAUCUUCAAUGUUAAAGAAUCUUACCACCAAUGGGUCUAACAGUUUUACAGCUCAACCAGCUAACCAAUAUGAGAAUAUAGCCUGUGUCUAUUGUGGGGAAGGACAUGUGUUUGAAAAAUGUCCGUCAAACCAUAAUCCAUGUACUACAUAGGUAAUCAGAACCAGAACCGAGGAAGGCAAGGGCUGCAAUCCAAGUUUUACAACCCAUCGUGGCGAAAUCACCCCAAUCUUUCCUGGAGUAACCAAGGGGUUGGAGGCAGUAACAACUACGCCAAACCUAGAUCAACCCAACCGCCUAGUUUUUCACAGCAAGUUCAGAAACCAGUUCAAGCUGAAUUGUCCAGUAGCUUAGAAAAUUUAUUGAAGGCAUACAUGGCGAAGAAUGACGCCACUGUAAGGAAUUUGGAGAAUCAAGUGAGCGAGAUUGCUACUGAACUUAGGAAUCGUCCACAAGGUGCUCUACCUAGCAAUACGGAAAAUCUGAGAAAUCCAGGGAAGGAGCAUUGUAAAGCACUAACAUUGAGGAGUGGAAAAAUGGUAGAGCCCAACAUCAUUGAAGAUGAAAAGGAGCAUGCUGAAGCUCAAGAUUUGGAAGAAUUUCAAUCGAAUGUUGAAGUUCUAGUUCCACUAGAACCAGAACCUGCAAGACCUGAAAAGGUAACCUCAGAACUAGCCAACUCUAAUCAGCCAACCACUCCGUUAGCAGCAGAAUUGCCGCCAAAGACAAAUCAACCAGUACCAACUCCAGUGGAUAAACCUCCAUCACCUUACCCUCAAAGACUCCAAAAGCAAAAACAGGAGGUCCAAUUCAAGAAGUUCCUUAACGUACUCAAGCAACUUCAUAUCAACAUCCUGUUGGUUGAAGCACUUAAACAAAUGCCAAAUUACGUAAAAUUCAUGAAAGAUAUCCUGUCCAAGAAGUGAGACUUGGAGAAUUUGAGACGGUAGCUUUGGCGAAGGAAUGCAGUGCAUAUCUUCAAGACAAAUUACCCCAUAAGCUGAAGGAUCCUGGGUGUUUUACCACACCAUGCAACAUUGGAGUAGCUUACUGUGGUAAGGCACAAUGUGACUUGGGCACAAGUAUUAACUUGAUGCCUAUGCCGAUAUUUAAGAAGUUGGGGAUAGGUGAAGUUAGACCUACUACGGUUACACUUCAGCUAGCAGAUCGAUCCUUAGCACAUCCAGAAGGAAAAUCGAUGAUGUAUUGGUACGUGUAGAUAAGUUUAUAUUUCCUGCUGAUUUUUUAAUUUUAGAUUUCGAAGCAGACAAAGAAGUACCAAUUAUCCUGGGGAGACCGUUCUUAGCAACUGGAAGGACACUUAUUGAUGUGCAGAAGGGCGAACUUACUAUGCGUGUUCAGGACGAUCAGGUAACAUUUAAUGUUUUCAAGUCAAUGCGAUUUCCUGACACAAUAGAUGAUUGUUCUGCAGUAUCUGACUUAAAGGAUUUCAUAGUGGAGAAGGAACUCAACUCUGUUGAGGAUCCUCUGGAAAGAAUUUUGACAUCAGACCCUCCAAGUGAUGAAGAGGAGGAUGAAAACUUAGCUUUGCUAGAAGCUAAUCAAAAGGGAUUUAAUCCACAAUCCCAUUUUAAAUCUUUGGAUUUAGAGGAGAGAGAUUACACACAGCCAAAAGCGUCAAUCGAGGAGCCACCUAAACUAGAACUCAAGGUAUUACCUUCUCAUUUAAAAUAUGUUUAUUUAGGUGACGCUUCUACUCUGCCUGUGAUUGUUUUAGCAGAGUUAACUACUGAGCAAGAAGAGAAACUUAUCUUAGUUUUAAAACAAUUUAAAAAGGCUAUCGGAUGGACCAUAGCCGUUAUUCGCAGCAUUAGUCCAUCCGUAUGCAUGCACAAGAUCAUCCUGAAAGAUGGUGAAAAAGGGAUGAUCGAUGGACAACAAAGGCUGAACCCCAUCAUGAAGGACGUAGUGAAAAAAUAGAUUAUCAAGUGGUUAGAUGUGGGUAUCAUUUACCCCAUUUCAGAUAGUUCAUGGGUAAGUUCGGUCCAGUGCGUACCAAAGAAAGGAGGUAUCAUGGUCAUAGAGAAUGAGAAUAACAAGUUGAUACCGACUAGAACAGUUACGGGAUGGAGAAUCUGCAUGGAUUACCGAAAGCUGAACAAGGCAACUAGGAAAGAUCACUUCCCUUUUUCGUUCUUAGACCAGAUGCUAGAUAGACUCGUGAGGCGAGAUUACUACUGUUUUCUCGAUGGAUACUGAGGGUACAACCAGAUUACGGUAGCACCGGAAGAUCAACACAAGACCACAUUCACUUGCCCGUACGGUACAUUUGCAUUUAGACGCAUGCCAUUUGGUUUAUGUAAUGCACUUGCUACAUUUCAAAGAUGUAUGAUGUCUAUUUUCACUGAGAUGGUUGAGAAAUUUUUAGAAGUUUUCAUGGAUGACUUUUCUAUGUUUGGAGAUACGUACGAUGAUUGCUUAGCCAAUCUGGCUAAGGUACUUAGGUAAUGCGAAGAAAUGAUGGGAAAAGUGCCAUUUUAUGGUAUGAGAGGGUAUCAUUCUAGGGCAUCAGAUAACAAGACAUGGGAUCGAGGUAGACAGAGCAAAAGUAGAUGUUAUUGAGAAACUCCCACCUCCAACAUCUGUAAAGGGUGUUAGGAGCUUUUUGGGCCACGCCGGGUUCUAUCGAAGAUUUAUCAAGGACUUCUCCAAAGUUGCUAAACCUUUAUGCAAAUUAUUGGAGAAGGACACGAUAUUCAAAUUUAAUGAGGAAUGCUUAAAAGCUUUCAAUGACUUGAAGAAUUGAUUAGUCACGACACCCAUAAUUGUCACACCAGACUGGGACUUGCCAUUUGAAUUGAUGUGUGACCCAAGUGACUUUGCAAUAGGAGCUUUCAUGGGCCAGCGAAGGAACAAAGUUUUUCAUCGCAUCUACUAUUCAAGCCGAACUCUAACAGGAGCUCAGUUAAACUAUACGAUAACAAAAAAAUAGUUACUUGCUAUCGUAUUUGCUUUCGACAAGUUUCGAUCUUAUCUUGUAGGUACCAAGGUAACUGUCUAUACAGACCACUCGGUAAUUAAAUAUUUACUUGCCAAGAAAGACGCUAAGCCGAGGUUGAUCCGAUGGAUACUUCUACUUCAAGAGUUCGAUUUGGAAAUUCAAGAUUGCAAGGGAGUAGAAAACCAAGUAGCAUAUCACUUGUCCAGAUUGGAGCCGUAAGAAGGGAAUUCUCCACUUGUACCGAUUCAAGAAACAUUUCCAGAUGAACAUAUACUGAAGGUCAGUCAUGUCCAUAAUACCCCUUGGUUUGCUGAUAUUGCUAACUUUUUAGCUUGUGGUUUAAUGUCGUAUGAUAAGACAUAUCAACAAAGGAGAAAGUUUCUUCACGAUGUGAAGUACUAUUUUUGGGAGGAACCAUAUCUGUUUAAAAAGUGUGUAGAUUAGAUGAUUAGGAGAUGCGUGGCAGAAGAAGAAAUAUCGAAAAUUCUAUACCACUGUCACUCAGCCCCAAGUGGGGGUCAUUUCGGAGGAACUCGUACUGCAGCCAAAGUAUUGCAAGCCAGAUUCUUUUGGCCAACACUAUUCAAGGAUCCAUAUGCAUACGUAAAGAGUUGUGACCGAUGUCAAAGAGUUGGAAAUGUCACCAACAGAAAUGAGAUGCCUUGAACAAACAUCAUUGAGGUCGAAUUAUUUGAUGUUUGGGGUAUUAAUUUUCUUGGGCCCUUCCCUUCGUCUUUUGGUCACAAGUAUAUACUAGUAGCAGUAGAUUAUGUGUCCAAGAGGGUCAAGGCAGAGGCAUAUCUGACAAACGAUGCUAGGGUUGUGAUGAAUUUUUUAUAGAAACACGUGUUCACGAGGUUUGGAACCCCGAGAGCCAUCAUUAGUGAUGAAGGGUCCCACUUUGUGAACAAGUGGUUAAAAUGGUUACUAGACAAGCACGGGGUGAAACACAAGGUUGCAAUGGCUUACCAUCCGCAGACGAAUGGACAAACUGAACUGGAAAAUAAAGAAAUCAAGGGCAUAGUGGAGAAGGUAGUUUGCCCGAACCGACGAGACUGUCCAAAAAACUAGAUGACGCUUUAUGGGCCUACAGGACAGCGUACAAGACACCUUUAGGGAUGUCACCCUAUAGGCUUAUUUUCGGUAAAGCAUGUCAUCUACCCUUGGAGUUAGAGCACAAAGCUUACUGGGCUCUUCGACGACUCAACUUAGAUCCUAAGCUCGCAAAAGAAAGACGGAUGUUCCAACUCAACGAGUGAGAAGAAUUUUGAAUGUUCUUAUAUGAAAAUGCUAAAUUACUCAAACAGAGACUCGAGAAAUGGCAUGACAAACACAUCCGGGUUCGAGAAUUUGAAGCAGGUCAGCAAGUAUUGUUGUUCAACUCGAGAUUGAAGUUCUUUCCAGGUAAGUUAAAAUCACGUUGGUCCGGUUCAUUUACAAUUCACAGAGUCUAUCCAUACGGAGUUGUUGAACUCCAAGGUAAGAGAGGUAAUUUUCAAGUUAAUGCUCAGCGUUUGAAACACUAUUGGGGGAAUAAAACCAAAUGGGAUAACUUCUCGUUCAUUUUAUCAGAUAUUUAAUAUUUUUUUCGUGUUUUGUUUAAUAAAUAAUUUAAGGUCUAUUUUUCGGGUUUAGUAUGUUUAAAUAAAUUAUGUCUAGGAGGUUGGAACUUAAGCGGGACCAUUUGUGACCCCUUCAAUCUUUCCUGGGAAUUUAUUUUAACAUAAUUUUCCAAGAAAUUUUUCCCUAAUCAACAAAAUAAAUUUUUGUUUUUUAAAUAAAAAGGUCAAUUUGAUCCAAUUUUUAAUUUGCAACUCAAAUUUUAAUUUUUAUUGAGUAUAGGGACUUAAAUUGAAUAUUUUUAAAGUUUGAUUGCUCUUUUUGUAAAUAAUGAAAAUUAGGUGCCUUUCUUUGCAAAUAUUUUUUUUAAAGGCAUCUAGAAGAAAUAUUUUUAUUUUUUAUUUUUUUAACAUUAUUAAUAAUUUGAUAAACUUUAAUAUAUAAUUACAUUCAUUAUAAUUUAUAUAUUAAUUUUUAUCAACUUAGAUUAGAAUUAGGAUUAAUUUAAUUUCAAUUUUUAUUUUACGUUUAUCUUAAUAAUUAAUAGCAAUUGAUAAUUCUAUAUGCUUAUAUUUAAUUAUUAAUUGCUGUUAAAUUUGAGUAGGAUUAGAAUUAAACUCUUAUCUUUAAUUAUUAAAUUAGACUAAGAGUUCUAUUUUAAGUUCUAUAACUUAUGCUAUAAAUACCACCUUAUACCUCCCAUCCAUGCAUCAACCAAAAACCAAAAUAUCUUGUGCCGCAACACCCCUAGCUCCAGCAGCCUAGUCGGCAAACACCCAGCAGCAUCACGCUGCGCCACUCAAUUAGCACCCAGAUCCCACUCGUGCGCCUGCUGUUUCAGUUCAGCAGCUGCCCAGGUCGCAUUCUGCUGCUCUAGCGCCCCACCUGCGCGCCACGUUCCAGCUCCCGCACAAGCUCCAGGCCUGUUCGACGAAGUGCCAUGCGCUUCUUGCUGCACACCCUUGCGUUCUGCUGCUUGUUCUCUAGCCUUGUGCGGCACCCUCUUUGCACACCAAGCCUUAAGCCAAAAUUCUUCAACCCUCCUCCUUUUAAUUUUCCAUCUUUUUCUUGCAUUAAUUUUCUUUGAGUUCUUAUAUUUUUGUAAAAAGGUCAAUUAUGCCUCACAAGAGAACUCGCGCCUCUGCUCAAAUCGACGAAACACAAAGCAAGUUCCAUUGUAUUGAAGCUAAAGUGAGAUACGAAAGUACCUACAAAAAUCAACAGAUGCAUCCUGAGAAAGGCUUCACACUGAAGGAGAGCAACUAUAGAGACUUCAUGGCACGUAUUCGUCAAAUUGCUGAAGCUCUCAAUUGGGAACUGUUUUGUGAAAAGAGACCUAGUGUGGAUGAGGAGCUAGUUCUUGAGUUUUAUGUGAAUUUAACUUCAAGCAAGAUGAUAGAAGUCCUUGUUCACGGAAUCAAGGUACCUAUAAAUUCUAAUGCUACUAAUGAGUUCUUUGAAUUGCCUGAUUUCGAGAACGAUGAGUAUUCGUCUUUGAUGAGCAAUAUCAAGUUGGAACUUCUGCAAGAAAUUCUCGAGGAGCUUACAGUUGAAGGUUCCAGUUGGACUGUGUCAAAACAAGGAACCCACAUGUGUCAAAGAGAAUACUUAACACCUAUUGCAAAGGUAUGGUUUUAUUUCAUCCGUUUCAGCCUUCUGCCUAGCUCACAUGGGACUACAAUUUCAUUGGACCGAAUGGUCUUACUAUACUCAAUCUUAACGAGUAAGACCAUUGAUGUGGGAAAGAUCAUCCUGAAAGAAAUUCGAAACUGUGCCGCUAGACGUUCUGGCCCUGCUUACUUCCCCUUUACAAUAACGAUUCUAUACUUGAAAGUAGAAAUUCUUGCUAAUGUCAAGAAGACAGGGUACACCCAAGGCACAAUUACAGAUUGGGACCUCUACCGAGUAGCCGGAGACUCAGUUCUACAACAACGAGUUGAAGAAAGUGAAGAGCCUGAGGAACCUGAUGAAGAAAAAGAUCCCACGAUGUAAUCAUUUGAAGUCCUUGGUAAGGUGGACCCAGUAGAGCCAAAAGAUGAAUCGGAUGCUGGAACUCCAAUGUUUAGAGCUCAGUCGCCUAGCCCAGACUUUCGAGAUUAGUUUUCAAAUUUGAUAGACUUAAUGCAACAUAUGCAAUGGAAGCAACAAGCAUACUGGAGAUACUCAAAAAUAAGGGAUGACUCGAUUCGAAGUGCUUUCCAGAAAAUAUACAAUGACCCAUUUAUUUUUGUGCCUGGAUUUCUAGAUUUCAUAUUCGAGCCAUGGACUCCACUCUCGAAAAAUGAGCGAAGCGAUUCAUGCAAAGGCAAUAAUAAUGGAGCAAAAGAUGAGUCCAACUUGGAAGGAUCUGCAAAUAAAUAAAAGGGAGGGAUCUUGACUCUAUUUUAUUUAUGUUUUUCUUAGGUUAUUUUAGGAUCAAGUUUAAAUUAGGAACUUUUAUUUCUGCAUAAUAAAACAAGAGAAGGAAAUCCUGAAUAAACAUGGACAAGUCAUAAAGUAUAAAGUGUGGCAAUAGGUAUAUACAUGUCUAGGAUUGGAUUUCAAAAGAGCUUGGUACUUAAGCAGUCACAUUGACUCACCUCCUCUUUUCUAAAUUCCUACCUGGUGUAUAGUAUCUAUUCCUUUAAACAAUGAGGACAUUGUUCAUUUUAAGUUGGGGGGACCGAAAUUUGAAAUUAUCUUCAUCCAGAAUAAAAAUUUUCUUUUAAUUAUGAUUAGGGUAUAUUUCUGUUCAAUAAAGUUGAAUUUUGUUAAGUAUGCUAAACUUGAGUAUGAAUAAAGUUCUAUUUUUUUCAAUAAAUUAUUAUGUAGUUUAAUGAUUACAUAAAUGUAUUUUUAAUAAAGCAUGCAACUUCAUACCAUAAAAUUUUUAUCUCUUUAGGAAAGUUAGGUAUGCAUGAAAGUUUAAGUCUUUAGAAUUGACUUAGUAGUUUCUUGAGGCGAAAUCCUAGGAAGCUUGGAACAUUGGAAAGAUUUAGGCAUCUAUUGUUUGGACCGUUUGAGACUUUCAAGCCUACCAUGGUAAAUUUUAUCUUUUGAAACCCAACUUUGAGACUAUAUGGCCUAAUUUUUGGAACCUAUACAAAUUUAGACCAUCACGUUUCUCUUAAUUAUCUUUAAAUUGCCCCAAACACUAGACUCAGUACUAUUCAAGAAUAUCGUUUGAAAAUAAGUUUGGGGAGUUGAAAAGAAAUAUCAAAUGCUAAAAAAAACACAUAUAUUUGAAAAAGAGCAUGUGAAAGUUGGUGAUUGAAGGUAAAAUUUUUUUUUGAAGGUUCGAUUUACACCGAGUUUAAGGUUUUUAGCCAAAAUUUUUCUAUCUUUUUACCUACCCCUAAGCCCAGCCACGUUACAACCUUGUUAAAGACCUAUUGAUUCGAAGUUCCAAAGUUACCUACAUUAGUGGAGAGAAAUUGCUUUGUUCAACAUAUGAAGACAUAGGUUAAGCUUAAUGAUUGCGACUUGAUCUUGAAUAAAGGAUUAAAAAAUUGAAUUGGUAGGAAUAAUUAUGUCUUUAUCAAGAAACAUUUAGUCCAAUUUUGCUAUUAUAAUAAUUGUUGAGAUUAAUUUGAAUAAUAUGAACACUUGAGUAGCAGAAUAAUCAAAUUUCUUAUUCUUUGAGCAUAAGUAUAUCAAAUUCAUAAUUUCGAGAAAACUGUUGUUCUGAAGAAGGUUUUCAAAGUGUUUUCGAGAAAUUCUUUUCAAAAUUUGUUCAUUACUCGGGACGAGUAAUGAAUUAAGUUUGGUGGUGUGGAAACAUGUAACACCCCGAACCCGAGACCAUCACCGGAGUCGAACACGAGGUGUUAACAGACUUUUAAAAAAAAUUUCCCAGACACUGCCAAUCUGCGUACUAGUCGCUUUAAAAAUCAUAUCUUGAGUUCAGAAACUCGGAAUCCAGUUCCGUAAAUUUUUCCUGAAACCAGACUCAUAUACCCAUCUACAUAUUUUUUUCUAGAAUUUUUGGUUGGGCCAAUUAGUACAGUUUAUUAGUAAAAGUCUCCCAUGUUAUAGGGAUCGACUACACUGACCUUUCCGCAUUACGACUAGGAUAUCUCCCUGUACAGGGCUUCAAUACUUAUUCCGUUUGUUUCUGUAGAAACUAGACUCAGAGAGGAAUCUAUACAUAUAUGGCUUGACUCCUAAUUGGCUCUGGUUAAUUUAUAAUGAAUUUCCAAAGUCGGAACAGGAAAUUCAGAAACCGUUCUGGCCCUGUCUCACGAGAACCUGAAUAUCUCUUAACAUACUGUCCGUAUAAUUGUUUCGUUACUUUCCUAUGAAAAUAGAUUCAUCAAGGUUAGUUUACAUAAUUUAUUCACUAUUUAAUUACAUUCCUACUAUUUUUAGUGAUUUUCCAAAUCUACAUCACUGCUGCUGUCAGCAUCUGCCUUUAAGGUAGACUUUACCUAUUUCAUGGUUUCCAUGAUUCAACUAGCCCUUUUUGCAUAAAUAGCACAAUUUAUGAUAGUGAUUAACCAUUCCCAUGGCCAAUCCUUGUCAAGCAUAUCCACACCAAAUGAUUAUAACAUUAUACUCAAACACAUAUAAGCCAUUUUCGCAUGGCUAUCCAAAAUUAUACAAGUCCAAAGGGUCCAUGACCCACAACAAACGGGUAGUCCUAUACAUGCCAUUUCGAAGUUCAACCAAAAUUGUACCAAAAAGGGGGGGGCUUUGAUAGUGUGGGCGACUUCGACUUCAAAAUCCCGAGUCUGAUAGCUGGAGAACCAAAAUCUAUAAAACAGAAGAUCAAAGAAACGGAGUAAGCAAUUUAUGCUUAGUAAGUUUUGAGCAAGGAAUUCCAGCACAACAAAAGUAUAGCAUUCAUGUAGCUAAACGGAUAAUUUCAUAUGCAUAAUUUUUCAAUAUCAUACUUGCUUCACAUUACCAACCCUUAUGUAUAUACACAAAAGAUCAACUUAGCCAAAGGCCGGUAGCUCGUUUAUCAACUGAGCGAAUACUUAUUUGUAAGGGCUCAACUAAAUUCAAGCACAUACGAAACAUACCUCAAUGUUGGGAUGUUUCUAGAGUAUUUGCUGAAAUUUUUACAGCAAGAUCAUUCAUUCCCAAAUCACGUACCUUCGGAAUUUAACCGGAUAUAGCUACUCGUUCAAAUGCCUUCGGGACAUAGCCCGGUUAUAGUAACUCGCACAAUUGCCUUCGGGACUUAACCCGGAUUUAGUAACUCGCACAAAUGCCUUCGGGCUUAGCCCGGAAUUAGUAUCUCGCACAAAUGCCUUCGGAUCUUAGUCCGGAUAUGGUCACUUAGCACAAAGCCUUCGGGACUUAGCCCGGACAUCAUUCAAAUAACCAUGCACAUUUAACAAUAAAUCAUGGCACAUUCGUAUUUCGUUCUCGUUAGCAAAACUCAAACACAAGACAUUUAUCAUUCUUGCAAUUUCGGCUCAAUAGCCACACAAAGGGCAUGAUUUUAAUUUGCUUAAAACAUGAUCUAAUCAAAUCAUAAUUUAAGCUCUUUUACUGAAGAACUUACCUCGGGUGUUGUCGAACGAUUCCGAUAGCUAUUCGACCACUUUUUCCUUCCCUUUAUCGGAUUUAGUUCCCCUUUGCUCUUGAGCUUAAUUAAACAAAUAAAUUGAUUUAAUCAUUUGAGCAUCGAAAAGAGGAACACAAGGCACUUAGCCCAUAUUUAUACAUUAGACAUUAAAGUCACAUAUGUACGGAAUCAUGAAUCAAACUCAACAUUUUAGCUAAUUUUUCCCCCUUGGCCGAAUAUGCAUGUCUAUGUUGGGGCCGAUUUCAACACUUAAUACAUUCUACAAGUAUGGUCACUUGUAUUGACUAAACACCCUUUUGUUUCAAGUUCAAAACUUGGCUACUACACACAUAUAUACACUAGUAAAGCAUCCUCUCCCUUUCCAUCAAUUUAACACAUGCAUUACUCAUUAAUAUACAAAAAUUAUAUUCGGCCUUAGCACACAACUUGCUAGCCGAUUCUUCUCUAUCUAGCAACCAAUGCACCUAUGUGCUCACUCAAAAAUGCUAAAAAGAAGAUUCAAGAAUCAUCAAUCCACCAUCACAUGCGUCAUUAACAAGCUUCAUAUUUAGCAUGCAAUGGCAUUAACACAAAAUCUACCUAGGCCGAAUAUCAUCCCCAUGACAUAGCAAAGAUUUGAACCAUGGGAUAAUUAGAACUCAAGCUAGCAACUAAAAACAUGCAUGAAUCUCAUGGCACAACCUCACACAUACCUUGAUCUAGAUACAAGUAUGGCAAAACCUCCUCCUAAUCCUCUUCCAAACCAAACAUGAAGCAAGAACUCCUUCCUCCUUCCUUUGAAUUUUCGGCCAAACGAAGAUGAAAAAGGAUGAACAAAAUUUUCUCUUUUCUUUUCUUUAACUCACGGCAAUGGGGGGGGAAACAACUACACAUUUUUUUUUUGUUUUCAUCAUAUUCCCUUUUCAUUAUUUUAUGCCCAUGCUCCUUAUUUUAUUUUUUUCCACCCAUGAUGCACCAACACAACAUGUCUAUGACAUGUCUUGCCCAUCACACUUGGUCUACCAUGCUUGUCAUGGCCGGCCACUACUAGUUAGGGGGGAAUUUGACAUGCAAGUCCCCCCUUUUUAUUUCAUGCACUAAUAGGUCCUUAUGCUUCGACCUAUCACAUUUCAAAAAUGUCACACAUAAGUCCUAUUGACUAAAUUCACAUACAAUCGACUAAAUCGAAGCUUGAAAUUUUCACACAUUCAUAAUUACAUAUUCUAGACAAUAAAUAUCACAUUCAAACAUUUUAGUGACUCGGUUUAGCGGUCCCGAAACCACUUCCCGACUAGGGUCAAUUUUGGGCUGUCACAAAACACAAAAAUUUAUAUACUUUUUCAUACCCUUUUUAACUUAAAACCAGGCUAUUUCGGUUAAAUUCUUGUCGAAAAAUAAUUAAAUAUUAUAAAAUAAUUAAAUUAUGUUAAAAAUAUGAACAUUAUGAAUUUUAAUUAAUUUUAUAGUUAAUUUUGAUUAAAUUUGGUUAUUUUUGACAGAAUUACACAAUUGGAGAAAAAGGGGCCCGGUGAACACUGCGAGAAAAACAAAACUGAGAGUAAUUUGAAGUAUCGAGGCCAAUUAAUUUCUAGCCCAAGACGGUCCAGAAGUGUGUAUUAAUUCAUAAUUAAAUUAAUUUUAAUUUAUUUCCUAUUUAAUUUAGGUUAAAUGAAUUAAUUUUAAUUAAUUAUGAAGAAAGGGUCUAGUGAACUGCACUGGUUGAACCGAAUGGAGUGAGCCGAACCAGCCACUAAUUGGGUUGACCAGAACUGUCCAUUGGCUGAACCAAAUCAAAAAAUUAGCUGAUAAAAUAUUUGUAACACCCCAAACUCGGCCUGGACGUUAUGACCGGAUCUAAUGCGCCACAUCGAAGCAUUCAAAACAUUCCGUAUUACUUAGUUUGGAAAAGCUUAGUUGGUGUUGUAAAAGACACUUUUAAAAGUAGGUUAAAGUGAAUGGAAGCUGUGCACCAGGUAGGAAACCAGGAAGGAGAGGAGGUGAGUCCGUCGGACUGCUUAAGUACCAAGCUCCCUUCGGAUCCAAUCCUAGACAUGCACACCGCCAUUGCCACACUCUAACAUCUCGUAUAAUUUUGAGAAAACCGUUUGAUUAUGUCCAUCUUAGGAAAGUGAUUAAGGUUGAAAAACGUUUGCUUAAAAUAUUUAUUUUCUUGGAAAAACAUUUACUUUGCGGAAACUUUACGCGUCAUCGUGAUCUUUUAAAAACAAGUAGUUUUUAUAAAACGAACCCUAGUGCUAACCAGUUUAAUAAUCCCCAAAAAAAAAUUAAUUAAAAAGAGCGGCCUUAUUACAACUUUAAGCAUAAUAAAAAUAAUCCAAAUUAAAUGCUAAACUUAUUUAAAAUCGGCAAUGAAUCUCCAUGGCCACUUUGAAUCCCGCCCAGCUCCAAGUCCACCAACUAGGGCUCACCUACAAGGAUGGAAGAGUAAGGGGUGAGUCUGGGAAAACUCAGUGUAUACAGAAACCCAUCCAAAGCCCAAAUCAGCCCGAGCCCAUUGGACCUAAGCCCUAUUCAGGUAACAGUACACAGUGGACCGAAGCCCUUUUCAGAAUACAGUAGCAAGGCCUUAGCCCCUUUUUACAUAGCAGUGUGGCCUAUAGGCCCAGUUCAGUAACAUAGGUAACAACAGUAGUAAUACAUGCAAACCCAUCUGGGAAGACUACUCAACCCACCAACCGCUACACUGCCCCGUACCAGCCCUACACUCCAUGUGGGGAAUAUCUCAACCCACCCAGCCCUAUACUCCACAGUUGCAGCAACGCUGCUCAAAUAACAGUGAGUUGAGGCAAAGCCUCCAGUACGUGGAUGAACCACUUUCAAUACUUCCUCCAUCAAUACCCCAAUCCCAUGCAACAGAUAUUAAUAAAGCAUAUCAUGUACAAUAUAGUAUUAAUCAAUCAUGCAGUUUAGCCAAUUUAACCCUAGGGGUAUUUCGGUAAUUAUGCUCUUUUAGGGGUAAUUUCGUAACUUACGCAACUACACAAGCUAUUUCAGUAAUUUUCACCAGUUUUAAGUAAUUUGGUUCCACCAUCUAACUAACAUGCUACUUUUCCCAUAUCUUACCCAUAUUGGUCCGGAAGCCCAUUAGGCCCAGUUUUGGCCCAUCUGGCCCCUUUUUUCGAAGUACCCUAAAAUGUCACACGAACUUACUCACCACUUUGUGGUGCUAGAUCUAACAAUUACUCAAUGUCUUGAGAGCAUUCGCAUACUCACAAGCCUAUGAAAUGCCGAAAUUUCGGUAUUUCGGCUUUUGCCGAAUUGAACUAAGGAAGGGUGUUCGGUACACACCUGAUUCGCGACGACUGCUACUGAGAUCUCUUCCGAUGUCCUAUAAUUGAUUAGCACAGUUCUUAUUUACAAACCAUAAUCACUAAACCCACAACCUACUUAUCCAUGGUCGAACCAUGUCCCUAAAAGCCUUUGAAACCUUACCUUUUUGCCAAAAUCGAUAGCUAGCUCCGAAUCCGAUUGCUCCAACAACCCACGCCUUCAAUCCAACACUUAAGAAGACACUAAUCAUUGACAGAAAAUGUCAGUUAAAAACCCUUUGAGCCACAUGCCCAAAUCGACAGCCUCCCUAGAUUUUAGGGACUUCGGCUUUUCCUAACUCUGUAAAAUAUGACCAGAUCUGAGAUGAUGAACACUUACCCCUUACUCCUUUUUGAUCUCCACGCAAUCUAGUGUAGAUUUAUCUAUCAAACGACGGUAGAACUCGAUUCCCAAAGUCUUGAAGUUUCGGCUAUAAGCCCCCAAAUCUAUAGUUUUUUUCGGCUUUUGGGUGAUGAAGGAGAUGACAAUAUGGAACUAUAACCUUGAAGUAAAAUUGCCGUCAGGUAUCUAGGAUUAAGAAAAGAUAAUCGUGGAUUAAUAAAAACAAAAGAAUAUAGAAGGACCUGGCUUUGAAGAAAUCGGCACAAGCAGUGAUCACAGGAUUUCGGCUUUUAUGGAUUCGACAAAAGUAUUGAUGAACAGCAGAAUUGAUGAAUGGUUUUGAAGAAGAAAAAUAGAAAAAAAGAAGAAUAGGGGAGGUGGUAGUUUCAGCUAGAGAGGAAGAAGAGAGAAAAGAGAAACCCUAAGGUGUUUCAGCAAAAGAAAACGGCACCACUCAACACCCUAAGUGCCGAAAUACUAACCUCAAAACCCCCAGCCAAUUUUUCCCUCUUCAAUUCCCAAAAUUCAGCCAACUCCUAUCCUCUCUCCUAAUCCCUUAAAUCUCUCCCCUUAUCACUCCUUAAUCCAAGCGUUUGGACUAAUCCAAACUCUCCUCUAGCAGAAUCCACUUGGACUCCAACACUUACCCCUCCUGCACUUAAAAAUAAAUGCACCUAUUUGUCAACACAGGGAAUCGAUCCCAUGCCUUCCCCUAUGCUCCACACGCCACCUUUUUAGGAGCUUAGUGGCGUCACCCUUGCCACUUUACUACAGCUCUUUUUGUGUUGCAAUUUGCCCAUCACUCCACUUAAGGCCACUUAGCUAGAACCCCUAACAUUUUAAGUCCAAAAUUCAAAAAUUCAACCGGGUUUUGGCCAACACAUGGGCCUUCUAUAAGCCCAUUUACCUACUCAAAAUAUUAAUUUCACAUCCAAAUACAAGAUUUUAAAAUCUUCACAAAAUAUUAAAAACCACGAAUAAAUCCGAAAAUCAGGAUGUUACAAUAUUCUUGCAAAAAGUCCCUUUAAAAACCUCCAAAUUACGUUCAAACCCCACCUUUAUUUUAUGCUUUGUAGAUUUGCCCCAGCCUAUUUUUAGCAAGGUUGACAGCUUCAACCUUGCCAUGCGUGUGGCUGGCCAUGGGAGGGCUCUCUUGGCUACUGAAUUUGCUAUUUUUAGCAGCCCUCUUCACCUAUAAAAGCCACCCUAUGCUGCCCAUUUCAAAGCAUCCCUCAACAUCCUUCAUUCCACAACAUUCUCUCAUCCUCUCUUCACUUCUCUCAAAGUUUCCUCUCCAUUUUUCCAUCCCAUUUUCCCUUCCUCUUGUGCCAAUUUCCUCUCUUGAGAAAUAGGUGUUCUUCAGCCAUCUUGGGAAGCAAUCAAGGAUUCAUAAAAGCCUUGCUCGGUGAAGACAACGGAGACUAAGAACGGAGCAAUAGUCAAGCUGCAGAGAAACACUGGAUUUGCUUUCUGUUCCCUUUCUUUUUGAUUUCUGUUGUUUUUAUGAUGAGCAUAUCUAUGAAAAAUAUUGUUUUUGAAAUGGUUAUUUUAAUCAAUUUAGCUUGAAUUUAAUACGUGUUGGGUUGAUUAUAUUUUGCCUACUUGAAUUAUUAAAUUAGUAUUUAUGCUGUUAUAGGCCUCAGUGAAAUGCUUGAUUAAGUAAAAUCAUGCUUAGGUUAUCUGGCAUUAUAAUUGUUUAGAUAACUAAAGAAUUAAUUGUUUAAACAGAUUGAAAUUGCAAUUAAUGGACUCAACACUUAAUCAGUGCAUGCUUAAUUCUUCUAAGGUAACUAAAAAUUAAAUUAGCAUUGUAUUUGGCGAUACAUAUGCCUUGCAUAACUUGCAAGAUUGUUGUGAUUAAAUUGUUUUAAAGUAUGGCUACUUUGUUACUUAACAUAAUCUUUUACAUGUUUAUUAAGUUGAAUUAAUCGGUUGAAUCGACAUAGAAAUAUGCGAGAGAUAAUUUAAUUCAAUAAGUAUGUAUGUGCGAUAGCAUGUUUACUUUAUUAAAUCUAUUUAGUCGGUUGAAUUAGCAUAGGGAUAUGUUCAAGAGAUAAAUGGAAUUAUUUUAAUUAGUAAAUAUGUUCAUAAGUUAGCAAAUGACUGGGUUGUCGUGAAUUUAUUCAAAACAGCAUAAGCACGAAUUUAAUAUUUCUAAGUUAAAAAGGUAUAAUUAAUCCAACACAAUUAUGUCAUCUUAAUUAAAUCUUAAUUGAAAUCGUGCACUAGAACUCUUUUAUUUUAUUUAAAUUCUUUGCUUAUUUUUAAAAUCUUAGUUUAUAAAUCACUCUUUUCAAACCAAAAUUAUUUUUACCUCACCAAAGUGUUUUAAUUAAUUUCAUAAAUAUUGCUUUUUACAGUCCCUAUGGGUACGAUAACUCGACAUUUACUUGUCACUUUAUUACUUGUUACGAUUGUGUACACUUGCACAUUUCCACCAUUCCAACUGCGACCAUAGCUACCACUAGAGAUUAUAUCCUUUUGGCGCAGGACUUAUGGCCUAAUGAACCUUUACGACCACCGGAGUAUCCCCUUCCACUGUCGAACCUAUUCUUCUCCAGAACUCCAGUUCGAGGAAUUCAUCAUAAAGGAAGUUUCACUUCUCUCCUAUCUUAUUUUUACACUCCAAUAUCCAUUUUUGUACAUUGAGGGCAAUGUACAUCUUAAGUGUGGGGGGUAUUUAUUUAUUAUCAGAAAAAUCCCUAAAUGACUGCCUUGUUCUCUUAAAAAUCUCUCAUAUCAUAUUUAGGAUAAAUUUUGAUUGAUUUAUGAUUUUGAUUGAUAUAUCUUGAAUUAAAACAUAGGAAAUUUAUGCAUUGAUUGUUUAAACUUUAAGACAUUAGAGAAUCGAGCAUGAUGAGUUGAUUUUUAAGAAUUCAAAAUCUUAGGCUGUUUCCCAAAGUCUAGGUAUUACUUUGAAUUGGAAUUCACAAGUCUUAACAUCAAAAAGCCAUAAUUUUUGUGAGAUUUUUGAGCCUUUUGAGCAUCUAUUACUUCUUUCAUGCUCACUUUUAUUAUUGCUUUGAGUGCGUCAAUAUUGAACUGUUAUUCUAGAACUUACUUGAUUAUGCAUGUCGAGACCACACCAUUUGAUUUGAUAUGUAAAAAUGAUUAAGGCACUUAGGAUUAACCCACUCAUGCCAUGAAAAGCCUACCUUCAUGAUUAACCCCUAGUAAACCCCCUUGAACCUAACAAGCCAUUCCUUGUAUUACCCUUAAUAUUAACCUUUAACCCAUUAUUGUUGAAAUACCCUAAAUUAAUCCCUAUUUUUGUCGAGAUUUGAGUUGAAUGGAUUGCUUAGCUAUGUUUUGUUCUUAAUAUUUAGUCUAUAUUAUUCAAAUUGUUCUUCAAAAAAAUGAAAAAAAAAACUAUGUAUACAUAUCUAUAAUUUCAUAUUCUGAGAGAAGCUCUGUUGUACGCAAAUGAAGAUUAACUCUUUUUCUAGUUAGGCAAUCCUUCAAUUUAAUCUUGAUUAUAACACUUUCUUUUAUCUUGUGACCACACCCGCUAACCAAGCCUCAUUACAACCCUCCAAAGACCUUUUGAUGAUGUAUCAUCUUAAAUUAUAGUGGUGGAGAUUUGAUUUUCAUGCAAGCCUAUGGUAAUGACUUUUCAUUAUUGACUAUUGAGUGCUUCAUUUAUUGUUCUUAAACACCUCGAGUGAUUUGAGUGAAUCUUUGGUGAGGAUGUGAAACUCUGUUAUUUUCUAAAUGAAAGGUAAUUGCUUAGAUGCGGAGAGACACCUAUGUUUGCAUGAUUAAAUACUCAACUUGGAAUGUUUGGAACUUUUAUGUUCUUUUAGUUUAAUUCUCAAUGUAUGAUUACCUAUGGAUUAAUUUGAGAUAUUACUGAUAGAAGUUAUAAGUUCAGAAUAAUUUAUUUUGAUUAUGAGUUGAGAAUUUUGUUUGAGGACAAGCAAAUGCUUAAGUGUGGGGGUAUUUGAUAAACCGUAAUUUAUACAUAUUUUUACCCCAUGUUUAACGCAUUUUAUGGAUGAUUUUCCAUUAGAAUUGAUGAAUUCAAUACUCCUAAUGCUUUAAUUUCAUGUUUUAUACUUAGGAGAGCAAAGGAGAGUAAAAGGAAUGAGAAAUGGGCCAAAAAUGAGAAAAUAGGCCAAAGUACGAAAUCAACACGGCCUGGACCUCCUCACACGGGCAGACCACACGGUCGUGUCAAUUUGGAAGGCUCGAACACGGCUUGAAGUAAUCAGACACGGGCGUGUCUCUGCCGAGCCCAAGUUGAGUCCAAUUCUGAAAAGGCCAAUUUUGAGGGUUUUUAGGCAUUCCAAAGCCUAUAAAUACACCCUAGAAGAGGAGAAAAUGGGAGGCAGAGAAGGGGGAGUAAGGAAUUACUCCAAGAAAGCCAAUUGAUCCAUAUCAAAAGCUGGAUUCAUCAUCAAGACUGAAGAUCUCUCCUCAAUUCCCCUUCAGGAGUUUUGGGUUUUCUUUAUGUUUUGUAUUCUUUAUUCUUCUGAGAUUUUUUCUUAUUUAGUUAUGAACUAAAACCCCUAAAUACCUAAGGGGAAUGGAACCUAAGACGAAUCUUGUUAUUAUUUAUUGAAUCGUAUGAUAAAUAUUUAACUUGUUCUUAAUUAUGUGUUCUUAAUUCUUGUUUUGAUAUCCUAUGAUAUUGAUUCAAGAUAUGCUCUUAUUCAGAGGAGGAAUAGACCCUGUUUAAAAGUAAAUUUUUCAUAAUUAAGCGGAGUUGAUUGUGCGCCUAGAAAUAGGGUGACAAGAUUUUACCGGAUUAGGGUGAAACCUAAUAAAGGGAUCCAUAGAUCGAGUUAAUGCAACCCUAGAGUGUGAAUUAGAGAAAAGUCUCGGUUAUUCAAUCUAGGGAUUAGACGUUAUUAGUCUUGAAUAGAGAUAAUAACAUAACUUAGGUAUCUCUACGGAACGAGUUGAAUGAAUAAAUCGUCUGAUUCGGAGCCAGAAUAACAAGUAAAGUCUAGGUGGAUUUUUCCUUAGGUAUUGUCUUAAGUCAAUCGAUUUUUCCCAAAAGCAAUUCCCCAAUUCUUUUCUCUGUGAGUUCUUAGUUUAGAUAAGUAGUUAAUUAAAACAAAACCCCAUUAUUCUUAGGCUAGAUAAUAAAAAGAAAGUCAUUACUAGUACUUUUAGUUCCUUUGGGUUCUACAAUCCGGUCUUGCUAAAACUAUACUACUGUUCAUAGGUAUACUUGCCUACAUCGCGAUAAUAGUUAGUUCAAGAACGAGUAAUUAUAAAUAUUUAAAACCUAUCAUGAAACCUCGGGAUCACCUAAUUUUAACAGUACCAAUACCAAUUACCUUACUAGAUGAAUCGUUUCCCAUGUGCACAACUCCACCUUCAACCGAAUUAUAUGUGGAGAACCAUUCUCUAUUGGGACACAUAUGGAAUGAACAUCCCGAAUCUAGAGUCCAAUCGGACGUGAGGUUGGAGUUAUCGCUCGUUGAUACUAACAAGAAAUCAUCACCAUUUUCAUCAGCUAAAUUAGCACCAGUUACAUCUUCCUCAUUACUCUUAGCAGGUCUUUUAUUUCACAGUUUAUAAUAAUCUACUUUGAUGUGACCUAACUUUUUACAAUAGUGACACCUUUUGUCUCGUUUCUUUGAUGCUACCAAAAUGGAAGCUUGCCUAUCUGUCUUGCUAUCUAAAUGAAACUCAUUGUUGUGUUUGUCUCUACUCAAAAAAUGAUCCUUCACAUCUUCGAACGAGGAGUUUGUCUCUGCCAUAAAUCAGGGUCUCCUUGAAAGACUUGUAUGAAGGGGGUAAAGAGCAUAAUAAUAGCAUAGCCUGAUCUUCAUCGUCAAUAUGAACCUCAACAUUCUUUAAAUCUUUUAAAAGAGUAAUGAAUUGACUGAUGUGAUCUCUAAGAAGCUCACUUUCGUUCAUGCGAAACGUAAAUAGACGUUGUUCAACACUAAACGGUUAGCCAAAUACUUAGUCGCAUAAAGCGUUUCUAACCUUUUCCACAAGGCGGAUUAGGUUUUCUCCAUCAAUACCUCCUGUAAUACCGUAUUCGUGAGGCACAACUAGAUUGUAGACAAAACCUUUUCAUCAAGCUUUUCCCAUUCUCUUUUAUUUAGAUUUUUAGGCUUUUUCCCAGUAACAACCUUUUUCAAGCCAGAUUGAAAUAGAAUUGCCAUUAUUCGAACUUGCCACAGAUUGAAAUUUGUCUCACCAUCGAACUUCUCAAUUUCAAACCUUGUUGUUGUCAUCUAUGAAUGAGCUGAUCUAUGAAAAUUGAACUAGCUCUGAUACCACUUAUUAGGAUUGACCCGAUUAAGCAACAAGUAAAAAAAUAGUGGAAUAAAUUAAGAAAUUGAACACACAAAUUUAACGUGGAAAAACCCCUCCAAAGAGGAUAAAAAACCAUGGCCAAAGAUAAUUUUACUAUAAUGGCAAAAGAACGAAGAGUACAAAAGAUGGAGAUAAAAACUAAAUCCUAAAAACCCAAAAAUAAAGAACCCUCAAAACGUAAACACAAAAUUCUCUAAAUGUGUUAUGAGUUCUAAUAUCUAAUGGGUGUAUUUUCUAAGGUUGUAAAAGAGCCUAUUUAUAGGCUAAAUUCAUAGGUCAAAUAAUAAUAAAAUAAUCUAAACUAAUCAGUGUUUAAUUGAAAAAAAUAAACAGAGUUUAACUGAAAGACUAUUUCUCAAAUUUGACUGAAAAUAGGAGUCAUAUUUAACAAGUGGUACAUCUUAUGUUUGGAUGGUGUUGUUUAAACUUGAUUUUAGCUUACUUGUGUACAAAAUUUUGAUGUGGCUUGUAAAAGUCCAAUAUAUAUAUUGGCUAUUUUUUUUUUGUGCUUCUUGUGAGUGAAUGAAUCAUGGUAGAAUUGUAUGUGAAUGGAAUGAAUGAAUUGGUAAAUUUGGCAUGUGUUCAUGGUAAGGACUUGUGAACUUUGAAUGUGAACUGGUUGAUGUAUGAAGUGUGAUGACAUUGAGGGCAUAUUGGUCAGGUACUUAGGUUGUAUGUUUUGGUACUGUUUAAGCUUGAUUGGAUGUGUUUUAAAGGCAUGUUAAUGGUUGAUUUGGUUUGGCUUGUUGCCUAAGGAAUUGAUAUUGGUUUUUAUUAUUUUGGAAGCUAUUUUAGCUGCACACAUCCUAGGACAUGUGCUGUCACAGAGUCGUGUACCAUACACGUCCUCCUCACAUAGUUGUGUGUCAUUGAUUUUACAUGCAGGUUUUUCCACGCGGUAUUAGACUGUUACACGGCAUGGAGACAUGUUCAUGUGACCUUAUUUUGAAUCUUACACUGUUUGACACAUGGUCUACAACAUAGCUGUGUGAUUGUAGUUCUAUUUGCACACGGGCAGGCACAUAGUCUGCGACGCAGUCGUGUGAACCUAUUAUUUCAAAUUGUACACAAUUUGGCCACACGACCUUAUUCUUGAGCCACACAGUUUGGGCUCUGUCACAUGGCCGUGUGACAUUUGUUUCCAAAAUUUUCAAUUUUUCUAUGAUUUUUUAUUUUGUUUCAAAUUAGUCAUUGAUUGUUUCCAAACUAUUUUUGAAGACUUUUAAGUUCGAUUUAAGGCUUGUAAGUGAAUGUAUGAUAUGCUUAAUGUGUGGAUUGAAUAUUGAUAUUUAAAUUAAUAUUUGAGUGGUUUUAUGAUGUCAUUUGAUUAAUGUAUGACAUAACCCUAAUCUAGUAACAAAUAAAACUUAAGUGUGUUACAGAAGGUUAUGACAACUCACCUGAAUAAAUAGUAGGACAGUUGAAAAUGUUAAUACAAUUAACAAACACAAAGUACAAACGAACUCCAUAUAAACCUUCACAUAGGGUUUUAUCUACUCGACGAGUUCUUUUCCUUUACACUAGACCUUCUCCCGUAUCUUUGGCUAAAAAUAAUCAAAUAACUCUUUUAAAUAUGAAAACAAAUGAAAUUUAACAUUAUAGAAAAAAUCGGUAAAUAAGCAAACAAUUCUAGGAGGAAGUUUUCUUCUUGUCUAGUAUUCAAAUGAAAACCCUAAUAAACAGCUCCUAUGACUACCUCUUCCUAUCUGGUAAAACUUAAAAAAGGAUUUAAGAGUUUUCCAGCAAACAACUUAAAGAAAGUAACUUCUACAAACUUAACUGUCAGUUCCUCUAAAAUCAAUGAAGAACAUUUCUAAGUUUUCUUCGAUGAUAACGAAGGUGAGCAGAGAUGAUGAAAAUAAAAGUCUUCUCUCCACUACUAGGUUGUCCUAUUUAUAGCUAACUCUAAUCCAAAUCCUAGUCUAAUCAAAUUCUCUAAUCAAUAUUCAUGUACAAACGUUUCCACUAAUUAAUCACAUCCUACGAGGUUCUCUAAAGGUCCUAGUUAUUCACACGAUACCCUUAUUAGGAUGCCACAUGAAUUAAAUAUGUCCCACAAACCACUAUUUCUAAUACACUAAUACAUUUAUAAUAACACAAAACAUGGGUGAUAGACUUCAUAGUGGAUGAAUUUACCAAAUAAGGAACCCGCCAACUAAAAAAUAAGAAUAUGCAAGCUUGACGAAGCUCAACGAAAUACUUCACCAAUUCUAACCAGUCUAAAUCUAGCGACUUAGGAAAUUUCGUUAAUACAACCUUUCAAACAUAUCGGUUUGCCAAACGAGGGUGUGACAACUCUCCCAACCUUAUUAAAAAGUUCAUCUCUGAAAUAUCUUUCCUACGAAGAGAUAAGGGUACUACUCUUUCAUGGUGCUUUCUCUCUCCAACGUAGCUUUUUCAAAUUUAUGAUUCCUCCAUAGAACUUUUACUAAAGGAAUUUCUUUAUUCGUGAGUGUAUUUAUCCCUCUAUCCAAAAUAAAGUAGGUUCUUCUAUGUAUGACAAGUUCGGCUCCGCAUCUAAUGCUUCUAGUUGUACCACAUGAUCUGGACCAGAACGAUAUAUUCUUAGCAUUAACUAGAUUAAGGAAUGAAAUUAAUUAGUGAUUAGAUUGAUUAAGUUAUUAUACAAAUAGUAAAUGAAAUAAAUUGUAUGUUACCUAAACUAGAGAGAUUAGAUUAAGGAAAUAAACAAGGUCCUUAAUUAUCAUUAUGCCGCCAUUAAAAUCAUGGUUAGAAAAUUAACUUGAUCAUGGCUAUGAAAUUCCACUAAGCUUAUAACACCCAUUGCUCGAACUGAUCAUCAGGCCUAAGCUAUAGGAUGCCAUAUACGUUGUUGGAGCAACUACUAUCAAAUUCAUCGUUAAUAAAUCAUUCAAACAUUCAAUCAUAUAAUAAAAACAUCCACAUUAUGAUACAUAAUUAAAUUCGAGCCUUAAUCAAGCUUACGAAAGCUCUUUUGUUGACUCGAGCAUGAAAUAAGGCCACAAUACGAACUUUCAAGGUCAAUGUUGCAAUGUCACCAAACAGUUUGACACGUAGUGAUCUCAGGUCACUUGACAUCGUGAUGUGACUUUCUGUUGGCUGACGUUGCGAUGAGGAAGAUUACUCGUUAGGACGUUGACUCUAGUUCUGGCAAAAUUUAUGUAAUUUGGCACCUAUUUCAUGGCUACAUCUCACUCUUCACAUUUGGUGCAUUUUGCUUAUCUUUUCCUAUAAAACAACAUUUCAAACACAUACUAAAACAUUGCAUCUAACCAUUUCAAUUCAACCAUUAUUACAUAACUUCAAAUUAACACCAAAACUUACCAUUUCAACUUAUUCAAUCACAAACCAAUCAUCCAAUCAACUAGCUAUUCAAAAUCAACUUCUCAACUAUGCCAAUCUAUGCUCAGACAAGCUAUUUUAAGUGUCAUUCAUAAUUCAACCAUAUUUUCCAAAAACACAACAUUUACGUUAAAAAUUAGCAUUACCAAAAUCAAACAUAAGAUAGAUUUCAAGUUAUGCCAACUUUCAAAGUUAACAAUUAAAUAAAACCUAUAUACAAGCCACAAAAUUGAGCUUUAAAAUGAUUGAAAAACUGCUAAAUCAAUAACGAGAUAGUGUGUGCUUCAGGCAAUCUGCUUGACACAUUUCGCAAAGUGAUAAUCUAUAAGGAAAAAUAAAGGCAACAAAGUAAGCAUAUUGAAUGUUUAGUAAGUCCAUAUGAAAUUUACUUAAUUUACCUUAACAUUACAAUAAAUUAAACAUUUGAAUACACUAGCAUUCUAUAUAGUAACACCCUAUAGCCGGUCCAGUCGCUCGACUCGAGCAAUAAGGUAUUACAACUAUAAAACGUUAACAAUGUUCACUAACCAAUCAUAAAUAACCAAAUAAAUCAUUUCAUAAAUAAAUCACAAUCAUAUCCAUGCUAAUCAAUCAUAACCAGACUUAAAUUGAGCAUACGGAUCAUUUAAAACAAACCGGAACAAUUCUAGAUUAAAAUGAAACUUUUACAAAAAAAUUAAGUGAAAGUGAAAAUAAGUGUCACACGACUGUGUGACAGAGCUUUGCCCGUGUGGCUCAAGAACAUGGCUGUGAGGCCAAACUGUAUAACAACCUAUACCUGUGUAAAUCAAGGUCACACAGCCGUGUCGCUGGGCAAUGUAGCACUUUGAGACCGUGUGAACAAACUUACACAAAAAUCAAAAAGGCCACAUGACCGUGUCAUGCAACCGUGUGGGGCAUAUGACCGUGUGGUAGAUCGUGUCACAGACUGUGUAUGCCCAAAAGACCAUCAAACAUAAGCCAUUUCAGUUACAAUUAACCGAGCCAUGCAUUAACCAUCACAUUUACCUUUUCAAAAUGUAUCCAAAGAUGACAAAAUAUGCCAAUUCACAUUCAACCUAUGUGCCUAACCAAUAUGCCAUCAUUGGCACCGCAACUCAAACAUUUAAACAUAAACCAAUCAAGCAUCAACCAUUAGCAAUCCAUGUCAACCGUUCCAUGAACUCAAUACCCAAUUAAACACAUUACACCAUUGUUCACAUUGCUAGCAUAUUAUCAACCCAAGUUUCACCAAGUUGCCUAAAGCAUUUAUACCAAAACAACAAUUCAAAAAUGCAUUUGGAUACCAAAACAUACACUUACUUUCACACACCACAACUAAUCAAAUUACCAAAUAAGAUUUACAUCAACACACAUAUUAUAUACUUCAAAUGGCAUCAAAUAUAACCUUAGUGCUUAUAACCUAUAUAACCAAAACCCUAUCUACAUCACCAUUCGAUAACAUUAUUUUACCAUGUCAAUCCAUAUUCAUGGUACAUUUAGAAACAUCAUUCAUACCACAUCCAAAAUACUAUUCAAACAAUUCAACUAUGCCCUAACCAUAUACCAUCAUAAACACUUAAAUACAUAAUAUAUAACCAUUCAAAACUCAAACCACAAUCAAGAACCAUUGUACCAAUAUUCAAGAUUUACCAAAAUGAAUCGCUUAUAUACAUGCCACAAAAUCAAGUUUUAAACGAUAAAAAGACUAUUGAGCCAAUACCGAGAUAGUGUGAGCUUCUUGACGAUUUAAUGACACGUUUCACAUGUUGACCAUCUACAGGGAAAAGGAAAACAAUAGAGUAAGCAUUACAAAUGCUUAGUAAGUUCAUAGGUAUUUAAAAUCAAAUAACUUACCUUAGGUUAUAAUUAUACCCUACAAGUUACUUAGCUUGGUAAAGUUUGCCUAUAAUAGCAAUUCAAAUAUAAAAAAUGUGUGUUCAACAUUUAUCAUAUUAUAUAGAAACUCAAUCAUAUAAUAAUUCAAUUUAACAUUUCAUCAUCAUUUAUAAAAACAUAAUCAUGAUACAUGCACGGAUGGGGUGAAAUUUAUUAAACUAAACUUUAAUUUAAUCUAAACAAGAAGUAGUUUUAUACUAAACUUUCUUGAUAACAUAAAACUUCAAAAUAACUUAAAAUACUUAAUAAUUAUAAAUAAUUUAGAAUAAAUAAUAAUAAAAUAAUAAGAGAUGAUAAAUACAAUAUUGGGAUCAUAUAGUAAAAUUAAGCCUACAAUAUUGGGAUCAUAUAUUAAAAUUAAGCCUAAAACCUGAACCCAAAAUGAUUUAAACUCGAAUUAAAAGCCCUAAAUUUGUAAUUCCCGUCAUAAUCCCGUUCAGAAAUUCUACUUGCACAGUCUUCACUAAAAUGGUCAUAACUUGAGUUCCGAACUCAAAAUCGAGUGAUUCAAAAUGCAUUUUGAAGCUAAGAGAUAGAUAUUCAAAGUACAUGUAGACAUCUAAACCGAGAAAUUCUAGGAUCCCAUCCAAAAAGUCAUCGCAAAUCUGAUGAUUUUCCAAGCCUGAAAAUUGGUAGCUUUGGUGACUGGAAUUUAAUAAAUUUCACCCCAUCUGUACAUGUAUCAUUCUCCCAUUUCUCAAAAAGAUUCGUCUUCGAAUCUUUUCUUUGAUCGAGUCCUGAUUUGAUUUGUGUAGCCUUUGACAUUGUUGUUGGGUCUUGAGGUAGUGUGAAUCUAUCACAUUCAUGGAUCUGAAAUUGUGCCCUGAGACUCGCAUCAAAUCAUCUAAUCAAUUCACUAUCUUAAUCAUAUCGUACAAUCUACUUACCUGUAAUACAUCCCAUUUCAAAUAAUUGCCAAACAUUAUUUUCAUUUCGUAAUUUAAAUUCUCAAACCAAAUCAUGCUAAACCAUAUAAACUUCAUUCUCUUUUCAUAUCAAUUCAUCUUUGAACCAUAUAUAUAUCAAUUGCCAAUUUAUUGUCAAUUACUACUUCAUUUCAUAAUACAAAUUUCUAUUCACAUUCAUUGAUUUGUCUCAUUUUCAUUUUGCCCCGUUGGCUUAUAUAAAUGAUUCUCAAUAUGUAUAUGCAUCAUCCAAUCAUUGUAUCAAAUCAAUCUGAAGAUCAUUUAUUCCAAUCACAUUAUACAUAUUCUUAUUAACCUGACUCAGACUCGGACGGAUACACGGAUCCAACCAACAUACCAAUCUAGCACCCAGUGCUUGACGAGUAAAUUCGUAAUAAUGAGUUACGUCUUGCGUUGGCCGAUAAAACCGACAAAUAAAUGUGCCAAGCACUUCUCAAUUGAUGCAUCGUGAACCAACUAAAAAUUUGACUAAGGGAAGUGCAUCUAUCAAUUAAUAAUAUAGUUAUGGUGAGUAAAGAUAUCGUCCCCAUCAAGACGAAAAGUACUAGUAAUUACCAUCUUUCUAUUAAUCAACCGAUAAAUUCAAAUGAUUGAUUAAAAACUAAAAUUAAAUAAUUUAAUUAACUAAUAAACAUGAGAAAGAAAAAAUUAGGAAAAUAAACCAUUAACAUUAAGAAAGCGAAAAAAUACCUAGGAAAGAAUUCACAUAGAUUUCAUCCUAUCGCUAUCAAUCUAAAUUACAUAGUUUCUUUACUUAUUAACUUGAUCUAUAGAAAUCCCUAAAUUAUGCUAAUAUCUUUUUCGAGAGUAACAGCAGCUGACUCUAGGUUGAUUAAUUGAAAUUUCUUUCUAAUUAAAACCCUUAUUAUAGCAUUAACUCGAGCUUUGGAUUCCAUUAUUAGAUUUGAAUCUAAUCCGGUAGAUUUAUGUUGUCCUAUUUCUAAGAUUACAUACAACUCCACUAAAUUACGCAAGAUCUAUUCUUAAACUGGGUCUAUACCUCCUUUAAUUUAAGCACAUCAAAUAUUGAUUAAUAAUCUAGAAACAUUAUAGUAAGGAUUAAGCACACAUAAUUGAGAACAAGAAACUAAGUCUUUAUUGAGUAAAAUAAAAAUCAAACGACAAAAUCCAUCAUAAGGUUCACCUCCUCUAGGUAUUUAGAAAAUUAGUUCAUAUUUGAAAAUAAAAACAUCCCAAAGACAGUAUAACCAAAAGAAAUAAAGAAACUCAUGAUAAUGUCUUUAAAAAGCAACUAGGAGACUUCAAUCUUGAUGGAAAUCUACUUCAGAAUCGACAUCAAUGGUGUUUUUCGAGUUAUUUUCUUGAAUAUUUUAUGAUGACCCACUCCUAGAUAUAUUCUUAUUUUUUUCAUAUAUACAUGUUAAAAUGCCCAAAAAACCUAAAAAUAGCAUUUUUCGUAGUUUAGGAUAUCAAUUCGUGAAAUCGACAUGACCUUCCACACAUGGCCUUGUGGCAACCCGGGAGGAAGGGGUUAGCUUGUGUGGCUUUUGUAGCUUCUUCUGAUUUAUUGUUUUGUGCUCUUUUUUUACUCUUUUUUCUCCCAAAUGCUUUAUUUAGCAUAAUUAAAUGAAUUUAAAGGUUUAAGAGCAUAAAAUUCACAAUUAACAUCGAAUAAUCACCAAAAAACGCAUUAAGAAUAAGAUUAAAACAUGUUACCUUUAACACUUAUCAAAGGUAUAAUUGACAAACGGGUCCCUGACAUGUAGUCGUAUAACAUUGAACUCUUCCUAUCCUAUGACAUGCCAAUUAUACCCGUACAAUUAAUAAGGUAACAAGUUUCUCAUAUUCAUUUUAAACCAAUUCCUAAUUCCAAUAUCGUAAUAUAAAUCAACCAAAUCAAGAAUUCUCUCUCUAUAUAUAUCAUAUCUCAUCACCACAUUAGUAUAGUUCCAUAUUUCAAAUAAUAUUUAAUAUUUUCAUAUCUAUUCAAUUCACUUCUUUUCACAUACAACCAAUUUAAAUCGAAUCAAUUCAGCUUAUUUUAUCAAAUCAUCACUUUAUCACAUAACAUAUCCUAUUUCAAUCCAAUUCAAAGUCAAUUCCUCAAUUUAUCAAAUUAUACUAUCUUCAAAAUUUUUCAACUUAAUAUUCUAUCUCACCUUUUUGUACCGAAUUGUAAACAACCAGAAUUCCAAUUAAACAUAUUUAAAAUUAUAUUUUUAAAUGCAUAACAAUUUAACACAGACAUACUGUAUGAAUUUUCCUAGUCAAGACAACAAACAACAAUUCUCUAAGGACUAAUCAGCAAAUUUUGUUAUUUCCCCGACUAUCUUCAAUUUGGUCCAAUUUUCGAUAUGCAAUUGGAAGAAGUUGACCUUAACUCCCUAGCUCUAACAAUGGUGGUUCGGUUGGGGAAGAAGAAAAGAAUGAAGAUGAUGAUGAGUUUUGAAUUAUUUUUAUGUUUACUUAACUUUUAACUUUAAUUUAAUAUAAUUUUAUUAUAUAAUUUUAAGUAAAAUAAAACCUUACCCAUCCAUAGCAAUCCAUUAUGGUCUAAACACCAUAUAAGUCCUCCCAAUUUUACUAAAUAAACUUUUUAAUUAAUAAAAUUCAAUAGCGAUCAAAUUUUACGCCUUUUUAUGAUUUAGUCCUUUUCGUUUAAUUAAUUAUUCAAUUGCUAAAAUUUUUGGACCAAACUUUAAUUCACCUAUAUAACAACUCCAUCAAUAUUUAAUAAAAAUAUUAACGGGCUCAGUUUAUAGAAACAAGGUCCUAAAACCUCAUUUUCCAAAACUCGUAACUGUUGGUAUGCAGCACUUGUACCUAGACUAACUGGCCGAUUAAUAAAAUAUAUUAAAUCACGAAACUACUGUUUUCGACACCACUAAAAAAUAUUAUAGUAUAUUUAAUUAAUAAAUAUGAAUUAAAUAUAUCUACGGACUCUCUUGUCGGAGUUGUGAUCUCGAAACUACUGUUUUCAACACUACUAAAAAAUAUGUUAUUACAUAUAUAGAACCCAUUGACAUCUUUAUAGUAUCAUAUGCAUAUCAUCAAAUACAACCAAUACGUUAGUUCGCUUAAAAAUCUAAAACUAAUAAGAAAAAACAUAUAUAUAUACAACAAUGCCAUUAAAUAUCAUAUACCAUCCAAUUCAUAUUCAAUUUGAAAGAAUAUUCAUGUUCAAACCAUUUCAACAAUUUUAUUUCCAUUAGGUCACUAUUUUUGCUCGAGAGAACCUUAGUAAAUAAAAUCGAAAACUCAAGAUUAUAUUGCUCAAGCAAGCUAACAUCGUAUCGAGGUUACCAGUACAAGCUAAAUCAACAAUACAUAUAAACCAAGAAUCUGCAAAAAAAUGUUGAGUCUCAUAUAACCAUGUAUAUCCCUGAUUUUUUACAUAUUUGACCCUAAUGGCAUGUCAUACGUAUCCUAACUGUAACGCCCCAAAAUUUGAGUUUUUGUUACUAAGUUGUGUCAAUGAAUCUGUGUCUGCCUCUUUGAUUGUGUGUUCUAUUUGCUCACUUGAGAUAUGAGGUUCGAGUCACAUAAAUUUUGAAAUUUGUUAAUUCUUUAUUUGAAACUUUAGCUUAAGAUUCCUUGUUUAAGUUUAAUUAUAUGCCUUUUUGUGUCAAGAAUGAGCCUAUUGGUUCACUGGUUAAGCAUCUACCUAUUCUCUGGUUCCAUGUUCGACUUUCUGCGUAUGCAACAAGGAUUGUAUUUUUGUACUUUUUCGCCAAAUUGAAUUUUAAAUGCUCUUUCCCUCUACAGUUAUUUAGACCUUUUUUCAUUUCCUCCCAAAUUAUUUUUUUAUUUGUUUACAUUUUUCUUAAAGUUUUCCUUUUUUUGGUCCUAUUCAUUCUGUGUAAUUGCUACAUCGGGUUGUGUUCUUACUUGUUCCGGUGUGUUUUAAGGUAACUUGAGUCGAUUGUUUUUGUUAUAUUGUGUUAUUGUCCGAAUUGAGGAAAAUCUUCGAAAUCUAGAGUUUGUUUGUUAAUCUGGUUGUUCAUUGUGUUCCGAUGUGCUAGGGGGACUCAAGAGACGUCUAACACUGCUCAUUUUACUUAAAAACCGAGUGCGUACUAGGAAUCCAAGGUAAGUUGACUUUCAUUCGCUUCGUGUAGUGAGUCAAAGGUUUCAACGAAACUUGAUUGUUGUUACUUGCGUAUUUUGCGAAUAUGAUGUUGAAUUGAAUGUUUGGAAACUGUUUUAGGCUUGGAAUUUGCAAUUGGCUAUUUCUACAGCAUUGUCUAACAGGUGGGUAUCGAAACCCCUUUCUUUCCUGCAUUUUUCUUCGUCAGAAAAGGGACUGUCGAUGGCACACGAGCUGCCGCACGGGUAUGUGUGCAAGCCGUGUGAGCCACACAGUCGUGGGGUAGGCCGUGUAACUUCUUAACUCUGGAUUUGGGUCACACAGGCUGACACACGACCAUGUGUCCAGGCCCUAUAACUCACUGACUUUAGAUUUAGGUCACACGGGGCAAGCCACACGACUGCAUGUCCAAGCUAUGUAACUCACUAACAUCAGAUUUGGCUAACACAGACAAGCCAUAAGGGCAUGUGUCCAGGCCAUGUAACUCACUGAUUUCUAAUUUGAGACACACGAGUACCCAUACGGAUGUGUGGAGCCACUCGGGUGUGUGAGCCUAGAAAUAGAAAUUUUUUUAAGGUCGAAGUUGGUGUGCGAGGCGAAUGUAAUUCGUCCGUAAGAUGUGUAUAUACUGAAUAAAUUGUAUGAUCUAUUUUAUUGUGAAUAUUCAUGAAUCAGGAUAUUGGUAUGAGCUAGAUAUGAAUGAUAUCAACCCUCUGUUAUAUUGAAAGUGUGUGAUCGUAUCUGUAUCUGAAUUAUAUAUAUCUGUCAUCUGUUCUUCAUCUACAUGGGGUGGGAGUUAUGAUUUGAAGGAAGUGUUCUAUAUUAAUUUGGUGUUCGAACCACCCAUAAUUACAUCUGAUUUGGUAGUGAGACUGUAAACACUACAAUGUGUCGUACCAACAUUAUAAGGUGUGUGGGGAUUGUAACACCCCGUACCCGAUACCGUUGCCGGAGUCGAACACGAGGUAUUUACGGACUUAUUUCAUUGACUUACACAGUUUAUUUUUUUUUUCUAAACAAGCUGGCUAACUGCAUCACAGUCACUUUAAAAAUCAUAUCUCGAGUUCCGAAGCUUGAAAACUGAUUCCGUAAAUUUUCCCUGAAACUAUACUCAUAUAUCCAUCUACAAUUUUUUUCUAGAAUUUUUAAUUGGGCCAAUUAGUACAGUUUAUUAGUUAAAGUCUCCCCUGUUUCAGGGUUCGACUGCUCUGACCUUCAUGCAUUACGACUUAUAUAUCUCCCUGUACAGGGCUUAAAUACUUAUGCCAUUUGUUUAUAAGGAAACUAGACUCAAAAAGGAAUCUAUACAUAUAUGGCAUGACUUCUAAUUACCUCUGGUUAAUUUAUAGUGAAUUUCCAAAGUCAGAUCAGGGGAUCCAGAAAUCGCUCUGGCCCUGUUCCACGAAAACUUAAAUAUCUCUUAAAAUACGACUCAUAUGAUCAUUUCAUUUCUUCCAUAUGAAAGUAGAUUAAUCAAGGUUCGAUUACAUAAUUUAUUCACUAUUUAAUUCCAUUCCUAAUAUUUUUAGUAAUUUUUCAAAUUUACAUCACUGCUGCUGUCAGCAUCUGCCUUUAAGGUAGACUUUACCUAUUUCAUAGUUUCCAUGAUUCAACUAGCCCUUUAGCAUAUAUAGCACAAAAUAUGAUCAUGAUCAACCAUUCCAAUGGCCAAUCAUUGCCAAGCAUAUCCACACCUCUCAAUAACCAUAUACAUACAAAAUGAUUAUAACACUAUGCUCAAAAUAUAUAAGCCAUUUUCGCAUGGCUAUCCAAAUAUAUACAACACCAAAGUACUUGACUAAUAACACAAGGGCAGUCCUAUACAUGCCAUUAGCAGAGUUCAACUAAAAGAGUACCACAAGGGCUUUGAUAGUGUGGACGACUUCGACUUUGACAAUCCCGAGUCCGAUAGCUGAUGAACCAAAAUCUAUAAAACAGAGAAUCAAAGAAACGGAAUAAGCAUUUAAUGCUUAGUAAGUUUUGAGCAAUGAAAUUAGGCACAAUUGAAGUAUAGCAUUCAUAUGACUAAACGGAUAAUUUCAUAUACACACAUUCUCAAAAUCAUACCUACUUCACAUUACCAACCCUUAUACUCAUACAUAAGAGAUCAACUUAACCAAAAGCCGGAAGCUCAUUAAUCGACUGAGCGAAUACUAUUUAAAAGGAAUCAACUAAUCCAAUGCAUAUACGAAACAUACCUCAUCGUGGGAUUUUACGAGCAUAUUAAUUGAAAUUAUUACAGCAAGAUCGCUCAUUCCCAAACCAAGUACCUUUGGGAUUUAACCGGAUAUAGCUACUCGCUCAAAUGCCUUCGGGACUUAGCCCGGAUAUAGUAGUUCACACAAAUGCCUUCGGGACUUAGCCCGGAUAUAGUAACUCGCACAAAUGCCUUUCGGACUUAGCCCGGAAUUAGUAACUCUCACAAAUGCCUUCGGGACUUAGCCCGGAAUUAGUCACUAGCACAAAUGCCUUCGGGACUUAGCCCGGAAUUAGUCACUAGCACAAAUGCCUUCGGGACUUAGCCCCGUUAUCAUCCGAAUAUUCAUGCACAUAUCAGUAAAUCAUGACACAUCUUUAUUUCAUUUUCAUAACUACAAUUCAAACACAAGUCAACUACUAAGCAUUCCCAUUUUUGGCUCAAUAGCCACAUACAAACAGCAUGAUUUGGUUUGCUUUAUGACAUGAUCUCUAUGCACAUACGGCUACCCAUCAUACGUAUAGACUAAUUAACUCAACAUAUAAUUCAAGUAGAAUCAUUAUAUCACCGUAUAUUUGUUAUGAUUAUACGUCAUGACUUAAUCAAAUCGUAAACUAAGUUUCAUUACUCGAAAACUUACCUCGGAUGUUGUCGAACGAUUUCGACGGCUAUUCGAUCACUUUUUCCUUCCCUUUAUCGGAUUUAGUUCCCCUUUGCUCUUGAGCUUAAUUUAACAAUAAAUUGAUUUAAUCAUUUGAACAUCAAAAAGAGAAACUCAAGGCACUUAACCCAUAUAUACAUUAGACAUUAGAGUCACAUAUAUAUGAAAUCAUGAAUCAACUCAACAUAUUAGCCCACACUCUCUUUUAGCCGAUUAUCUAAGCCAAGAUAAAAGCAUCAAUAUGCUUUCCUCUAACCGAAUACAUGCAACACCAAUCUACCUCAUGUGGCCGAAUAUGCAUGCUAUGUUGAGGCCGAUUAUAUGCUUAAUACUUCCUACAAAUAUGGUUACCUGUAUUGACUACAUACCAUUUUGUUUCAAGUUCAAAACUCGGCCAAUACACAUAUAUACACUAGUAAUCAAAUACUAACAUUUGCACUUCACCUUACUACCAAUUCUCAUCUACUUCCUACCAUGGCCGAAUGCAUCAAGACACCAUACCAUUUCAAUUUUGGUCAUGGGUUAAACAAAGAACUUAAUGUCUAACUCAAAAAUGCUAAAAAGAAAAUCCAAGAGUCAUCAAUCACCAUCACAUGUAUCAUCACAAAGCUUCACACUUAGCAUGCAAAUGACAUCAACACAAGUCCACCUUAGCCGAAACUUAACUCAUCUUCAUGCCUCAUCACCACAACAUCAAACACCAACCAAGAAGACAACACCCAUGGCCGAAUAUCAUCUCCAUCUCAUAGCAAAGAUUUAAACCAUGGGCUAGGUAGAACUCAAGCUAACAACUAAAAAUAUGCAUGAAUCUCAUGGAACAACAUCAACAUACCUUAGUCUAGUGAACCACCAUAGCCGAUUUUCUCCAAGCUCUUUCCCUUCUUUUUCUUUCUUCUAUUCAGCCAAGUUGAACAACAUGAGAACUUUUUCUUUUUUUUCUUCAUCAUUUUCCUUUUCAUUAUUUUAUUACCAUGCUCCUUAUUUUAUCAUUCCUCCCAUGAAACACUAACAUAGCAUGUUUAUAAUACCUUUUUACCCAUAGCAUGGUCGGCCACCUUCCCAAGUUUUGGGUAUUUUGACAUGCAAGGACUACAUUUUCUAGCAUGCAUCAAUAGGCCACUUUAACAUUUGCCUAGCACAUUUCUAAAUUUUCUCACACAAGUCCUAUUUAGCAAAAUUCACUUACAAUUAACAAAAUUCAAACAUGAAAUUUUCACACAUGCCUAUAUACAUAUAAUAAGCAUCAAAUAUAAUGGUUAAUUAUUUUUAUGACUCGGUCUUGUGGUCCCGAAACCACUUUUUGACUAGGGUCAAUUUAGGGCUGUCACAGGGAUGGAUGGGUAAUAUAUACCUAUUGGUAUGUAGGGUGGAUGGAGAUGGUGUGUAGCGUUUGGGGUGAGAAAUUGCAUCUGUAUCUGUGUCCAUAUUACAUCUGUAUCUGCUACUAAAAUUGUGUUACUUUUGCAUCUGUAAUUGAUCUGCUAUAAAUUAGGUUUGUUUUGUGUCCGAAACUGUCUUGAGUUAUUAAUCUAACUGACAAGACUGAGUUUCUAUCUGAACACCCAAUAAUGUCUGAACUAUCAUACAUAGACUAAUUUGUUUAUGCUAAAUUCUAAGCUACAACACACUAACUAUUUUGAUUGAAUUUCAAGGAACUCCUAGAGCUAAACGGUUGGCAAAUGAGGGGCUCGAUCAUCUAUCUGACUUAUUAUAUAUAUAGUGCGUGUGUGUGUGUAAAAUUUAUGUCUUUGAUUUCAUAUUUAAGUUUCAAAGAUUCAACUAUGUUUUUAGAUAACGAAUGAUUUUAUGGCUUAAUUAUGGAUUGAAAAACUCGCUUUAAGUAUGACUAUGAUCUGAUAAGUUAAUGACAUUCUAAACUUGGCCUUCCCGUCCAGGCUAGGUUCAGGGUGUUACACUAGUCCUUUACUAACUUCACACGGGUAUUAUUAUAGUAAUAAUAUCAUUUCCAUGUAACAAUAUAUACAUGUGAUACCAAUCUUAUAAACAUUCCAUUUCCAUUUUGGUACCUUAUACAUGUCCAUAAUUACCAUAUUUUCACACUUUGCAAUUUAGUCCAAUUUAUGCCAAAAUCACAUUUAUAUAAACUAAUAAAAAAAUAAUUACAAUUCAAUUAAAACAUGAAACAAAACAAUAAGUUCUGUAUGAACUUACCUAAUGAAACAACAAACGAACAAGUCUUUAAGGACUAAUCAAUAAAUUUUCCUUUUCCUCGAUUAUCUUCUAUUUGAUUCAAUUCUUGAUCUAUACAAUAAUUUGGUUCAAUUUAUCAGUUGCAAAAUUUUUAUAACAUCUUAUUAUAUGCAUGAAUUAGUUCAAUUUCAUUUUUUUAUUGCCUCUAAAGCUUUAACUUUUAUUCAAUUUAGUCCCUAAAAUUGAAAUUUCUAUAACUUUCAAUUUUGAGGUUUUCUUUCAAAACUGAUCUAGAUGACAUCCUUCUAUGACCUCUAUUAUCUAUUAUUAUAGAAAUUUCACAUCAAUUUCAUAAUUUAUACACUUUAGUCUUAUGUUUAAAAACAUUUGUACCUUAAUUAACUAUUAAUUCAACAAAAUUACUAGACCAAACUUUAAUAAACUUCUAUACUAGCAUUGUAAAUAUUAAAUAAAUAUUAACAUUACAACCACGAUAAAAAUACAAAAACAGGGUUCUGAAACCAUUGUUUCCAACACCAUUAAAAAUCGGGUUGUUACAAAGCCUAUCAUUUUAUAUUUACAACCAUUGAUUUAUUGUUAACUAUAUCAAUUAAGGUUAAUAAUGUUAAUAUGGUUGUGGGAUGAAAGAGAAAAAAUCAUUUCUUUUCUCUUUUUCUACAUUUGGCUAAGGAGAAAACAAAAGAGAGAUUUUGGUUCUUGCAUACCACCAAUAUUGUCUCUUAUCUAGUUAGCUAAAGAUGACGCCAAAUCGUUGAGGGAUAAAGGAAAUGUGAAAGUCGUAGAUGAGUAGCAUAUUUGGUUUGUGCUUCCAUAAACUUUUUUCAAUUUAUAGCUUAUUAAGUAGUAAAUUGGAUAAAGUAAUCUUAAUGAUUUGUCUCAUAAAAUGUAAGUUAACUUAUGAUGUAAUGUUUUGUUAAACUAUUGAAUGUGAAUAUAAUUAUGCUUACAUUUGUGACAUAGUAUGAAUAUGAAAUUCUGAUAAAAUGAUUGAAUGAUAUUUGAAUAUAUGUACCUUGGUAUUAUGAGUGUCCUAUUAAACAGUCUCGAAUAGAGAUACAUAUAUAGUUGGAAUGCCAAAUGAUUCAUUUAGGGAGAUAUUGUAGUGUCGGUCGCAUAUUACUUAGUUGAUAUAUCGAUGAGUGUUAGGCAAUGUACUACUUUGGUUAUGUACCGAUGAUCAAGGGUGGAUAUAUAUAAUUUAGCGUCGAACAUGUAUUGCUUUGGUUAUAUAACCAAAAAUCAUGUGUGAAUUUUAGGUGUAUUGGUGGUUUAAUCUGCAUAUCUGGUCUUGAGGUCGUAUCUAGUUAAUAAAAGUCAUAAUAUGACUAUGAUAUAUCAUUAAAUAUAGAAAUGAAAUGUGAUAUGAUUAUGAAAAUGAAAACCAAGAAAUUGAUUAUGAAAUUUGAAUGGCAUGUGAAAAACCUUGUGAGAUAUGAGUUAAAAGCCCUGAGGGUGAUUUGAUAUGUGUUAUACAUGACAUAAAUAAUAUUACAAUGAUUUUGAGAAAAGUAUUAAGAAAUGAUAACAUGAAGUGUUAAUUUUAUUUUUGGCUUGAUUAUAAAUAAUUUAUAGCAUGUUUGCUUAGUAUAUAUAUGUAUUGUUAUCAGAUUAUGUAAGCACCAUAGAGCUAUUUUUCUCAGGCGCAAAUUGUUUGCUUCUAUGCGUAGGUGACAAUUAGAACUCAGACUGAUUGAAGAAUGUCAACAUCAUCCAGAUCUCACAUCUCAGCUCAACCACAUCUAUGUAAAAUUUUGUUAUAUUUUUUAAGUUGUAAAGGCAUGUACCUUGAGUCUUGGUGAUGUGUUGUUGCUUUGGUAGAGUUGGAAGCAUAUUUUGGUCAUUAUGGCCUUUGAUAAUGGCAUUUAGUUAUAUAUAUAUAAGUUUUGGUGAUGUUCUGUAUUUAAUCAUGUAUGCCCUUAUAUGCUGAAAAUGUGUUGUUUCAACUUUGCUUCCUUUAUGACUUCUUCAUUUUGUUGAUACUUUACUUUGGAUGAUUCUUGGUAUUCAAUUCUAUUUUGAUAUUUAUUUCAGUUUCUCAUUAGUAUCUCAUAUGUACUAAUGGCAUGAUGAUAGGGGGAGCAUAUACCAUUUACUUAUGAUUUGUCGAAAAGACAAAAGGGGGAGAUGGUUAAGGACCAAGACUGUCUAGGACUAAUGACUUGAAUCUUGUUCAAACACCUGUUUGAACAGAAUUCAAACAAUGGUUUAAACACUUGUUCAGACAAGAACUUUAGGACAACCUAAGUACUAUGAGCUUUCAGCUUCUUAACUUAAGCCUACAUAUACAUUUUUACCAUAAGAAAAUGGACUCGAGGACAUUUUAUUUCAUCUUAAAAUCAUGUGUAUCACACGUGGUGUCUGAAAGAAGAUAGAGAUCAACAUGAUCUUAUUGAAUAAGGCUCAUACAUAUCCUUCAAUCAUUAGCCUAGGUAAUUUAUGUGUUGAUAUUAUGAAGAUUAUCAGGCUUUAUCUUGAGAUAAGUUUUAAAUAUUAUUUAUCCAAGAUUAUUGUGACGUUAAAGAAGUAUUUAUCUAUACAAAACUAUUUUAGAAGGCUACCUAAUUUAAUCUAUAAAUAGGCAGUAUAUUCGAAUGAAUGGAUGCAUCUUUAAAAGAGUUCUUGUGUUAAUUUUGGUAGGUUAUUUGUUGUGGACUUUCCUUGAAUUUUUGUAUUCAUUUCAUAGGAACUAUUUGUAUGAGUUUUUUAUUAUAUUGUGAGGUUUUAGGUGAGUGAUUUGUAAAGGUUAGGCUAUCUAUUGGAGCUGCAAUUGCUUGUUGUGUAAGGGUAGAUUGAGCUUUAGCAAAUAGAUAGUUCAUCCAAUUAUUGAAAAAAAUAAUUCACUGAAUGAGGCUAUAUAGAGUAAGAUUGAUGAUUUCAAACUGUGUGAACAAUGAAGCGGACAGAUAACAAACUAAGGUUCUAACAAAAAUAAAAAAACUAGGAAAUGAUCUGCCUUUCAAAAAAAUGGAGCUCCUUCCUCUAAUUUAUUAAUUGCAUAUGAUCUAUUUUGUAAGGCUUCAGUAGAACAAACUUUGAUAAUUCAAGAAAUUCUAGAGGAGUUCAGUUAUAUUUUCAGCCAGAAAAUCAAUGAGUUGAAGACACAAAUUUUGUAUUUGUCUACUACGACUUUAGAGGAUAAGAUGAAGAUAUACAAAACUUUGGGAUUUCAUUUGAAAAACGUUCUUGAUAGCUACAUUUGGAGAGCCACUUUUUCAUAAAAAAAGUGACUAAGAAACCUAUUGAUCUGCCGUUGACAGUGUAAAAUAGAUUAAGCGAAUGGUGGUCUUAGGUUAAAAAGUUUAAGAAAGCAUACCAAUUGUUUUUGCUGAAAUGAGGCUUUUAAUACAUUCACCAAUCCAAAAGCUCUUUGGGUUCAAAUUCUUAAAAGCAUGUACACAUUUGGAAGGAUACUAUCAAAACUAAUAAUUUCUCUUUUAUUUGGCAAUCAAUCUCGAAAGCCUUUCAGGAGCUAACUGUGUACUAGUCAACUAGAAAUGGCAAACAAAUCAAAUUUUGAAAUAAUUGUUGAAUCCUUAUGUAGGACCAAUAAGUGGUUUUUGCAUUGAUCCUAAAGUAGAUAAUGAUCUGUAUGUUAGUGACGUGGUAGAUGGAAAUGUUUUUGAUGGACUUCUGAACCAUUCAAUUGUUCUGAAAAUUGAAAGAAUACGAUCGCCUCACCAAAUGAGCAAGCUGGUGAUGAUGUCGACGCAUGGCAAUGGAACAAGAAUGGUCAAUUCAUUGUUGUUGAGAUGUACAAGUAUCUAACCAAGACUAAAUGGGAACUGGCCAACAAAGUGUGGAAUUAGAACUAUCAAGGGCCUUAAACUGACAAUACUUGUGGCUCACUUUUAAAAAUAAGCUCUUAACUAGUGGAGAAAGUUGCAGGCGAGGCAUUUCAAAUGUUGCUUAAUGUAGUUUAUGUGAUGAGUGCUAGGAAACAGAUGUCCAUGCCUUAAGGGAUUGCAAGCAUUGACUUCGAAAGCUAUUGUACCAUAAGGCCAACAUGCGAAAUUUCUUGAUACUCAUCUCUAGCGGUGGUUUCUUGAAAAUAGACUGGAUUAAAAUCAAAACUGAUGGCGUUGCUAAGAACAACAAUGAUUCUGCAUCAGCUGGAGGAACUAGAAAUUUUGAUGGCUAUUGUGGGAUGCGAUAGAAAUAUGGGGAAUUUCAUGUUUCUUUAAACUGAGUUAUUAGGUAUCCUUGAUGGCUUAUCUAUUGCUUGGUCAAAAGUAUUUAGGAUGGUCUAUCGAUUUCUUUCAUCAAUAAAAUACCUUCACUCUAGACACUCUAUUAGAUAGAUUUUUUUUUCAUCAAUAAAGGUUUAAACCUUUUAAAAGGUCAUUUUUGUGGUUGAACUUUUGUUUAAUCAAUCUGAAAAAUGUAGGACGAUUGUAGUCCAUGGAACAAAAAUGAAAACCCUUUUGCCAUACAUAAUUUAUUUUAUUAUAUUUUAUUAUCCAGAAUUUAAUUUGUUUUAUAUCUUAUGUCAUGCAUUCUUAAUCAAUAUAUCAAAUCAAUUUAGGGAAAAAUCAAAUCAAUCCUAAAACUCAAAUCAAAUCAUAUUGAUCUUCAUUAUUUUUGAAAGGGCUAAACAUUUUUUUAGGGAGAGCAAGGAAAAUGGUGAAGACGGUAUUUGUCGACAAUAUACCGGAAAUCAUGCAUUGGAAAGGUUUAUGGACGUUAUUCAGUUUUCAUGGGAAUGUUUUGGACGCUUUCAUUCUAGUUAAGAGAAACAAAGUAGGUAAAAGAUUCGACUUUGUAAGAUUUAAUAAUGUAGAGGAUGCAAAGAGGGCAAUAGGCAGGCUCGAUGGUUUUGUGUUGCUAGGAAAGAAGAUAUGGGUGAAGAGGGCUAGGUUCAGUGGGAAUAAAAGAAUAUGAAAAAAUUAAACGAAAAUGAAUCUUUACGCUAUAAAUAGGAAAGUCAGACGAGAACGGUGGAGUACCAAAAGGAGGAUGGGGGCACAUUGGACAACAAAGAAUUGAACAAUACAAAAAUUGUAGUUGGUCAUGUCGAUAAUGAACAAUUAUAGAAAUUGCAACGCUACUUGGUAAGGAAAAUGACGACUAUUUGCAGUCUCAGUAGUCUAACUGAAAGAAUUGCGAACAUGGGCCUUGGAGAAUUAAUUAUUAAAAGAAUCCAGGGUAGAUAUUUUCUGAUAGAGGUUCCGGACGAGGAGAUGAUGGAAAUUUUAAAACAAAGAGAUUGGGCAUAUCUUAAUGAGUUCUUCAUCAAGGUAGAGCUCUGGACAGAAAAAUUUCAAGUUUCGGAGAGAACAAUGUGGAUUGAAAUUGCAGGAAUUCCCUUUCAUUGCUAGAACUAUAAAACAACCAAGAGAGUGGUGGACAUUUGGGGAGAGAUUUUUGCAAUGGGUGAAAAUUUCACAAUGAUGAACAACUUCAAGAAUAUGGACGUACUGAUAAUCACGAAGCAGGCUAAAAGAAUUGAUGAGGUAAUAACAAUGGAGGUCGGUAGAGAAAAAAAUCUAGAUUCCAAUUACUAAAAGAGAGAUGGUGGAAAAUUUUAAGGAAAAUCACAAAAAGAUUGGAGAUCUUAAGGGGAGAGAUGAGGAAGUAUCAUCGAAAAAAAAUGGGUAACAAAAUCAGUACCAGUAACAUCUUUGGAAGGGAUUCGAAGAGAUGGUAUUGUAGAAGUUAUUGCUACAGACCUCGAAAAUAAAGGAAGGGGUAAUAGGAUGUAGGUUUUGUCAGAUGAAGGAUUUAUUGUGUAUCACAAUUCACAAGGAAACUUGUUGAGUAUUCCUGGUGUAGGGGUGACAAAUGCAACAUUACCAAUCAACAUAAUUUCAGACUUAAAUAAUAUGGGUCUAGGGUUGGGUUUGGAGCAGCUUAAUGGAUCAGAGACCCAAUGUGAGGAUGAAUGUGGUAUGGGCCUGAAUUCGAAUGAAGAGGCAGAGAACCAUGAUUCGGGGCCAAGGUAGAUAGGCAAUAUGUAAUUCAAUUAUGGUGCGCUGAUAUGGAUGGAAGCCCAAAGUCUAAACAAAAUCAGAAUCUAUCAUCUGACUUAGAAAGCCAGAAGGGAAGUUUUUUUCAUCAAAGAUUGAAGGGGAUAUCGUUCAAAUUAGGCCAAACAAAAAGAAAGAAGAAAGCUCUUAACAAAAAAAUUAGGUAUAUGCAUGAGAUUCAAGACACAACCCUCACAUCGAAAGAGAAACUGAAGACGGAUAGAGGGCUAAGAAAAUAGAAAGGAAAGGGGAUUUUGAGAUCAGAUGACAGUGUUGCAAAUUUAUCUAUCUCGGACUUCGAUGUUAGCAAUAGAAGAAGAGUUCUGUUAAGGGAAGCAAAAAAGACUUGGGAGGUAGGGAAAAGACUGUGUUUCAGCGUGUAUGGUAACGAGGAACAAAUUACUGGAGAAAUCAUGAAGAUCAAUGGGAAGCAGUAGGGAACGCUCAAGAAUGGGGAUCGAGGGAUUAUGGGAUUCGGGUAAGUGGUUGCUUUAGUAUUUCUUGCUAUCAAUUAGAUAACAUUGUCAGGAGUAUGAGAAUUAUCACGUGGUACAUCAGGGGGUUGGGAUCAACUCUCAAAGUUGAAGCGAUUAAUAGAGUUUUAAGAAUGAAUAGGGCUCAUGCAUGUUUAAUUCAAGAAAUGAAAUUGGAUUCGGUGUCGGUGGAGCUGGUUAGAAAAUAUGAGGUGAUGAUAGGUUUGAUUUUAAAUAUGCCAUAGCUGUAGAAAGGUUAGAGGGAUUAUUAACAAUUUGAGAUAAGGGUAGUUUUAUGGAAUAAGUCGAUUUGUGUAAGAGGAGGAUUAUUGCAGUAGUAGGAAAAUGGGUAGCCGUUGAGAAGGAGGUGACUUUGGUUAAUGUUUAUGCUCCAAACAAUUUUGCAGAACAAAAAAUGUUAUAGGAAGAAAUUUAUGGUUUGAGAAAUCAAUUCUGUAAAGCUUGGAUUGUAGGUGGGGAUUUUAAUGUGGUGAGGAAUCGUAGUGAAAGAAUAAAUUGCUCAAGCACAGAGAAGGGAUCAAAGGAAUUCGAUGAGUUCAUUGAUAGAUUGAAGCUGGUUGAUUUACCUUUAAUUGGUAAAAAAUUUACAUGGUUUGGUCCAGAUAGUAAAUGCAGCAGGUUGGACAGAUUCUUAAUUGAAGAAGACUAGGUGGUUCAGUUUAAGGAUUUACAAUAGAAGGGUCUCAACUGAUUUGUAUCGGAUCAUAUCCCAGUGAUGUUGGUGGAUGAAUCAGUAGACUAGGGUCCUCGACCUUUUAAGUUUGUCAACGUAUGGUUGAAAAAGGAAGAAUGUUUGAAGUUGAUUGAAAAGGAAUGGUCAAGAAUGGAGGGCUUAAGAGGAAAAACGGUUGUCAAAUUGAGAAAAUUGAAGGAAGCUAUUAAGAAGUGGUAUAUGGAAGAUGAAAAUACUUUGGAAAGAAGUAUUAUGGAAAGUGAGGCUAGGAUUAAGGCGAUUGGUGAUAUAAGUGAAAAUAGAAAGUUGGCCGAGUUGGAGAUGGAUGAGUUAAAACAAUUGAACAUUGAGGUCUGUGAAGCAAUUAAACUCAAAGAAUCUAUCUGGUGUCAAAAAUCGAGGAUGACUUGGCUUAAGGAAGAGGAUGCAAAUAGUGCUUUCUUUCACAAGGCGGUCAAGAUUAAAGCCAAAAGAAAAAUGGUUUUUAGCCUAAAAAUUGGUAGUCGUAAUAUUAAGGACCCUAAGGAGAUGAAAGAGGGUCUUUUCAAUUACUUUAAAAAUUAUUUUGAUUGCUCGGUAAGAAGGUGGAAAAUGGGAGUGGAUUUGAACUUCAGAUUGCUUAGUGAGGAAAGUGCGAGGAAAUUGGAGGAGCCUAGACCAGACGAAUUCAAUUUGUACUUCUAUAGAAAGUGUUUGAAGAUCGUGAAAUAUGAUUUAUUUGGGGUAAUGUCAGAUUUUUUCUCAUUUGGAAAACUUGAGAAGAGUAUUAACUCCUCUUUUAUCAUUCUUAUACCAAAGGUGGAAAGCCUAUUGAGAUUUCAGAAUUUAGACCAAUCUAUUUAGUGAGCUCCCUUUAUAAGAUCGUAUCCAAGGUUUUGUCACGAAGGUUAAGGGAGGUUAUAGGAGAAGUGGUUAGUGAGACUCAAUGUGCCUUCAUUAAGGGUAGGCAGAUUUUUGAUGGGAUUUUAAUUGCAAAUGAACUUAUCCAUUCGGUUAUGAAGAGAGGUAGAUGUGGGGGAAAGCUUAUUUUUAAAUUAGAUUUUCAAAAGCGUAUGACUGCGUUAAAUAGGAUUUUUUGGAGUUGAUGUUAUAAAAAAUGGGGUUCGGGGAAAAAUGGAGAAGCUGGAUGUUGGAGGUUUAUCUACAGCUAGAGUGGCUAUCAUUAUGAAUGGGUCAUCAUCCAACGAAUUCAGAUUUCAUAGAGGCCUUAGAUAGGGAGACCCACUGUCUCUAUAUUUAUUCAUUUUAGUGAUGGAGGUUUUCCAUCUGGCGUUGGACAAAGCGACAGAGGAAGAACUGAUCAAAGGAUUUAAUGAUGUAAUUCUUGGGAUAAAAUUUUCUCAUCUUCAAUUUGCUAAUGAUACGAUUCUUUUCCUAAAAGUUGAUGAUAAAGAGGUGACUAAUGUGAUGUACAUUCUUAGGGUGUUCGAGAUUUUUUUGGGGCUGAGCAGUAACUUUAACAAAUCCUGCUUAGUGGGGUUUGAUGUGGAAGAAGAAUUAUUGUUUAGGAUGGCUGCCAUUUGCAAAUGCAAAAUAGGUACUCUUCCUUUCAACUAUUUAGGGGUCCCAUUAGGUGCAAAUCUGAAAAGAUUAUACACUUGGGAACCAAUCAUAGACAGAGUCAGGAAGAAGUUGUCGGGAUAGAAAUGUCGAUCACUUUCAUGGCAGGCAGGGUAGUUCUUAUUAAUGCGGCAUUGUCCUCACUGCCGAUAUAUUUCAUGUCUUUAUUUCAAGCUCUGGUGACUGUUAUUAAAAAAAAUUGACAAGAUCAGAAGGAAUUUUAUAUAGGGGAACACGAAUGAAAAAAAAAGAUGGCGAGAAUAAGAUGGGAUACAGUCUGUAAACCAAAGGUUAAGGGUAGGGCGGGUGUGGCAAAUCUUGAGGUUAAAAAUAAAGCUUUAUUGGCUAAAUGGUGUUAGAGAUUCAUGACAGAAAAAGAAGCGUUAUGGCGAAAGGUGAUUCUAACAAAAUACGAGUCAAAUAUUCAGAGUUGGCGUUUUAAGACGACGUACAAAAAAGACAUGUCUAUGGUUUGGAGAGGCAUUGUCAAAAAUGCAAAAGAUGAGAAAGUGUCCAAAUGGGUGGGUCCAAAAGCAUUUUUUUGGAAAAUUGGAAAUGGAAAAUCGACUCUGUUUUGGUAGGACAUUUGGUGUGGGGAUCGACCAUUGAAAGUUUUGUUUCCAAGGCUUUUUCGUCUUGCUAAAAAUAAAGUAAGUACAGUUGCAGAUUCAUUAAGUAAUUUAGGGACUGGGUGCUUUAAUUGGGAAGGCUAGUUUUCUAGACCUUUGAUGGAUAGGGAAAAUGAGAUGUGUAAAAUUUUGGCUGAUAGGAUGAAUUGCACAAUAUUGAUUUCAGAAAUAGAGGAUAGAUUGUGUUGGUCUAAUGAUAAAUUGGGAGUGUUCUCGGUUAAAAAGUGUUCAGAUCUAUUAAUAAUGGAUGAUGAGGCGGAUGUCAAUUUUGCUUGCGGUAAAGUGUGGAAUAUUAAGGUUCCUCCUAGAGUUCGUAGCUUUCUGUGGAUGUUAACUAUCGACAGAAUCAUGUCUAAGGAAUUUUUGGCUAAACUAGAUAUGAACCUUCAACACUUUUUGAUUUUUUUUCCUUGGUGCGAAAGAGAACCGGAAAGCUCAUCUCACCUUUUUUUCAAGUACAGAUUUAUCGAAGGUUUUUGGGCAAAAAUCUUCAAUUGGUGGGAUGCUGAAUGGAAGAGGGUUGAUGGUUUUGUGGAUUUAUUUGCCUUGUGUUAUAAUGCAAAAAUAGAAUAUAGUAAGAAAAGUUUAUGGCUGAUUUCUUGUGCUGCAGCAUGUUGGUCAAUAUGGUUAGCAAGAAAUGCUUUGGUUUUUGAUAGAAGGAGUGUAAAAAUGGAUAAUUUGGUUUUUCAAUCUACGAUGAGGGCAUUGUUGUGGAUUAGAUCAUCUCAUAAUGAACUCAUGAUGCAGGAGAAGUUUUGGUGGUUAGCUCCUCAAAGAUAUAGAGUGGUGUCGCUGGAAUGGAGGAAAUGUGCAAGUGUACACAAUCGUAACAAGUAAUAAAGUGACAAGUAAAUGUCGAGUUAUCGUACCCACAGGGAUUGUAAAAAGCAAUAUUUAUGAAAUUAAUUUAAACAUUUUGGUGAGGUAAAAAUAAUUUUGGUUUGAAAAGAGUGAUUUAUAAACUAAGAUUUUAAAACUAAGCAAAUAAUUUAAAUAAAAUAAAAGAGUUCUAGUGCACGAUUUCAAUUAAGAUUUAAUCAAGAUAACAUAAUUGUGUUGGAUUAAUUAUACCUUCUUAACUUAGAAAUAUUAAAUCCGUGCUUAUGCUGUUAUGAAUAAAUUCACGGCAACCCAGUAAUUUGCUAACUUAUGAACAUAUUUACUAAUUAAAAGAAUUACAUUUAUCUCUUGAACAUAUCCCUAUGCCAAUUCAACCGACUAAACAGAUUUAAUAAAGUAAACAUGCUAUCGCACAUACAUACUUAUUGAAUUAAAUUAUCUCUCGCAUAUUCCUAUGUCGAUUCAACCUAUUAAUUCAACUUAAUAAACAUGUAAAAGAUUAUGUGAAGUAACAAAGUAGCCAUACCUUGAAACAAUUUAAUCAUAACAAUCUUGCAAGUUAUGCAAGGCAUAUGUAUCGCCAAAUACAAUGCUGAUUUAAUUUUCAGUUACCUUAGAAGAAUUAAACAUGCACUGAUUAAGUACUAAGUCCAUUAAUUGCAAAUUCAAUCCGUUUAAAUAAUUAAUUCUUUAGUUAUCUAAACAAUUAUAAUGCCAGAUAACCUAAGCAUUAUUUUACUUAAUCAAGAAUUUCACUGAGGCCUAUAACAGCAUAAACACUAAUUUAAUAAUUCAAGUAGGCAAAAUAUAAUCAACCCAACACAAAUUAAAUUCAAGCUAAAUUGAUUAAAAUAACCAUUUCAACAAAAAUAUUUUUCAUAGAUAUGCUCAUCAUAAAAACAACAGAAAUAAAAAAGAAAGGGAACAGAAAGCAAAUUCAGUGUUUCUCUGCAGCUUGACUGUUGCUCCGUUCUUAGUCUCUGUUGUCUUUGCCGAGCAAGGAUUUUAUGAAUCCUUGAUUGCUGCCCAAGAUGGCUGAAGAACAUCUCUUUCUUAAGAGAGGAAAUCGGCACAAGAGGAACGGAAAAUGGGAUGGAAAAAUAGAGAGGAAACUUUGAGAGAAGUGAAGAGAGGAUGAGAGAAUGUUGUGGAAUGAAGGAUGUUGAGGGAUGCUUUGAAAUGGGCAGCAUAGGGUGGAUUUUAUAGCUGAAGAGAGAUUCUAAAAAUAGAAAAUUCAGCAGCUAAGAGAGCCCUCCCAUGGUCGGCCACACACAUGGCAAGGUUGAAGCUUUCAACCUUGCUAAAAAUAGGCUAGGGCAAAUCUACAAAGCCUAAAUAAAGGUGGGGUUUGAACGUAAUUUGGAGGUUUUCAAGGGCCUUUUUGCAAGCAUAUUUUAUCAGCUAAUUUUUCUGAUUUGGGUCAGCCAAUGGACAGUUCUGGUCAGCCCAAUUAGUGGUUGGUUCGGCUCACUCCAUUCGGUUCAACCAGUGCGGUUCACUAGGCUCUUUCUUCAUAAUUAAUUAAAAUUAAUUCAUUUAACCUAAAUUAAAUAGGAAAUAAAUUAAAAUUAAUUUAAUUAUUAAUUAAUACACAUUUCUGGACCGUCUUGGGCUAGAAAUUAAUUGGCCUCGAAACUUCAAAUUACUCUCUGUUUUGUUCUUCUCGUAGGGUUCACCGGGCCCUUUUUCUCCAAUUGUGUGAUUUUGUCAAAAAUAACCAAAUUUAAUCAAAAUUAACUAUAAAAUUAAUUAAAAUUUAUAAUUUUCAUAUUUUUAACAUAAUUUAAUUAUUUUAUAAUAUUUAAUUAUUUUUCGACAAGAAUUUAACCGGAAUAGCCUGGUUUUAAGUUAAAAAGGGUAUGAAAAAGUAUAUAAAUUUUUGUGUUUCCACACCCCCAAACUUAAUUCAUUUCUCGUCCCGAGUAAUGCACAAAUUUUGAAAAGAAUUUCUCAUAAACACUUUGAAAACCUUCUUCAGAACAACAAUUUUCUCGAAAUUAUGAAUUUGAUAUACUUAUGCUCAAAGAAUAAGAAAUUUGAUCAUUCUGCUACUCAAGUGUUCAUAUUAUUCAAAUUAAUCUCAACAAUUAUUACAAUAGCAAAAUUAGACUAAAUGUUUCUUGAUAAAGACAUGCUGAUUCCUACCAAUUCAAAUUUUUAAUCCUUUAUUCAAUAUCAAGUUGCAAUCAUUAAGCUUAACCUAUGUCUUCAUAUGUUGAACAAAGCAAUUUCUCUCCACUAAUGUAGGUAACUUUGGAACUUCGAAUCAAUAGGUCUUUAAUAAGGUUGUAACGUGGUUGGGCUUAGGGGUAGGUAAAAAGAUAGAUAAAUUUUGGCUAAAAACCCUAAACUCAGUGUAAAUCGAACCAUCAAAAAAAAAAUUACCUUCAAUCACCAACUUUCACAUGCUCUUUUUCAAAUAUAUGUGUUUUUUUUUAGCAUUUGAUAUUUCUUUUCAACUCCCUCAAACUUAUUUUCAAACAAUAUUCUUGAAUAUUACUGAGUCUAGUGUUUGGGGCAAUUUAAAGAUAAUUAAGAGAAACGUGAUGGGCUAAAUUUGUAUAGGUUCCUAAAAUUAGGCCAUAUAGUCUCAAAGUUGGGUUUCAAAGGAUAAAAUUUACCAUGGUAGGCUUGAAAGGCUCAAACGGUCCAAACAACAGCUGCCUAAAUCAUUUCCAAUGUUCCAAGCUUCCUAAGAUUUCGCCUCAAGAAACUACUAAGUCAAUUCUAAAGACUUAAACUUUCAUGCAUACCUAACUUUCAUAAAGAGAUAAAAAUUUUAUGGUAUGAAGUUGCAUGCUUUAUUAAAAAUACAUUUAUGUCAUCAUUAAACUACAUAAUAAUUUAUUAAAAAAAUAGAACUUUAUUCAUACUCAAGUUUAGCAUACUUAACAAAAUUCAAAUUUAUUGAACAGAAAUAUACCCUAAUCAUAAUUAAAAGAAAAAUUUUAUUCUAGAUGAAGAUAAUUUCAAAUUUCGGUCCCCCCAACUUAAAAUGAACAAUGUCCUCAUUGUUUAAAGUGAAUAGAUACUAUACACCAGGUAGGAAUUCAGAAAAGAGGAGGUGAGUCAAUGUGACUGCUUAAGUACCAAGCUCUUUUGAAAUCCAAUCCUAGACAUGUAUAUACCUAUUGCCACACUUUAUACUUUAUGACUUGUCCAUGUUUAUUUAGGAUUUCCUUCUCUUGUUUUAUUAUGCAGAAACAAAAGUUCCUAAUUUAAACUUGAUCCUAAAAUAACCUAAAAACAAAUAAAUAAAAUAGAGUCAAGAUCCCUCCCUUUUAUUUAUUUGCAGAUCCUUCCAACUUGGACUCAUCUUUUGCUCCAUCAAUAUUGCCUUUGCAUGAAUCGCUUCGCUCCUUUUUCGAGAGUGGAGUCCAUGGCUCGAAUAUGAAAUAUGGAAAUUCAGGCACAAAAAUAAAUGGGUCAUUGUAUAUUCUCUAGAAAGCACUUCGAAUCGAGUCAUCCCUUAUUUUUUAGUAUCUCCAGUAUGCUUGUUGCUGCCAUUGCAUGUGUUGCAUUAAGUCCAUCAAAUUUGACAACUCAUCUCGAAAGUCUGGGCUAGGCAACUGAGCUCUAAACAUUGGAGUUCCAACAUCCGAUUCAUCUUUUGGCUCUAAUGGGUCCACCUUAUCAGGGACUUCAAAUGAUUGCAUUGUGGGAUCUUCUUCAUCAGGUUCCUCAGGCUCUUCACUUUCUUCAACUCGUUGUUGUAGAACUGAGUCUCCGGCUACUCGGUAGAGGUCCCAAUCUGUAAUUGUGCCUUGGGUGUACCCUGUCUUCUUGAGAUUAGCAAGAAUUUCUACUUUCAAGCACAGAAUAGUUAUUGUAAAGGGGAAGUAAGCAGGGCCAGAACGUCUAGCGGUACAGUUUCGAAUUUCUUUCAAGAUGAUCUUUCCCACAUCAAUGGUCUUACCCGUUAAGAUCGAGUAUAGUAAGACCAUUCGCUCCAAUGAAAUUGUAGUCCCAUGUGAGCUAGGCAGAAGGCUGAAACGGAUGAAAUAAAACCAUACCUUUGCAAUAGGUGUUAAGUAUUCUCUUCGACACGUGUGGGUUCCUUGUUUCGACACAGUCCAAUUGGAACCUUCAAUUGUAAGCUCCUCAAGAAUUUCUUUGCAGAAGUUCCACCUUGAUAUUGCUCAUCAAAGAUGAAUACUCGUCGUUCUCGAAAUCAGGUAAUUCAAAGAACUCAUUAAUAGCAUUCGAAUUUAUAGGUACCUUGAUUCAGCGAACAGGGACUUCUGUCAUCUUGCUUGAAGUUAAAUUCGUGUAAAACUCACGAACUAGCUCCUCAUCCACACUAGGUCUCUUUUCACAAAACAGUUCCCAGUUGAGAGCUUCAGCAUUUGACGAAUACGUGCCAUGAAGCCUCUGUAGUUGCUCUCCUUCAGUGUGAAGCCUUUCUCAGGAUGCAUCUGUUGAUUUUUGUAGGUACUUUCGUAUCUCACUUUAGCUUCAACACAAUAGAACUUGCUUUGUGUUUCAUCGAUUUGAGCAAAGGCGCGAGUUCUCUUGCGAGGCAUAAUUGACCUUUCUGAAAAAAUAUAAGAACUCAAAGAAAAUUAAUGCAAGAAAAAGAUGGAAAAUUAAAAGGAGAAGGGUUGAAGAAUUUUGGCUUAAGGCUUGGUGUGCAAAGAGGGUGCCGCACAAGGCUAUAGAACAAGCAGCAGCACGCAAGGGUGUGCAACAAGAAGCAGGCUUGGAGCUUGUGCGAGAGCUGGGACGUGGCCUGGGCAGUAGCAGCAAGGGUGCGCAGGUGAGGCGCUAAAGCAGCAAAAUGCGACCUAGGCAGCUUCUGUACUGAAACAGCCGGCGCACAAGUAGGAGCUGGGUGCUAAUCGGGUCGCGCAGCGUGAUGCUACUGGGUGUUUGCCGACUAGGCUGCUGGAGCUAGGGGUGUUGCGGCACAAGGUGUUUUGGUUUUUGGUUGAUGCAUGGAUGGGAGGUAUAAGGUGGUAUUUAUAGCAUAAGUAAUAGGACUUAAAAUAGAACUCUUAGUCUAAUUUAAUAAUUAAAGAUAAGAGUUUAAUUCUAAUCCUACUCAAAUUUAACAACAAUUAAUAAUUAAAUAUAAGCAUAUAGAAUUAUCAGUUGAUAUUAUUUAUUAAGAUAAACAUAAAAUAAAAAUUGAAAUUAAAUUAAUCCUAAUUCUAAUCUAAGUUGAUAAAAAUUAAUAUAUAAAUUAUAAUGAAUGUAAUUAUAUAUUAAAGCUUAUCAAAUUAUUAAUAAUGUUAAAAAAUAAAAUAAAAAAUAUUUCUUCUAGAUGCCUUUAAAAAAAUAUAUUUACAAAGAAAGGCACCUAAUUUUCAUUAUUUACAAAAAGAGCAAUCAAACUUUAAAAAAUAUUCAAUUUAAGUCCCUAGACUCAAUGAAAAUUAAAAAUUGAGUUGCAAAUUAAAAAUUGGAUCAAAUUGACCAUUUUAUUUAAAAAACAAAAAUUUAGUUUGUUGAUUAGGGAAAAAUUUCUUGGAAAAUUAUGUUAAAAUAAAUUCCCAAGAAAGAUUAGAGGGGUCACAAAUGGUCCCGCUUAAGUUCCAACCUCCUAGACAGAAUUUAUUUAAACACACUAAACCCGAAAAAUAGACCCUAAAUUAUUCAUUAAACAAAACACAAAAAAUAUUAAAUAUCUGAUAAAAUGAACGAGACGUUAUCCCGUUCGGUUUUAUUCCCCCAAUAGUGUUUCAAACGUGAGCAUUAACUUGAAAAUUACCUCUCUUACCUCGAAGUUCAACAACUCCGUAUGGAUAGACCCUGUGAAUUGUAAAUGGACCGGACCAACGUGAUUUUAGCUUACCUGGAAAGAACUUCAAUCUCGAGUUGAACAACAAUACUUGCUGACCUGCUUCAAAUUCUCGAACCCGGAUGUGUUUGUCAUGCCAUUUCUUGAGUCUCUCUUUGAGUAAUUUGGCAUUUUCAUAUGAGAACAUUCGGAAUUCUUCUAACUCAUUGAGUUGGAACAUCCGUAUUUCUUUUGCGAGCUUAGGAUCUAAGUUGAGUCGUCGAAGAGCCCAAUAAGCUUUGUGCUCUAACUCCAAAGGUAGAUGGCAUGCUUUAUCGAAAACCAGCCUAUAGGGUGACAUCCCUAAAGUGGUCUUGUAUGCUGUCCUGUAGGCCCAUAAAGCGUCAUCUAGUCUUUUGGACCAGUCUCGUCGGUUCGGGCAAACUACCUUCUCCAAUAUGCCCUUGAUUUCUUUAUUUUCUAGUUCAACUUGUCCAUUCGUCUGCGGAUGGUAAGCCGUUGCAACCUUGUGUUUCACCCCGUGCUUGUCUAGUAACCAUUUUAACCACUUGUUCACAAAGUGGGACCCUUCAUCACUAAUGAUGGCUCUCGGGGUUCCAAACCUCGUGAACACGUGAUUCUACAAAAACUUCAUCACAACCCUAGUAUCGUUGGUCGGAUAUGCCUCUGCCUCGACCCACUUGGACACAUAAUCUACCGCUACUAGUAUAUACUUGUGACCAAAAGACGAAGGGAAGGGCCCAAAAAAAUCAAUACCCCAAACAUCAAAUAAUUCGACCUCAAUAAUGUUUGUUCGAGGCAUCUCAUUUCUGUUGGUGACAUUUCCAACUCUUUGACAUCGGUCACAACUCUUUGCGUAUGCAUAUGCAUCCUUGAAUAAUGUUGGCCAAAAGAAUUCGGCUUGCAAUACUUUGGCUGCAGUACGAGUUCCUCCGAAAUGACCCCCACUUGGGGCUGAGUGACAGUGGUAUAGAAUCUUCGGUAUUUCUUCUUCUGCUAUGCAUCUCCUAAUCAUCUGAUCUGCACACUUUUUAAACAGAUAUGGUUCCUCCCAGAAAAAGUACUUCACAUCGUAAAGAAACUUUCUCCUUUGUUGAUAUGUCUUAUCAUACGUUAUUAAACCACAAGCUAAAAAGUUAGCAAUAUCAGCAAACCAAGGGGUAUUAUGGACAUGACUUACCUUCAGUGUAUGUUCAUCUGGAAAUGUUUCUUGAAUCGGUAGAAGUUGAGAAUUCCCUUCUUGCGGCUCCAAUCUGGACAAGUGAUCUGCUACUUGGUUUUCUACUCCCUUUCGAUCUUGAAUUUCCAAAUUGAACUCUUGAAGUAGAAGUACCCAUCGGAUCAACCUCGGCUUAGUGACUUUCUUGGCAAGUAAAUAUUUAAUUGCCAAGUGGUCUGUAUAGACAGUUACCUUGGUACCUACAAGAUAAGAUCGAAACUUGUCGAAAGCAAAUACGAUAGCAAGUAACUCUUUUUCUGUUACCGUAUAGUUUAACUAAGCUCCUAUUAGAGUUCGGCUUGCAUAGUAGAUGGGAUGAAAAACUUUGUUCCUUCACUGGUCCAUGACAGCUGGUAUUGCGAAGUCACUUGUGUCACACAUCAAUUCAAAUGGCAAGUCUCAGUCUGGUGUGACAAUUAUGGGUGCCGUGACUAAUCGAUUCUUUAAGUCAUUGAAGGCUUUUAAGCAUUCCUCAUUAAAUUUAAAUAUCGUGUCCUUCUCCAAUAAUUUGCGUAAAGGUUUAGCAACUUUGGAGAAGUCCUUGAUAAAUCUUCGAUAGAACCCGGCAUGGCCCAAAAAGCUCCUAACACCCUUUACAGAUGUUAGAGGUGGGAGUUUCUCAAUAACAUCUACUUUUGCUCUAUCUACCUCGAUCCCAUGUCUUGUUAUCCGAUGCCCCAGAAUGAUACCCUCUCGUACCAUAAAAUGACACUUUUCCCAAUUAAGUACUAGGUUCGUUUCUUCGCAUCGCCUAAGUACCUUAGCCAGAUUGGCUAAGCAAUCAUCGUACGUAUCUCCAAACACUGAAAAGUCGUCCAUGAAAACUUCCAAAAAUUUCUCAACCAUGUCAGUGAAAAUAGAUAUCAUACAUCUUUGAAAUGUAGUAGGUGCAUUACAUAAACCAAAUGGCAUAAGUCUAAAUACAAAUGUACCGUACAGGCAAGUGAAUGUGGUCUUGUGUUGAUCUUCCGGUGCUACCGUAAUCUGGUUGUACCCCGAGUAUCCAUCGAGAAAACAGUAGUAAUCUCACCCUGAGAGUCUGUCACACCCCGUACCCAAGACCGUUUCCGGAGUCGAACACGAGGUAUUUACAGACUUAUUUCAUUGAUUUUCACAGUCCAUUUUAAAAAUUUCCAGACAAGUUGGCUAACUGCGUCACUGUUACCUUAAAAAUCAUAUCUUGAGUUCCAAAACUCGAAAACCAGUUUUGUAAAUUUUACCUGAAACUAGACUCAUAUAUCCAUCUAAAACUUUUUUUCUAGAAUUUUUGGUUCAGCCAAUUAGUACAGUUUAUUAGUUAAAGUCUCCCCUGUUUCAGGGUUCGACUGCUCUGACCUUCAUGAGUUACGACUUAUAUAUCUUCCAGUACAGGGCUUCAUUACUUAUGUUGUUUGUUUCUAACAAAACUAGACUCAAAAAAGAAUCUAUAAAUAUAUGGCAUGACCUCUAAUUAUCUCUGGUUAAUUUAUAGUUAAUUUCCAAAGUCAGAUCAGGGGAUCCAGAAAUCGCUCUGGCCCUGUUCCACGAAAACUUAAAUAUCUCUUAAAAUACGACUCAUAUGUUCGUUUCGUUUCUUCCAUAUGAAAGUAGACUCAUCAAGAUUCGAUUACAUAAUUUAUUAACUAUUUAAUUUCAUUCCUACUAUUUUUAGUGAUUUUUCAAAUCCACACCACUGCUGCUGUCAGCAUCUGUUUUUAAGGUAAACUUUACCUAUUUCAUGGUUUUCCAUGAAUCAACUAGAAUUUGUCAUACAAAGCACCAAAAUGCACCAAAAUGAUCAUGAUUAACCAUUCCAAUGGCUAAUCGUUACUAAAAAUUUCCAUACCUCUCAAUGAACAACAUACAAAACGAUUAUAAUGCUAUGCUCAAAGAGUAUAUAAGCCAUUUUCGCAUGGCUAUCCAAAUUUAUACAAAACCAAGGGUACAUGACCAACAACAAAAAGGGUAGUCCUAUACAUGCCAUUGUCAGAGUUCAACCAAAAAUGUACCAAAAGGGCUUUGAUAGUGUGGACGACUUCGACUUCGACAAUCCCGAGUCCGAUAGCUGACGAACCAAAAUCUAUAAAACAGAGAAUCAAAGAAACAGAAUAAGCAUUUAAUGCUUAGUAAGUUUUGAGCAAUGAAAUCAUGCACAACUGAAGUAUAGCAUUCAUACGACUAAACGAAUAAUUUCAUAUACACAUUUUCUCACAAUCAUACCUACUUCACAUUUCCAACCCUUAUAUUCAUACAUAAGAAAUCAACUUGACUAAAAGCCAGAAGCUUGUUAAUCGAUUGAGCAAGUACUAUUUAGAAGGAAUCAAUUAUCUCAAUGCACAUACGAAACAUACCUCAUUGUUGGGAUUUUACGAGCGUAUUAAUUGAAAUUAUUACAGCAAGAUCGCUCAUUCCCAAACCCAAUUAUCUUCGGGAUUUAGCCGGAUAUAACCACUCGCACAAGGCCAUCAGGUCUUAGUCCGGAUAUGGUCACUAGCACAAAUGCCUUCGGGACUUAGCCCGGAUAUAGUAACUCGCACAAAUGCCUUCGGGGCUUAGCCCGGAAUUAGUAACUCGCACAAAUGCCUUCGGGACUUAGCCCGAAAUUAGUAACUCGCACAAAUGCCUUCGGGACUUAGCCCAGAAUUAAUCACUAGCAGAAAUGUCUUCGGGACUUAACCCCGUUAGCAUCCGAAUAUUCAUGCACAUAUCAGUAAAUCAUGACACAUCUUUAUUUCAUUUUCAUAACUAGAAUUCAAACACAAAUCAAUUAUUAAGCAUUCCCAUUUUCGGCUCAAUAGCCACAUACGAACAGCAUCAUUCGGCUUGCUUCAUGACAUGAUUUCUAUGCACAUACGGCUACCCAUCAUACGUAUAGACUAAUUAACUCAACACAUAAUUCAAGUAGAAUCAUUAUAUCACCGUAUAUUUGUUAUGAUUAUACGUCAUGACUUAAUCAAAUCGUAAACUAAGUUUCAUUACUCGAAAACUUACCUCGGAUGUUGUCGAACAAUUUCAACGGCUAUUCGAUCACUUUUUCCUUCCCUUUAUCGGAUUUAGUUCCCCUUUGCUCUUGAGCUUAAUUUAACAAAUAAAUUGAUUUAAUCAUUUGAACAUCAAAAAGAGAAACUCAAGGUACUUAACCCAUAUAUACAUUAGACAUUAGAGUCAUAUAUAUAUGAAAUCAUGAAUCAACUCAACAUAUUAGCCCACACUCUCUUUUAGCCGAUUAUCUAAGCCAAGAUAAAAGCAUCAAUAUGCUUGCCUCUAACCGAAUACAUGCAACACCAAUCUACCUCAUGUGGCCGAAUAUGCAUGUCUAUGUUGAGGCCGAUUAUAUGCUUAAUACAUUCUACAAAUAUGGUCACUUGUAUUGACUAAUUACCAUUUUGUUUCAAGUUCAAAGCUCGGCUAAAACACCUAUAUACACUAGUAAUCAAAUACUAACAUUUGCACUUCACCUUAAUAGCUAACUUAGCAACCCUUAAUUUAACAUAUAAUUGUUCAUAACAAAAUUAGAGCGUCCUCUCCAUUCCAUCAAUUCAAAACACAUACAUUACUCAAUAAUAUUCAAAGUCACAUUCGGCCUUAGCACACAACUUCUCUACUUCAUCUAACAUGAACAACAACUAUAUUUCUCUUCCACUUCCUACCAUGGCUGAAUGCUUCAUGAAGUUGCUAAGACCUACCUUUUUCAAAUUCUCACACACACUCACAUCCAAUCCUUUUUGUUGAGCACUCAAACUCUAUCAUCUCCCUCACGUAGCAAAGAUUUAAACCAUGGGCUAGGUAGAACUCAAGCUAACAACUAAAAAUAUACAUGAAUCUCAUGGAGCAGCAUCAAACAUACCUUAGCCUAGUUACAUGCAUGGCCGAACCUCUUCAACCUUUUUUCUUCCUUCCUCCUUAGAAUUUUCGGCCAAGGAUGUUAAAGGAUGAACAUUUUUUUUUCUUUUCUUCGUCUAGUCACGGCAAUGGGGAGUAAGGGGAGGACAACUUUGGUUUCUCCUCCCACUCACCUCAUGUUUUAUCAUUCUUAAUUCACUAUUUUAUUUUCUAAACCCAUAAUGCUAAUAGGAAAUUCAUAUUAUCAUCUAUGACCCAUCCAUGGCCGGCCACUACUCAAAAUAAAUGGAUAUUUGACAUACAAACCCUUCAUUCUUAUAACAUGCAUUAAUAGGCCACUUAUAUUUGCCUAGCACAUUUCUAAAUUUUCUCACAUAAGUCCUAUUAACUAAAUUCACAUGCAAUCGACUAAAUCGAAGCUUAAAACUUUCACACAUUCAUAUUCACAUAUUCUAGACAAUAAAUAUCACAUUCAAAUGCUUCAGUGGCUCGGUUUAGCGGUCCCGAAACCACUUCCCGACUAGGGUCAAUUUAGGGCUGUCACAACUCUCCCCCACUUUAAGAAAUUUUCGUCCCCGAAAAUCUUACCGGUAAAUAGGUUUGGGUAUCGUUCUUUCAUAGAGUUCUCGGGUUCCCAAGUAGCUUCUUCCAUCCCGUGUUUGAGCCAUAACACUUUUACUAAAGGAACCUUUUUGUUUCGCAACUCUUUUACUUCACGAGCUAGGAUACGAAUUGGUUCUUCUUCAUAACUCAUAUCGGCUUGAAUUUCAACCUCGGAGGGACUUAUUAUGUGCGAAGGAUUAGAUCUGUAACGUCGAAGCAUCGAAACAUGAAAAACAUUGUGGAUCCUUUCAAGUUCAGGGGGUAAAAGCAACCUAUAUGCAACUGGACCAACUCGUUCGGAGAUUUCAUACGGCCCAAUGAAUCUCGGACUAAAUUUGCCCUUACGGCCAAAUCUGAGUAUCUUUUUCCAAGGUGAAACUUUAAGAAACACUUUGUCCCCUACCUGAUAAAUAAUGUCUUUUCGUUUCAAAUCCGCGUACGACUUCUGACGAUCUGUGGCUGCCUUCAGACUUUCUCGGAUUACUUUUACUUUCUGUUUAGCAUCUUUAAUCAAAUCAACUCCGAAAACUUUACUUUCACCGAGCUCGGUCCAAAACAAUGGUGUACGGCAUUUACGACCGUACAAAGCCUCGUAAGGUGCCAUCUUAAUACUUGAUUGAAAACUAUUGUUGUAAGCGAAUUCAAUCAACGGUAAAUACCGCUCCCAUGAACCACUAAACUCGAGGAUGCAACAUCUCAGCAUAUCCUCAAGUAUCUGAAUUAUCCGCUCGGAUUGACCAUCGGUUUGGGGGUGAAAAGCGGUGCUAAAAUGCAACUUGGUACCCAAAGCUUCUUGCAAUUUCUUCCAAAAUCGUGAGGUGAAUCUCGGAUCUCUAUCCGACACAAUAGAAAUAGGUACCCCGUGUAAUCUCACAAUCUGAGAAACAUACAAUUCAGCUAGUUUAUCCAAUGAAAAGUCCGUGCGUACGGGGAUAAAGUGAGCCGAUUUAGUCAGUCUAUCAACAACAACCCAAAUCACAUCUUUCUUACUUGCUGACACUGGCAACCCAGAUACAAAAUCCAUCGUGACUCGAUCCCAUUUCCAUUCAGGUAUCAUGAUCGGCUGAAGUAAACCCGUAGGCACUUGAUAUUCCGCCUUCACUUGCUGACAUACUAAGCACUUCGAAGCAAAAUCGGAAAUGUCUCGUUUCAUACCAUGCCACCAAAACUGACGUCUCAGAUCGUUGUACAUUUUAGUACUCCCCAGGUGAAUUGACAUUCGGCUACAAUGAGCUUCGUUCAGAAUCAUCGAAAUAAGUUCUGAACUUCUUGGAACACACAAACGAUUUCUGAACCUCAAACAAUCGUCAUCAUCAAUUUGAAACUCUGAUUCCAUAUUCGAAACACAUUCAGCCCGUUUUGCAACCAGUUCAUCAUCGACUUUCUGAGCUUCACGAAUUUGAUGAAUCAACAAUGGUUUGGCCUUUAAUUCUGCCACUAACACAUUGUCGGAUAGAACAGACAUGUGUACAUUCAUCGCUCGUAAAGCAAACAGUGAUUUACGACUUAAGGCAUCUGCAACCACAUUAGCCUUUCCCGGGUGAUAGUCAAUGACAAGCUCAUAAUCUUUCAACAACUCAAGCCAACGCCUUUGUCGCAGAUUCAAGUCUCUUUGAGUCAUCAAAUAUUUGAGACUUUUGUGAUUCGAAUAUACAUGGCACUUCUUACCAAAUAAGUAAUGUCGCCAUAUUUUCAAAGUGAACACGAUGACAGCUAGUUCAAGAUCAUGGGUCGGAUAAUUUUUCUCAUGUGGCUUCAGUUGUCUCGACGCAUAAGCUACGACUCGACCCUCUUGCAUCAAUACGCAACCCAACCCAACUAGGGAUGCAUCACUAUAAAUGGCAAACUCUUUGCCUGAUUCGGGUGCACUAGUACUGGAGCUUCAGUCAAACAAGUUUUCAGUUGAUCGAAACUUUUCUGACACUUUUCUGUCCAUUCAAACUUAACAUCUUUCUGAAGUAGUUUCGUCAUUGGUGUGGCUAUCAUCGAGAAACCCUUUACAAAGCUUCUAUAGUAACUGGCAAGUCCCAAAAAGCUCCGAACUUCAGUAAUAUUUCUCGGAGGCUUCCAGUUAAGUAUGGCCGAAAUUUUGUUCGGAUCAACUCGAAUACCCGAUAUAGACACAUGACCCAAGAAGCUAACCUCUCUUAACCAGAACUCACACUUACUGAGCUUAGCAUAUAAUUGCUUAUCCCGUAAAGUUUGCAACACUAAUCCCAUGUGUUCAGCAUGAUCAGUUUCAUUUCUCGAAUAGACCAAAAUAUCAUCGAUAAACACAACUACAAACCGAUCCAAAUACGGUCUGAAGACCCGAUUCAUCAAAUCCAUAAAUACCGCGGGGGCAUUAGUGAGCCCAAACGGCAUCACUAAGAAUUCAUAGUGAACGUAUCUCGUUCUGAAAGCAGUUUUGGGAUAUCCGAAUCUCGAAUUCCCAACUGAUAAUAACCCGAUCUCAAAUCUAUCUUUGAAAACACCGAGGCUCCCUUUAGUUGAUCAAACAAAUCAUCAAUAUGCGGUAACGGAUAUUUAUUCUUUAUUGUCACCUUAUUCAGCGUACGAUAGUCGAUGCACAACCUCAUGGUUCCGUCCUUCUUUUUCACAAACAAUACUGGUGCACCCCAAGGUGAGAAACUUGGUCGAGCGAAACCUCUAUCCGUCAACUCUUGCAACUGAGCUUUCAACUCUUUUAACUCGGUUGGUGCCAUACGAUACGGAGCUAUCGAAAUUGGUGUAGCCCCAGGUACAAGCUCAAUACCAAACUCUACCUCCCGAUCAGGUGGUAAACCCGGUAAUUCUUCGGGAAAAACAUCCAGAUAUUCACAAACCACUGGCACAGAUUCAGGCUUCUUUUCUAAUUCCUUGUCAUCAAGUACAUACGCAAGGUAUGCUUCACACCCCUUUCUUACAUAUUUCUGAGCCAACAUCGAUGAUAUUACAGCUGGCAACCUAUUCAAGUCAGUAGACUCGACUCAGAUUACCUCGUUAUUUACACACCUUAAAUCGAUGGUUUUUCUUUUGCAAUUUACAAUUGCAUCAUGUACGGUCAACCAAUCCAUACCGAGGAUAACAUCAAAUUUGUCAAACAGUAAAAGCAUCAAAUCGGCCGGAAAACAGGAACCUCGGACUACUAGGGGACAUUUCUUGCACACUUUGUCGACAAGCACGUAACGACAUAAAGGAUUUGACACCCGAAUUACAAACUCAGUAGACUCAACAGGUAGAGUCUUACUGGAUGCUAAGGUUUCACAUAUAUGAGAAUGAGUAGAACCAGGGUCAAUCAAAGCAAUCACAUUAGUAUCAAAGAGAGUAAAAGUACCGGUAAUAACAUCUGGCGAGGAAGCAUCCUUACGUGCGCGUAUAGCAUAAACUCUAGCAGGAGCACGAGCCUCAGAUCUGGUUGUAGCAUCUCUAGACCCUCUCUGACCGCCACUAGCAUUGCCCGUGUUUCUAGAUGGCCUACCCCGAGCAGUAGUAGCACCAGGUUUCCCACUCUGAUUUACGUUCUGUUCAGACAAUCUCGGACAAUCUUUAAUAAAGUGGUCAGCUGAUCCGCACUUGUAACAGGAGCGGUCAUGGAAUCUACAACUCCCCGAAUGCCAUUUACCACAAUACUGGCGACCGAAGUGACUCGUACACUCAUAGGGGGUCGGUCGCGAUCUCGUCUAGAAAAACCCGAAGUGUCUCUAGACCGGCCUAAGUCAUCUCAAAAUUUCUUCGAUGACUGUUGGAAGGGCUUCCCCGAAGACCUCUUACGAAACUCCUUUGCUCCCACCUCAGCUUUUCUUUUCUCCAUACUGAGCUCCUCGGCUUUGCAAGCUCGCUCGACAAGUACCACAAAUUCUCGGAUUUCCAAAAUGCCAACAUAGAGCUUUAUAUCAUCAUUCAGCCCAUCCUCGAAACGUUUACACAUCACGGCUUCUGAAGAGAUACAUUCUCGAGCGUACCGGCUAAGCCUUACAAACUUUCGUUCAUAGUCGGUAACCGACAUGGAACCUUGUUUAAGUUCAAGAAAUUCCUUCCGUUUUUGAUCCAUGAAUCUCUGACUGAUAUACUUUUUCCGGAACUCAGUUUGGAAAAACUCCCAAGUUACUUACUCUCUGGGCACAACAGAAGUCAACGUAUUCCACCAAUAGUAGGCAGAAUCACGUAGCAAGGAGAUAGUACACUUUAGGCACUCAUCGGGUGUGCAAGAUAGCUCAUCGAGUACCCGAAUAGUGUUGUCCAACUAAAAUUCAGCUUGCUCGGCAUCAUCGCUGUCUGUAGCUUUAAAUUCAGUAGCCCCGUGUUUUCGGAUUCUAUCAACUGGGGGCUUAUUUGACCUUAUUUGGUCAGUUGCCGGAGGUAUUGUAGGUGCGGGGGUGGUAUUAGUCGGGAAUGGAGGUUGUGGAACAGCCGUAUUAGUUCGAAUGUAUUGGUUGAACCAAUCAUUCAUCACGCUAUAAAAAGCUUGUCUAGCUUCAUCGUUCGGAUUACUAGCAAUAGGUUGAGAGUCCGCCGGCGCUGAUCCUUGUGCGGGAGCAGGCGCUACACUCUCAAGAUCAUCAGCUACCGCUCGGUUGGGAUCGGGAUCCAUUACUAUAAAUAAACACAUUUUCAAUUGUCAGAAAUCACCACACUAUCAAAUAAUCGCAUAAUGGCAUGUAUAGCUAGACCCAAACGUAUUACGGUAGUCCUAGAAUCGAAUAAACCGUAGCUCUGAUACCAAUAAAAUUGUAACACCCCGUACCCGAGACCGUUUCCGGAGUCAAACACGAGGUAUUUACAGACUUAUUUCAUUGAUUUUCACAGUCCAUUUUAAAAUUUUCCAGACAAGCUGGCUAACUGCGUCACUGUUACCUUAAAAAUCAUAUCUUGAGUUACAAAACUCGAAAACCAGUUUCGUAAAUUUUACCUGAAACUAGACUCAUAUAUCCAUCUACAAAUUUUUUUCUAGAAUUUUUUGUCAAGCCAAUUAGUACAGUUUAUUAGUUAAAGUCUCCCCUAUUUCAGGGUUCGACUGCUCUGACCUUCAUGUGUUACGACUUAUAUAUCUUCCAGUACAGGGCUUCAUUACUUAUGCCGUUUGUUUCUAACGAAACUAGACUCAAAAAGGAAUCUAUAAAUAUAUGGCAUGACCUCUAACUAUCUCUGGUUAAUUUAUAGUGAAUUUCCAAAGUCAGAUCAGGGGAUCCAGAAAUCGCUCUGGACCUGUUCCACGAAAACUUAAAUAUCUCUUAAAAUACGACUCAUAUGUUUGUUUCGUUUCUUCCAUAUGAAAUUAGAUUCAUCAAGGUUCGAUUACAUAAUUUAUUCACUAUUUAAUUAUAUUCCUACUACUUUUAGUGAUUUUUCAAAUCCACACCACUGCUGCUGUCAGCAUCUGUUUUUAAGGUAAACUUUACCUAUUUCAUGGUUUUCCAUGAAUCAACUAGAAUUUGUCAUACAAAGCACCAAAAUGAUCAUGAUUAACCAUUCCAAUGGCUAAUCGUUACUAAACAUUUCCAUACCUCUCAAUGAACAACAUACAAAACGAUUAUAAUGCUAUACUCAAAGAGUAUAUAAGCCAUUUUCGCAUGGCUAUCCAAAUUUAUACAAAACCAAGGGUACAUGACCAACAACAAAAAGGGUAGUCCUAUACAUGCCAUUGUCAGAGUUCAACCAAAAAUGUACCAAAAGGGCUUUAAUAGUGUGGACGACUUCGACUUCGACAAUCCCGAGUCCGAUAGCUGACGAACCAAAAUCUAUAAAACAGAGAAUCAAAGAAACGGAAUAAGCAUUUAAUGCUUAGUAAGUUUUGAGCAAUGAAAUCAUGCACAACUGAAGUAUAGCAUUCAUACGACUAAACGAAUAAUUUCAUAUACACAUUUUCUCACAAUCAUACCUACUUCACAUUUCAAACCAUUAUAUUCAUACAUAAGAAAUCAACUUGACUAAAAGCUGGAAGCUUGUUAAUCGAUUGAGCAAGUACUAUUUAGAAGGAAUCAAUUAUCUCAAUGCACAUACGAAACAUACCUCAUUGUUGGGAUUUUACGAGAGUAUUAAUUGAAAUUAUUACAGCAAGAUCGGUCAUUCCCAAACCCAAUUAUCUUCGGGAUUUAGCCGGAUAUAACCACUCGCACAAGGCCUUCGGGUCUUAGUCCGGAUAUGGUCACUAGCACAAAUGCCUUCGGGACUUAGCCCGGAUAUAGUAACUCGCACAAAUGCCUUCAGGGCUUAGCCCGGAAUUAGUAACUCGCACAAAUGCCUUCGGGACUUAGCCCGGAAUUAGUAACUCGCACAAAUGCCUUCGGGACUUAGCCCGGAAUUAAUCACUAGCACAAAUGUCUUCGGGACUUAACCCCGUUAGCAUCCGAAUAUUCAUGCACAUAUCAGUAAAUCAUGACACAUCUUUAUUUCAUUUUCAUAACUAGAAUUCAAACACAAAUCAAUUAUUAAGCAUUCCCAUUUUCGCCUCAAUAGCCACAUACGAACAGCAUGAUUCGGCUUGCUUCAUGACAAGAUUUCUAUGCACAUACGGCUACCCAUCAUACGUAUAGACUAAUUAACUCAACACAUAAUUCAAGUAGAAUCAUUAUAUCACCGUAUAUUUGUUAUGAUUAUACGUCAUGACUUAAUCAAAUCGUAAACUAAGUUUCAUUACUCGAAAACUUACCUCGGAUGUUGUCGAACGAUUUCGACGGCUAUUCGAUCACUUUUUCCUUCCCUUUAUCGGAUUUAGUUCCCUUUUGCUCUUGAGCUUAAUUUAACAAAUAAAUUGAUUUAAUCAUUUGAACAUCAAAAAGAGAAACUCAAGGUACUUAACCCAUAUAUACAUUAGACAUUAGAGUCAUAUAUAUAUGAAAUCAUGAAUCAACUCAACAUAUUAGCCCACACUCUCUUUUAGCCGAUUAUCUAAGCCAAGAUAAACGCAUCAAUAUGCUUGCCUCUAACCGAAUACAUGCAACACCAAUCUACCUCAUGUGGCCGAAUAUGCAUGUCUAUGUUGAGGCCGAUUAUAUGCUUAAUACAUUCUACAAAUAUGGUCACUUGUAUUGACUAAUUACCAUUUUGUUUCAAGUUCAAAGCUCGGCUAAAACACCUAUAUACACUAGUAAUCAAAUACUAACAUUUGCACUUCACCUUAAUAGCUAACUUAGCAACCCUUAAUUUAACAUAUAAUUGUUCAUAACAAAAUUAGAGCGUCCUCUCCAUUCCAUCAAUUCAAAACACAUACAUUACUCAAUAAUAUUCAAAGUCACAUUCGGCCUUAGCACACAACUUCUCUACUUCAUCUAACAUGAACAACAACUAUAUUUCUCUUCCACUUCCUACCAUGGCCGAAUGCUUCAUGAAGUUGCUAAGACCUACCUUUUUCAAAUUCUCAUACACACUCACAUCCAAUCCUUUUUGUUGAGCAGUCAAACUCUAUCAUCUCCCUUACAUAGCAAAGAUUUAAACCAUGGGCUAGGUAGAACUCAAGCUAACAACUAAAAAUAUACAUGAAUCUCAUGGAGCAACAUCAAACAUACCUUAGCCUAGUUACAUGCAUGGCCGAACCUCUUCAACCUUUCUUCUUCCUUCCUCCUUAGAAUUUUCGGCCAAGGAUGUUAAAGGAUGAACAUUUUUUUUUCUUUUCUUUGUCUAGUCACGGCAAUGGGGAGUAAGGGGGGGACAACUUUGGUUUCUCCUCCCACUCACCUCAUGUUUUAUCAUUCUUAAUUCACUAUUUUAUUUUCUAAACCUAUAAUGCUAAUAGGAAAUUCAUAUUAUCAUCUAUGACCCAUCCAUGGCCGGCCACUACUCAAAAUAAAUGGAUAUUUGACAUGCAAACCCUUCAUUCUUAUAACAUGCAUUAAUAGGCCACUUACAUUUGCCUAGCACAUUUCUAAAUUUUCUCACAUAAGUCCUAUUAACUAAAUUCACAUGCAAUCGACUAAAUCGAAGCUUAAAACUUUCACACAUUCAUAUUCACAUAUUCUAGACAAUAAAUAUCACAUUCAAAUGCUUCGGUGACUCGGUUUAGCGGUCCCGAAACCACUUCCUGACUAGGGUCAAUUUAGGGCUGUCACAGAGUCUAUCCAGCAUUUGGUCUAAAAACGGCAAAGGGAAGUGAUCCUUCCUAGUUGCCUUGUUCAACUUCCGGUAAUCGAUGUAGAUUCUCUAUCCCGUAACUGUUCUAGUCGGUAUCAACUCGUUAUUCUCAUUCUCUAUGACCAUGAUACCUCUUUUCUUUGGUACGCACUGGACUGGACUUACCCAUGAACUGUCUGAAAUGGGGUAAAUGAUACCCGCAUCUAACCACUUGAUAAUCUCUUUUUUCACUACGUCCUUCAUGAUGGGGUUCAGCCUUCGUUGUCCAUCGAUCAUCUCUUUUUCACCAUCUUCUAGGAUGAACUUGUGCAUGCAUACAGAUGGACUAAUACCGCGAAUAACGGCUAUGGUCCAUCCAAUAGCCUUCUUAAAUUGUUUCAGAACUAAGAUAAGUUUCUCUUCUUGCUCAAUAGUUAACUCUGCUGAAACAAUCACGGGAUUGUGGAUUAAAUCCUUUUUGAUUAGCUUCUAGCAAAACUAAGUUUUCAUCCUCCUAUUCAUCACUUGGAGGGUCUGAUGUCAAAAUUCUUUCCAGAGGAUCCUCAACAAAGUUGAGUUCCUUCUCCACUAUGAAAUCCUCUAAGUCAGAUACUACAGAACAAUCAUCUAUUGCGUCAGAAAAUCGCAUUGACUUGAAAACAUUAAAUGCUACUUGAUCGUCCUGAACGCGCAUAGUAAGUUCGCCCUUCUGCACAUCAAUAAGUGUCCUUCCGGUUGCUAAGAACGAUCGCCCCAGGAUAAUUGGUACUUCUUUGUCUGCUUCGAAAUCUAAAAUUACAAAAUCUGCAGGAAAUAUAAACUUAUCUACACGUACCAAUACAUCCUUGAUUUUUCCUUCUAGAUGUGCUAAGGAUCGAUUUGCUAGUUGAAGUGUAACCGUAGUAGGUCUAACUUCACCUAUCCCCAACUUCUUAAAUAUCGACAUCAGCAUCAAGUUGAUACUUGCACCCAAGUCACAUAGUGGCUUACCACAAUAAGUUGUUCCAAUGUUGCAUGGUAUGGUAAAACACCCAGGAUCCUUCAGCUUAGGGGGUAAUUUGUCUUGAAGAUAUGCACUGCAUUCCUUCGUCAAAGCUACCGUCUCAAAUUCUCCAAGUCUUCAACCAACGGGAUGUUGAUAUGAAGUUGCUUGAGUACGUCAAGGAACUUCUUGAAUUAGACCUCAUGUUUUUGCUUCUGGAGUCUUUGUGGGUAAGGUGGUGGAGGUUUAUAUACUGGAGUUUGUACUAGUUAAUUUGUCUUUAGCGGCAAUUUUGCUGCUAACGGAGUGGUUGGCUGAUCAGAGUUGGCUAGUUCUGAGGUUACCUUUUCAGGUCUUGCAGGUUCUGGUUCUAGUGGAACUGGAACUUCAACACUCGGUUGAACUUCUUCCAAAUCUUGAGCUUCAGCAUGCUCCUUUCAGCUUCAAUGAUGUUGGGCUCUACCAUUUUUUCUCUCCUUAAUGUUAGUGCUUUACAAUGCUCCUUCCCUGGAUUUCUCAGAUUUUCCGUAUCACUAGGUAGAGCACCCUGUGGACGGUUCCUAAGUUCAGUAGCAAGCUAGCCUACUUGAUUCUCCAAAUUCCUUAAAGUGGCGUCAUUCUUUGCCAUGUAUGCAUUCAAUAAAUUCUCUAAGCUAUUGGACGAUUCAGCCUAAACUGGUUUCUGAACUUGCUGUGAAAAACUAGGCAACUGGGUUGGUCUAGGUUGGGCGUAGUUGUUACUGCCUCCAGCCCCUUGGUUACUCUAGGAAAGAUUGGGGUGAUUUCGCCACAAUGGGUUGUAAAAGUUGGAUUGCAACCCUUGCCUUCCUCAGUUCUAGUUCUGAUUACCUAUGUAGUACAUGGAUUUUGGGUUUGACGGACAUUCUUCAAACACAUGUACUUCCCCACAAUAGACACAGGCUAUAUUCUCAUAUUGGUUAGGUGGUUGAGCUGCAAAACUAUUAGACCCAUUAGUGAUAAGAUUCUUUAACAUUGAAGAUAUCGAAGAUACCUGGGAUGCAAGUGAAGUGAGGGCGUCCACUUCAUGGAUUCCGGCAGCUCGUCUUCCUGACGUUGCUCGAUUGGUUGGCCACUGAUAAUUGUUACUGGCGAUCCUCUCGAUGAUUUCAUAAGUCUCAUUGUAAGACUUAGAUAAGAUAGCACCGUUAGCAGAAGCAUCUACUAUCAUCCUUGUGUGAGUGUUGAGACUAUUGUAAAAUGUCUCAAGUUGGAUGCAAUGCGGAAUUCCGUGAUGAGGGCACUUUCGUAAUAACUCUUUGAAUCUUUCCCAUGCCUCAUACAAGGACUCAUCAUCCAUUUUUUGGAAAGCAGUAAUCUCAUUUCUCAGCUUAGCAAUCUUGCUAGGCGGGAAGUACUUCACAAGAAAUCUCUCUGCUAACUCUUGCCAUGUAGAAAUUGAGUUCGGUGGUAGUGAGUUUAACCAGGCUCGAGCUCUGUCCCUCAGCGAGUACGGGAAUAGUUUUAAUCGUAAUGCAUCUUUAGGUACUCCAGCUAGCUUGAAAGAGUCGCUCACCUCCAUAAACAGUCUUAAAUGAAGAUGAGGAUCUUCAGUAGGCAUUCCACUAAACUGGCACACUGUCUGAAGCAUCUGGAACAUGACUGGCUUCAGCUCGAAUUGUUGUGCCUCGCUCUCGAGUCUUCUAAUACCUGGAUUAAGGUCAUUAAAAACUAGCACGGUGUAGUUUCGUAAAGCUCUAUCCCUAUCAUCAGCAAUAAGGAUAAGAUUUUGAGCAAGGUUUGCUCUAUUUCCUUGAUUGAUAUUCUCGAAAUUCAUCUCUUCAGUCCUUCUUUGGUUCGCUUGUCUUCUUCGUUGGCGAAAGGUUCGUUCUAUUUCAGGGUCCACUGGGAGUAAGUCGAUAAUUUGGUCAAUACUCAUAAACACCUAAAAUAAUCAGAGAAGAAUUAAUUAAGUAAGUAAAAUUGAACAGGAAAAUAAAAGAACCAAAAUGUAAAAAUAAAUUCACAAAUAUUUUUUUUUUAAAAAUAGUCCCCGGCGACGGCGCCAAAAACUUGGAAUGGUGGAAAUGUGCAAGUGUACACAAUCGUAACAAGUAAUAAAGUGACAAGUAAAUGUCGAGUUAUUGUAUCCACAAGGACUAUAAAAAACAAUAUUUAUGAAAUUAAUUUAAACACUUUGGUGAGGUAAAAAUAAUUUUGGUUUGAAAAGAGUGAUUUAUAAACUAAGAUUUUAAAACUAAGCAAACAAUUUAAAUAAAAUAAAAGAGUUCUAGUGCACGAUUUCAACUAAGAUUUAAUCAAGAUGACAUAAUUGUGUUGGAUUAAUUAUACCUUUUUAACUUAGAAAUAUUAAAUUCGUGCUUAUGCUGUUAUGAAUUAAUUCACGGCAACCCAGUAAUUUGCUAACUUAUGAACAUAUUUACUAAUUAAAAGAAUUCCAUUUAUCUCUUGAACAUAUCCCUAUGCCAAUUCAACCGACUAAAUAGAUUUAAUAAAGUAAACAUGCUAUCGCACAUACAUACUUAUUGAAUUAAAUUAUCUCUCGCAUAUUCCUAUGUCGAUUCAACUGAUUAAUUAAAAUUAAUAAACAUGUAAAAGAUUCUGUGAAGUAACAAAGUAGCCAUACCUUGAAACAAUUUAAUCACAACAAUCUUACAAGUUAUGCAAGGCAUAUGUAUUGCCAAAUACAAUGCUGAUUUAAUUUUCAGUUACCUUAGAAGAAUUAAACAUGCACUGAUUAAGUACUGAGUCCAUUAAUUGCAAUUUCAAUCCGUUUAAACAAUUAAUUCUUUAGUUAUCUAAACAAUUAUAAUGCCAGAUAACCUAAGCAUGAUUUUACUUAAUCAAGCAUUUCACUGAGGCCUAUAACAACAUAAACACUAAUUUAAUAAUUCAAGUAGGCAAAAUAUAAUCAACCCAACACGAAUUAAAUUCAAGAUAAAUUGAUUAAAAUAACCAUUUCAACAACAAUAUUUUUCAUAGAUAUGCUCAUCAUAAAAAUAACAGAAAUAAAAAAGAAAGGGAACAGAAAGCAAAUCCAGUGUUUCUCUGCAGCUUGACUGUUGCUCCAUUCUUAGUCUCCGUUGUCUUCACCGAGGAAGGCUUUUAUGAAUCCUUGAUUGCAGCCCAAGAUGGCUGAAGAGCACCUCUUUCUCAAGAGAGGAAAUCGGCACAAGAGGAGGGGAAAAUGGGAUGAAAAAAUGGAGAGGAAACUUUGAGAGAAGUGAAGAGAGGAUGAGAGAAUGUUGUGGAAUGAGGGAUGUUGAGGGAUGCUUUGAAAUGGGAAGCAUAGGGUGGCUUUUAUAGCUGAAUAUGGCUGCCAAAAAUAGCAAAUUCAGCAGCCAAGAGAGCCGUCCCAUGGCCGGCCACACACAUGGCAAGGUUGAAGCUUUCAACCUUGCUAAAAAUAGGCUGGGGCAAAUCUACAAAGCCUAAAAUAAAGGUGGGGUUUGAACGUAAUUUGGAGGUUUUUCAAGGGCCUUUUUGCAAGCAUAUUUUAUCAGCUAAUUUUCUGAUUUGGGUCAGCCAAUGGAGAGUUCUGGUCAGCCCAAUUAGUGGCUGGUUCGGCUCACUCCAUUCGGUUCAACCAGUGCGGUUCACUAGGCUCUUUCUUCAUAAUUAAUUAAAAUUAAUUCAUUUAACCUAAAUUAAAUAGGAAAUAAAUUAAAAUUAAUUUAAUUAUGAAUUAAUACACAUUUCUGGACCGUCUUUGGCUGGAAAUUAAUUGGCCUCGAUACUUCAAAUUACUCUCGGUUUAGUUCUUCUCGCAGUGUUCACCGGGCCCUUUUUCUCCAAUUGUGUAAUUCUGUCAAAAAUAACCAAAUUUAAUCAAAAUUAAUUAUAAAAUUAAUUAAAAUUCAUAUUUUUUCAUAUUUUUAACAUAAUUUAAUUAUUUUAUAAUAUUUAAUUAUUUUUCGACAAGAAUUUAACCGGAAUAGCCUGGUUUUAAGUUAAAAAGAGUAUGAAAAAGUAUAUAAAUUUUUGUGUUUCCAAUCGCACAAAGAUAAUUCUGCUGCUUUUUCUUGGAGACUUCCUCCAUAUGGUUGGUUAAAACUCAAUGUAUGCGGUAUAGCGAUAGAGGACAAAGCGGGGUGUGGAGGUAUUUUGAGAGAUUUGGAGGGGAUUGCUAGAGGGUUAUUCUAUGGUGCUGCAGAUUCAUAUGUUGUUGAGGAAGCUGAGAUUGGAGCGGUGAAAAUGGCUCUCGAAGUGUUUGCAUCUAUAAACUGGAAGUCUUCUAAUUCACUAGUAAUUGAAGUUGGCUCUUCGGUGGUGUUCUCUUGGUGUAUCAAUAAGGGGUUGAGACCUUGGUCGCUUCAGACAACUUUUUCAAAAAUUGAAUAUGCUAAGCGUAAGGUUGGAACCAUUGUCUUCUCUUUGGUGAAUAGGAAUGGUAAUGACAUGACGUUCUCAUUGGCUUUGGCGGGUGUGAAUCUGACACAAGUGUUUAAAAUAGGUGGUAAUUUUUGCUUUGUUUAGUGUUUUAUUAUUGCUGGAACUAGGCUUUUAAUUUUUCUGCAUAAAUUUUCUUAUUUGGAUUCUGCUCUGUUUUGUUCCUGACAACAAAGUAGUGUGAAUGAAGCGAAAAAUAAAUAUAUCAAAUAAAGAUUUUAAAUUUAUAUGUAAGUAAAUAAUAAGCUUAUUGAUGACAAAACUUUUUCUCAUGCAUGCAUGUUGUUAACUGGCUGGUCCGAGACACAUAUGUGUAUAUAUAAAUAUAUAUCAAUCAGUCUAACUUGUCAAAAUCAAUUUAUUUACCUUAAGUCGGCUACAAAACCACGACAAUGAAGGAUUACAAAACAAAAGAAAACACGACAUAAAAAAAAUAAAGAUGGACCUAUCACAUAACCCAUAACACAGGACAACAUUUCACACUCUAGAGCAACAUUAAUAUUACUCUUUAACGUAAGUUAGACUAGUUGCUUUAAAAUUUAAACCCCUCCAGCAAAGUUCAAGAAACUAGUUGCUUUAAAAUUUUAACCAUCCAGCAAAGUUCAAGGAAAGUGGACGACACCAGGCGCAUUGCCAAUGCCAACACCACCUUCAUUUCCACCACCAGCGCCAGGCCCACCUCCAUACCCAACACCUACCAUGGCGCCCAUCCCACCUGUACCACCAAGGCCAGUCAUACCAUCAACACUCCCAACUCCACCCAUUGGCAUGCCAUUUGAACCCAUGCCAGAGUAGCCGCCAAUGCCACCGUAUGUGAGGAGGUUCUUUUGGUCAUUGAGACCAGCAGCAUCGCUAGGCACAUUCCUUGCAGUAGCUUGAACCACUACUAGAGCAAGAACAAGCACAACAUUCAAGUACUUGGCCAUAUAUGAUAUUUAACUAUAAUAAGUAGAAGAAUUGAAACUCUUAACUCAGUAGAUCACUCUAUGAUGUCUUGCCUCUGUGGUUGAGGAGGAUCUCCUUUUAUAGGACAAAGUAGAUAGCUAUAGUUAGAUGGGAGAGCAUUGUGGGAAUUCAAUGGAGUUUAAUGUGAGCGCUAAGUAUUUGGUGCCUCAGUCUAAAUGUUUCUCUUUUGAGAUUGAACGCGCUUUAUUUUCUCAAUCAUUACAAUUUUGGUUAUUAUUUAGGUAUUAUGUAAAAAUAUAAUAAUAAAUAAUAGUCAUAAAUUAGUUGGCAAAAUUAAUAAAUUUUGGUGGUAAUAAAUUGUUAAUUAGGUGGAUUCUUUUAAUUUAUUACAGCUGUGAAUUGUAGUUGUAGUUGAGCAAUAAUAUAUGAUAGCCAUAUGUAAACAUCUACCAUUCGCUAACUCAUUGUAUUUCUAUCUUCCUAAGCUCUCUCAUUCACUAUUGUGUUCGUGCAUCUAUAUGUAGUCAUUUAGAUCAAAAUGUUCUUUUACAAAUUUAUUAAUUUAAUUAAACAUUUUUACGAAAGAUGAAAUAUUUAAAUAUUACAAACGAAUUUAAUAUGAUGAUACAUUUAAAAAUCUAAUUAAAAAUAUAAAACAUGUAAUCAUUUCUUUUAACUCUUUGUGACCCAUCCUAAAUAAAAAAUAUAUUUAUUCAUGAUCAAGUAAGCUUAAGUGAAAUUGCAAAAUAUGGGCAUCAUAAUUUUUUUAAAGAGUGUGGAAUUCAAAUUUAAUAGGUUAUGUGUCGAUUGGGUUUUAAUUUAAUUGGUAUGAGUAUUAUUGUUGAUACAGGAGGACGUUGAUUUGAGUAAGUUAAAGUGAAUUAUCCUCCUAUUUAUGAGUUGAGGAGAAAUUAUGGGUAAUUCUAAAUAUUAUAUAUAAUAAAAAAAAUAAGCUAAGUAUAAGGCAAAAUCAAUUCUCAGUCAUGAUGAGUAACUCAAAAUAGCUAGGAUUUAUUAGUAAUAAUAUGUAAUCCAUAUCUAAUAUAAAAUUAUAUUUGGGAGUUAUUGAAAUUAAUAGGAUAAUUUAGGUGUUUUAAAAUAGUAAUAAGGGAAAUAUAGAUGUUUUGAAAAAAAUAUUAAUUAAAUAUCUAUAAUUUUAUAAUCUCUAUUAAACUUUGAAUUAAAUAAAAAAUAGGAAUAAAUAUGGAUACUUUAGGCAAAAUAAAAUUUUAUGAAUUAUGUUUUUUUUUAAUUUUAAAUUUAUUAGUUUUAUUACCUAUUUUCUAUCUUUAUCUAAUAAAAUAUAAAACCAAGCAUUAAGAGAGUUUUACAUAAUAAAAUAGAAUCAAACUGGAUAUCUCCUUUAUAAUUUUUUUUUUUUUUGUGAAAGAUCAAUUGGGCUUUUAUAAAAUACUAAAACAGAAAUACAUAAAAAGAUAGUCACCCAUCAUGGGCUAAGACCCAAAGAAAGAAGCAAAUAAACUUGAAGAAAUAAAGAAUCAGGCCCCUAAACUAAAGGAAAAUUCAAAAAAAAAAAAGAAAACUUAAUUGAUUGUCCUGUCAAUCACCACAGCUGGAUGCCAUUAUUCCUUGUCUUUUCAUUUCAAUUCACCAUUCCAGCUUUUAUGAUACCAGUUCCCAAAACUUAUCUUUUUACUUUUGCUAUCAAUUUCUUUGAAAACCUCUCUCGUCUCUUUCAUCUCGUCUCUUCUGCUCUCAACUUGGCUGCCUUAAUCUCCGAUUUUCCUUCUCGCGACGAGCAUGGCCUGGUCCUCCCCUUGCAGGUAAUAUCCUACUCCCCUCUUCAAGGCUUCUUUGGCAAGGAAAUGAGCAUAACCAUUUUCUGAUCUAGGGAUAAAAUGAAACUCGAUAUUCUGAAAAUAUGUCUUUUUGCUUUGGAUGUCUCUGAUGAGCGCUCCUAUAAUCGAUUUGUCUGGAUCUUUUGUUUGGCAUUUCUUUAUCACUGUUUUUGAGUCCCCCACUAUUUGUAAACUGUUAAAACCCAUGGAAAUGGCUAACUGCACCCCUUAUAACCCUACAUGUGCUUUCGUUGCGAAUGGUGUCGGUAUAUCGGAGUGGAUAACUGUUUUGGAUACCAAGAUCUCACCCCUCUCAUCACGUAUUGCCAGACCCGAAGUUGAUCUGAAGGAUCUCUUGUCAAAAGCCGCAUCAAAGAAGGCUAUAACGCCCCGUACCCGAGACCGUCGCCGGAGUCGAACACGAGGUGUUAAUAGACUUAAUUCAUUACUUAAACAACUCAAACAAUUUAUUUUUAAAAUUUUCAGUCAAGCUAACAAUCUGCGUCAUAGUCAUUUAAAAAUUCAUAUAUCGAGUUACGAAAUUAGAAAUCCAAUUCCGUAAAUUUUUGUUGAAACUAUACUCAUAUAUAUAUUUACUAAUUUUUUAUAGAAUUUUUGGUCGAGCAAAUUAGUAUAGUUUAUUAGUUAAAGCCUCCCCUGUUUCAGAGUUUGGCUGCUCUGACUUCUGUGUAUUACGAAUCAAAUAUCUCCCUGUACAGAGUUUCAAUGACUAUACCGUUUGCUUCUAAUAAAAUUAGACUCAAUAAGGAAUCUGUACAUAUAAAUUAUGACUUCUAAUUAUCUUUGAACAAUUUAUGGUGAAUUUCCAAAGUCAGAAUAGGGGAUCCAGAAAUUGUUCUGGCCCUGUUUCACAAAAAUUCAAACAUCUCAUAAAAUAUAACUCAUAUACCUAUUUUGUUCCAUCCAUAUGAAAAUAGACUCAUAAUUCUUCAAUUCCAUAUAUUAUUCAUCAUCUAAUUAUAACUCUACUAUUUUUAGUGAUUUUUCAAACUCACGUCACUGUUGCUGUCUGAAUCUAUUUUAUGGUAAAUUUUACCUAUUUCAUGGUUUCCAUGGAUUAGCUAGCAAUUUAGCAUACAUAAUACCAAAUAUGAUCAUGAUUAGCCAUUCCAAUGGCUAAUCAUUACCAAGCAUUUCCAUACCACUCAAUAACCAUAUCAUAAGAUCAUAUACACAAAAUGAUUAUAAUGUUAUAUAUGCCAUACUCAAAAUAUACAAGCCAUUAUGCCAAGAUGGUAUACGGAUAGUGUGAGCGUGCCGCCGACCGUUUCCGAUUUCCAAGCUGGCUUAUCAACACUACAAGGAAUGAAAAGGAGGGAGUAAGCAUAAAUGCUUAGUAAGUUCACAUGCAAAUAGCAAGUAACAUAACUAUAUAAGCAAACAUAAAACAUCAUUUACAUAAUCAUCACCGAGACAUUCAUAUCACAUUUUCAUUUAUCAUCUUACCAUAUUUUUGUUAUAUCGAGUUUUCAACCCGAGGGUUAAGUACAUACCUGUUCAAAGUAUUCAUUUCACAACACUUACCAAUACAUCCCUUUCAUCUCGAGUAUUCCUCCGCUUGAGUAAAAUUUUACCCGUUGAACACAUCGAAAUAUAAUUCGGAUACAUGGAAAGUUUGCACAUAAGUGCCACAUAUGUAGCCAAGUUACUAUGUAACCCGCCCAUAAGCUAACUCGGACUCAACUCAACGAGCUCGGGCAUUCUCAUCCACAAGUAAACUCGGACUCAACUCAACGAGCUCGGAUGCCUAAUUACAUCUCUCGAACUCAGACUCAACUCAACGAGUUCGGACAUUCGCAUCCAUAAGUGAACUCGGACUCAACUCAACGAGCUCGGAUGCCUAAUUACAUCUCUCGAACUCGGACUCAACUCAACGAGUUCGGACAUUCACAUCCAUAAGUGAACUCGGACUCAACUCAACGAGUUCGGAUGCCCAAAUAUCCUAGUGACAUGUCACUUGUAUCCUAAUCUAUUCCUAAGGUUCAACGGGACCUUUUUCCCAAUCAUGUGUCUCAACUAUCUUCAACGGAAUGCCAAUACCGAUACUCGGUAGUAUUUCACAUUUUCCAAGUAUAUCACACAAUUUGACAUAUUAUCAAACAAUUAUCACGAGUAUAAUAUUUCAUAAUAAUUAUCAUAUCAUUUAAAUAACAUAAAAACAUUUAAAAUAAUAACUAUGUUACCAACAUUUACAUAUGAACUUACCUCGUAUGCGAAAAUGGCUACUUUUACCAUUUCGUCCACAACUUGAUAUUUUCCACAUUUUAGCCCGAAUUUCAGUUUUCCUUGCUCUAUCAUUUAAAAUAUAGUCUAAUUAGGACUCACAUUAUUCAAAUUGACCCAAAAUCAUAUUUUGGCAAAAUUAUAGUUUUGCCCCUAAACUUUUGCAUAUUUACACUUUUGCCCCAAAGCUCGUAAAUUAAACUUCAGCCUAUUUUCUUAUGUUUUAUGACAUGCUGAUCAUUUUUCCCUUCUAUGGCAACAUCAAAUUCUCACUCUAACAUGUAUUUAUGACUAUUAGGUAUUUUUACCGAUUAAGCCUUUUUGCUAGUUUUCACUUAAAACCGAGUAGCACAAGUUGUCUAACAUAAUUUAAAACCUCAUAUUCUAUCAUAAAACACCAAAAUACACAAAUUUCACCUAUGGUUAUUUUUCCAAAUAUAAACCCUAGGUUAAAUUAUUGCUAGCAUAAGCUUAACCGAGCUACCGGGACUCCAAAAACGUAAAGAACUUGAAAAACGGGGCUAAAAUGGACUUACAAUCGAGCUUGGAAGCUUGAAAAACCCUAGCCAUGGUUUCUCCUUGCUAUAUUCGGCCAUGGGGUUGAAUAUGAGCAAAAUUGGCUUUUCAUUUUGUAUUUUAAUUCAUUUUACCCCUAAAUGAUCAAAAUGCCCUUACUACUAAACUUUCCAAAAAUUUCAUCCAUGUCCAAUUUUUGUCCAUAGACUUAGAAAUUGGUAAAAUUUCUAUUUAAGACCUCCUAAUUAAUAUUUCAAAACAAUUUCAUACUAGAAACUUCUAAAAUGUAAGUUUUACAAAUUAUUCGAUUUAGUCCUUAAUUUCAAUUUAAGCACUUUACGCAUAAAAUUUCUUCACGAAAUUUUCACACAAUCAUGCAAUCAUAUCAUAGACCUCAAAAUAAUCAUAAAAUAAUUAUUUCUAUCUCGAAUUUUGUGGUCACGAAAUCACUAUUCCGACUAGGCCCAAAAUCAGGAUAUUACAACUCUCCCCCCUUUAGGGAUUUUCGUCCCCGAAAAUCUUACCAGAAAAGUGGUCUUCACUUAGAUUCCUCAAUUUCAUAUUCGGUGCUGAAGAACUUUCACUCAGGCGGUGCCUCCAAUAUAUCUCAUUAAUUUCUCAUAUAUUCUGAAAGUUUACGAACUGAUCUCUUAAUUGUUCUUAAAUUUUCAACCCUUCUCCGUUUCCCUUGUCAUCUUGACAUAAAACCAGAUCUCAAUUUGGUUAAUAGAGACUAGAAUUCCAAGAAAUUCAACAAUAAAAAAGACUUGAAAUUCUACGAAUCUGAUGAGUAGGAAUUCAUUCAAUACCGAUAUGAUUUAUAGAUCUCGCCAAAUAUUUAACAAUAGGAUACAUCACAUUUUCCUCUUUCAGCUAUGGAAAUAAUUCUGAUAUGGCCUCAAGAGUAAUCCUUCUCAUUUCCAUCCCAAUAUCAACACUAACAAGGAUAAUUUUGAUAGAUCCCAAUGCUCGGCUUUAACCCCUUUAACAACUCCGAUUUUAUGUGACAUCGAAUGCUCUAAACUAUCACAUUACCUCACUGUCUUGAAACACAUCACAAUUCAUACAACAGUACAUUACUGAAAGUCAGGAAGUAUUUGCUCAAUGUAGACUAGUCUAGUUCAGACGCUUCGGUUACCGAUAUUCUCAUCUAUCCGAACUCUGUCAACAUGUAAUAAACUUUUCAGCUUUCACAAGACGAAAACCAUAUCAUUCGUAGUGACUUUAACUAAUAUCCAACUCUUUCUAAUAAAUAUACACUUCUCAUUCAGACUAUUUACUCUUUUAUCAGUACAAAAUAAAAUUCUAUUAUCAGACUUGAGAAAAAUAAUCCUGACAUAAUUGUCACAUGAAAUCUUUCAAAUAAAUAAUUCACCAUACCGACUGAAACUCGCGCUUUUAUCACUUAUGCAUUUACUGAUGUCAAAUCCUUACACAAAAAUUAGAAAAAUCCCAAUAGUAAAAUCACCACAUUACCAAAAUCAAAUUAGAAGUAUAGUUAUAUUUGACAUGAUUAUCACGAGCUGAAGAACGCACUUCGAACAUGAGUCAUAAUUGACAAAUUAUGGAACAAAGAUAACAAGAAAACAGAAUAAAAAAUCCAGAAUAAAGAGAUCCAGGAUAAAGAAACCCAAGAUACGAUAUUAUGCCGGAGAAUCCAAAACCAAACUCAUAGAGAAAAUACAGAAUACCCCGAUAAUUCUUCAAAGAAAGAAAGUCCAAAAGAAAAAAUCAUUUAAUCCCACUGGAAUCAAAUAUAACAAGAACAAUAUAUCUUUCCAUACAUAUAUAUCAGAUAAAGCAUCAAGUAGAAGAAACAGAAACAUAAUAUCUUACGUAUUCUCUCAUCAAUUCUUAUCAGACGAAAUGAAAUAGAAAACCCGAUGAAAUAGAGCAAUAUAAAUUAUAAACCAGUCAAACUACCAAUGCUUUCAUCCAACACCAGAAUUAGAAGACAUUCCUAUAUAACAAGAAUUUCUUCAGAAGAUCAAUAGCCAUAGAAAUAUUUCUGAGAACGGGUAAACACAUAGAACAUCUCAAAAGAGACUGCUAAAUCUGUCUAGUCAUAACUAUCACACUCAGAUAGUUCACAUUUCAAAUAUCAUUUCCCCAACUAGUUCUGCCAUCACAAAUUUCAUAUUAAACCAUUCACUAAAGAAGGCUAGUUCUGAAUAAAUUUCGAUUUACACUUUUCUCGACCUUGCACCUGAGUAAUUCGAUUUACCAAAGAGAAUUCCUUCUCUAAUUGGGAUAGUGCAUAACUCCAAUAAUCUUUACGUCAAUCCGAUACUUUACUGGCUCUGACUUUACUUAUCAGCUCAUUUUCAAUCUCUGAUCAUACUUAUAAUUAUUCUAUCACUAAACUCUUUGGGUUCUCAACCGGAAACUUAUUCAAUACAAAUCUCAUGAAAUUCCAUUAUAAGUACCACUUCGGUAAGGGGGAGGGGUUGUAGGACCUCUGACUCGACUUUCUUAUACAUACACAUAUGACAUAACUCCCAUCAUCAUAGCAACAUCAUCAAAAUCAUGUCAUUCAUUCAGGCAAUGCAACAUUCAUGUUGGCUUACACAAAUUUUCCUAUUGUCCAUUUAGACAAUAUACUUAUGCAUACAUUCUAUGUUUUCUAGAUAGCUUUACUUAUCCAUUCAUUUAAUUAAAUUAAGUCAUGCUCAUGACAUCAUAUAAGACCAAACAAACAUAGAUAUUUGCAUCACAAUCACAACUUUCAUUUCAUGCAUCAUCAUGUACAUAUCAUUACAAUCAUAUAAUUCAGUCCAACAAUUUAACAUCGAUAAGUUCAUUUCAUUAUAAUCCUUUAUCUCAUAAAAAUUGUAUAUCAUUAACAUUCAUCAACAUUCAACGUUCAAUCGAGACAAGGACAUUUUCAUUCGUAUCAUGAUAUUAUGACCUUUAUUCAUACCUCUACUACUUUCUAUUUAUUCCGUUCAUCUUAUCAAGUAAGCCACAUACACUACAUCGUAUGAGCAUUAAGCAAAUAUGAAUAUUUAUCACAUAUGUAUCAUAAACUUUUAUUCAUACUUUUCUGAACCGAGACUUAUCAUAAUCAUAAUUUUACUCAAAUACCUUCACAUAACAUUGAACAUGGUCGGCGCAGCUCGGUUGGAGAGUACCCUGUCUAAAUAAGACGGUACUCAUACGCGUCGGAAGACAUCACACUAUCACAGAUCAGUGGCAUGUAUAGCUAAACUUUUACACAUGCUAGGUUAUUCUGAGAAUUGACUAAACCUACUCCGAUACCACCAAAUGUAACGCCCCGUACCCGAGACCGUCGCUGAAGUCGAACACGAGGUGUUAAUAGACUUAAUUCAUUACUUAAAUAGAUCAAACAAUUUAUUUUUAAAAUUUUCAGUCAAGCUAACAAUCUGCGUCAUAGUCGCUUAAAAAUUCAUAUCUCGAGUUACGAAACUCAAAAUCCAAUUCUGUAAAUUUCCCCUAAAACUAGACUCAUAUAUAUAUUUACUAAUUUUUUUAUAGAAUUUUUGGUCGAGCAAAUUAGUACAGUUUAUUAGUUAAAGUCUCCCCUGUUUCAGAGUUUGGCUGCUCUGACCUCUGUGUAUUACGAAUCAAAUAUCUCCCUGUACAGAGUUUCAAUGACUAUACCGUUUGCUUCUAAUAAAACUAGACUCAAUAAGGAAUCUGUACAUAUAAAUUAUGACUUCUAAUUAUCUUUGAACAAUUUAUGGUGAAUUUCCAAAUUCAGAACAGGGGAUCCAGAAAUUGCUCUGGCCCUGUUUCACAAAAAUUUAAACAUCUCAUAAAAUAUAACUCAUAUACCUGUUUUGUUCCAUCCAUAUGAAAAUAGACUCAUAAUUAUUCAAUUCCAUAUAUUAUUCAUCAUUUAAUUGUAUCUCUACUAUUUUUAGUGAUUUUUCAGACUCACAUCACUGCUACUGUCUGAAUCUAUUUUAUGGUAAAUUUUACCUAUUUCAUGGUUUCCAUGGAUUAGCUAGCAAUUUAGCAUACAUAACACUAAAUAUGAUCAUGAUUAGCUAUUCCAAUGGUUAAUCAUUACCAAGCAUUUCCAUACCACUCAAUAACCAUAUCAUAAAACCAUAUACACAAAAUGAUUAUAAUGUUAUACAUACCAUACUCAAAAUAUACAAGCCAUUAUGCCAAGAUGGUAUACGGAUAGUGUGAGCGUGCUGCCGACCGUUUCCGAUUUCCAAGCUGGCUUGUCAACACUACAAGGAAUGAAAAGGAGGGAGUAAGCAUAAAUGCUUAGUAAGUUCACAUGCAAAUAGCAAGUAACAUAACUAUAUAAGCAAACAUAAAACAUCAUUUGCAUAAUCAUCACCGAGACAUUCAUAUCACAUUUUCAUUUAUCAUCUUACCAUAUUGUUGUUAUAUCGAGUUUUCAACCCGAGGGUUAAGUACAUACCUGUUCAAAGUAUUCAUUUCACAACACUUACCAAUACGUCCCUUUCAUCUCGAGUAUUCCUCCGCUUGAGUAAAAUUUUACCCGUUGAACACAUCGGAAUAUAAUUCGGAUACAUGGAAAGUUUGCACAUAAGUGCCACAUAUGUAGCCAAGCUACUAUGUAACCCGCCCAUAAGCGAACUCGGACUCAACUCAACGAGCUUGGGCGUUCGCAUCCACAAGUGAACUCGGACUCAACUCAACGAGCUCGGGUGCCUAGUUACAUCUCUCGAACUCAGACUCAACUCAACGAGUUCGGACAUUCGCAUCUAUAAGUGAACUCGGACUCAACUCAACGAGCUCAGAUGCCUAGUUACAUCUCUCGAACUCGGACUCAACUCAACGAGUUCGGACAUUCACAUCCAUAAGUGAACUCGGACUCAACUCAACGAGUUCGGAUGCCCAAAUAUCCUAGUGACAUGUCACUUGUAUCCUAAUCCAUUCCUAAGGUUCAACGGGACCUUUUUCCCAAUCAUGUGUCUCAACCAUCUUCUACGGAAUGCCGAUACCGAUACUCGAUAGUAUUUCACAUUUUCCAAGUAUAUCACACAAUUUGACAUAUUAUCAAACAAUUAUCACGAGUACAAUAUUUCAUAAUAAUUAUCAUAUCAUUUAAAUAACAUAAAAACAUUUAAAAUAAUAACUAUGUUACCAACAUUUACAUAUGAACUUACCUCGUAUGCGAAAAUGGCUACUUUUACCAUUUCGUCCACAACUUGGUAUUUUCCCCAUUUUAGCCCGAAUUUUAGUUUUCCUUGCUCUAUCAUUUAAAAUAUAGUCUAAUUAGGACUCACAUUAUUCAAAUUGACCCAAAAUCAUAUUUUGGCAAAAUUAUAGUUUUGCCCUUAAACUUUUGCAUAUUUACACUUUUGCCCCAAAGCUCGUAAAUUAAACUUCAGCCUAUUUUCUUAUGUUUUAUGACAUGCUGAUCAUUUUUCCCUUCUAUGGCAACAUCAAAUUCUCAUUCUAACAUGUACUUAUGACUAUUAGGUAUUUUUACCGAUUAAGUCCUUUUGCUAGUUUUCGCUUAAAACCAAGUAGCACAAGUUGUCUAACAUAAUUUAAAACCUCAUAUUCUAUCAUAAAACACCAAAAUACACAAAUUUCACCUAUGGUUAUUUUUCCAAAUAUAAACCCUAGGUUAAAUUAUUGCUAGCAUAAGCUUAAUCGAGCUACUGGAACUCCAAAAACGUAAAGAACUUGAAAAACGGGGCUAGAAUGGACUUACAAUCGAGCUUGGAAGCUUGAAAAACCCUAGCCAUGGUUUCUCCUUGCUAUAUUCGGCCAUGGGGUUGAAGAUGAGCAAAAUUGGCAUUUAAUUUUGUAUUUUAAUUCAUUUUACCCCUAAAUGACCAAAAUGCCAUUACUACUACUAAACUUUCCAAAAAUUCCAUCCAUGUCCAAUUUUUGUCCAUAGACUUAGAAAUUGGUAAAAUUUCUAUUUAAGACCUAAUUAAUAUUUCAAAACAAUUUCAUACUAGAAACUUCUAGAAUGCAAGUUUUACAAAUUAUUCGAUUUAGUCCCUAAUUUCAAUUUAAGCACUUUAUGCAUAAAAUUUUUUCACGAAAUUUUCACACAAUCAUGCAGUCAUAUCAUAGACCUCAAAAUAAUCAUAAAAUAAUUAUUACUACCUCGGAUUUUGUGGUCACGAAACCACUAUUCUGACUAGGCCCAAAAUCAGGAUAUUACAAAGACAGUGACCUUUGUGCUUCUUGCUGUAUGUUCAUGACCUUUAGCAACUUUUAAAGUAAGUUUUUUCUAUUCUACUCCAUUCAACUCUAAAAUGUAGCUUAUGACUUGAUUCGAGAUAUCUCUGCUUGUAGAGUUCUUUCUUUCAUAAAUUAACUGAUUUUUGUAUGUCCAGAUUGUCCAUAAACCACAACAUAAGAGUCGACAUUGCUCAAUAUUUCCUUGUCUAAAAACCCAAGUAAGCCACUCCCAGAUACUGUUAAGAUCAUUAUUACAUACCCAAGCAAGAUUUAAAUUUCACCACACAUCUAUUGCUGUAGGACAGUACCGAAAGAUAUGAUUGUGUCUUCUUCAAGGGUGUGACAUCUGGGACAAAUAGCUACUGUGACCACUUUUUUAUUCUUUAGAUUUGAUAGAGUAAGAAUAUAGUUCCAUGAAAUUCUCCAAUUUGUAAUUUUAAUUUUUGGAGGGAGAUGUAAAUUCCAUAAUUUCCUAUAGAAAUCUCUAGUCUCGGUCUAUAAAUAAUUAUUACUAGGAUCCGAAUUAGCCCCCUAUAAUAGUUUAUAGGCACUCCUGACUGAGAAUUCUUCUGAUGAUUCCCCUCGCCAUACUUGGAAGUCUUCAUAAGUUGUCUCUGCCAGAGGGAUUUGCAGUAUUUUCCUUGCAACAUCCGCAUUAAAGGUACUAAUGACUAAUUUUGUAUUCCAAGUUCUGCUAGCUGGAUCAAUCAAAUCUGAUACUGUCUUAUAUUUUCAUUACUAGUCUUAUUUUGUAACCCGUCUAUUUCAGCUCUCGAUAUCCAUAAGUCACCCCAAAUGGAAAUACGAUCCCCCGUGCCAACCCUCCAACAUAAUCCUUUCUCCAAGAUUCCUUUUGCUACCCAGACACUCUUCCAGGUAAGCGAAGGUAAAUUUCCUAAUUGCGCAUUGAAGAAAUCUGUACUUGGAUAAUACUUUGCCUUUAAAACACGACUAAGCAAAGAAUUAGGAAAAUUAAUAAGACGCCACCCUUGUUUGGCUAAUAACGCAAUAUUAAAUUUAUCGAGAUUUCGAAAGCCUAAUCCACCAUCUUCUUUUAAAGAACAUAAAUCUUUCCAAGUACACCAAUGAAUGCCUUAUCUCGAUUUUUCUGCCAACAGAAUUUUACAAAAAUGCCUUCUAUUGCUCCACAUAGAGAUUUAGGGAGUAAGAAACAUGCCAUAGUAUAGGUUGGAAUAGCUUAAAGAAUGGCCUUUAUAAAUACCUCUUUUCCGCAUUGAGAAAGAUGUUUAACACUCCAGCUCUCAAUCUAUUCUUUAAUUCUAUCCUUCAAAAUUUGAAAUGCCAUCUUCUUUCUUCUAUCCGCCAUGUUAGGAAGACCAAGGUAUCUUUCCGGGUUAUUUGAACUUCGUACACCAAGAAUCCUUGAAAUUGUUGUUUUGUCCUUCUCUUGUAUAUUAGAACUAAAGAAAACUGUAGAUUUGCCAAAACUAUAGAUUUUCCAUAGUUGACGUAUUGACCAGAACAAUUCCCGUAUUUAAUCAAAAUCCGCUUAAGUGAUUGAGCUCCUCUUUCUGUAGCCUCCCUAAACAGUAUGCAGUCAUCUGCAAAUAAUAAGUAUGAGACCUGCGGACUACUUUUGCUUGCCUUGACCCCUCUAAGUAUGUUUCCCCUAAUAGCCAAUCGUAUUAGACUCGAAAGACCUUCUCCACAAAGUAAGAAAAGAAACGAACUCAAAGGGUCACCCUGUCUUAAGCCCCUUAUAGGGCGAAAGCUAUCUCCUACAUGACCAUUAAAAUUCACCGAAUAAGAAACUGUAGAAAGACAUUUCAUUAAAGAGUCAACCCAGCCUAGAUCAAAACCCAUUCUUUUCAUAAUUUUUUCGAUAAAAAAUCAUUCUACUCUAUCAUACGCUUUACUCAUAUCUAAUUUUGCCGCCAUAACUCCUUUUCUCCCCGUCUUCUUCUAUUUUAAAGUAUGAAGGAUUUCAUAGGCCAGCAAUACAUUAUCCGAAAUCAAUCUCCCUGGUACAAACACACUUUGUGCAAGAUCUAUGCAUUUAUCAAUGAUAAUCCGGAGACAAUUUGCGAUGACCUUAGCUAUCAACUUGUAAAACACAUUACAUAGGCUAAUAGGUCUGAAAUGAAUGAUGCUAGAAGGAUUUGGGAUUUUUGGUAUUAAUAUGACAUUAGUUUUAUUAAUUAAACUGAUAUCCAUACCUCUAUUUAGAAUUUGUAGACAAAAGGAUUCACAUCUUCCCCAAUGAUUUGCCAACAUUUCUGGUAGAAUAAAGCCAGAAAUUCAUCUUCUCUUGGCGCUUUCGUUGGACCUGAUUUGGAUAAGGCCUCUCAAAUUUCCUCUUUUGUAUAUCUCUCCAUCAGUCGAUAAUUAUCCUCUUCGGAAAUACAGCAAUCAAUUCCUGACAAGAGGUGCUCGCAAUUUCCUCUCCUUCUAGCUGCAAACAGAUUUUGAAAAUAAGCUCUAACAAUUGCUUCCAUUUCCCAAACCUCCUUUGUUUCCUUACCAUCCUCAUAUUUCAUUUUGAGAAUGAUAUUUCUUCGUCGUUGUUGUGCUGCUUGAUUAUGAAAAAAUGCGGUAUUUCUAUCUCUAUACUGCAACCAGUUAACUCUCGCCCUCUGUUCCCAAUAUCAUUCAUCCUUCUCUAUCUCAAAAUUAAGUUGAAUCUUUGUAUCAAUAAGUUCUGCCAAAUUGUCAUCAUUCCUUUUCGAUUCUAGCAGUUCAACCAAUCUGGCAGUUAGCACCUUCUUUUUUGCUUUUUUGCUAUGUCUAAUUUGACUAGCCCAUCUAACCAGCCCUUCCCUUACCCUUUCCAAUUUCAGUAGCAAAUCCCCUGUUGAAUUUUCCCAAAUACGUUUUACCUCCUCACCAAAUGAAUCCUCCAAGACCCACAAAGCUUCAAACUUGAAAUUCCUUCUAUGGCGCUCAUUAUCUUUUUUUCUGUAGUAAUAAGUAGUGGGCAAUGGUCUAAAAAAGAAUGUGGAAGGUGUUGAAUUGUAGCCUCAGGGAAUAAAGAUAUCCAACCCUCAGUAGCAACUCCCCUAUCUAGACGUUCUUGAAUAUUCGUUUCUGGUAGAUUCCCUAUUUCCCAAGUGAACCACUUCCCAGUAUAGCCCACAUCAAAUAAAUGACAAUCUGCCAAUAUAGUACGAAAAGAAACUAUACGUCUCUCCUCUUGAGAUAAGCCUCCCUUCUUUUCAUAACCAUACAUAAUUUCAUUGAAAUCCCCACAAACUAACUAUAGGAGCUCAUCAUCAUUAUUCAAGUUUCUGAGAAGAUCCCACGAUUUGCACCUAUCUUGUAAACAAGGAGAGCCAUAAAACCCUGUAAAUCUCCACUUGUUACAUCAGCAUUAUCCUCAACAUGCACAUCAAUGUCUUUUUGAGAAACUUUUAAGAAUGAUUGUAUUAUCAUCAUACCAUGCCAGAUAAAAACCUCCUCUAGAUCCACAUGCUUCUACAUCAAUACCAUUAUGCAAGCCACAACUCCUUCGUAUUCUUUCCAUCUGAUUUCUAUUUAUUUUAGUCUUCAUGAAGAAGAACAUUUGGGGAUUAUAAAAAUUCAGCGAGUACCGAAGUUUUCGUAUUGUCCGUGGAUUCCCCAGAGCACAGACAUUCCAACUUAAGAUUUUCAUUGUUGCUAGUCGACUUGCCUUUUGGCAGCCGCCGAUAUGAAAAGAUUGCUAUUCACCAUGCUCCUAUCCCUGCUAGUCAAACUAGUAGCUUUAUUACUAACAAUAUAUACUUCAGAAUCUCCUCUUUGCCUCUUUUUUUCCUUCUUCUCCUAUUAAAAUCCCUUCCUCUACAUCAUGUUCCAUAGCAAAUUGAUUUUUAUCAACUGGUUGUUUUCCCCUUCUUUUAGAAAUAGUAGACAAGUUUCCUUCCAAAUUAAACCCUAAAAUGGGAUCAACAAAAAGCCCACUUCUAGGGUUAUCUAUCGCACCCCAAGAUCUAUAAUCAAAUGGCCUACUUCUGUCGAAAUGACUUCCCCUUAUUUCUUCUUCAUCCUCACGUAGCCAGACACUGUUUUGUGCUUGAACUCUUCUUGUUUGUGCUCUUAUCGAAAGAUCCCAGCCCAUUUUAGUAGUCUCGACUCCUAAUGCCAUUCUUGCCUCACAAAAGGAGUCACUGUGUCCCAAACGACCAUAAUAAAAACAAAAGAAUGUUAAUCUUUCAUAUUUGAAUCUGACAUAUGAUCUGUUUACAUAGAACAAAACUUAUUUUUUCCUCUUUAAAGGAUAUCUUACGUCCAAUUGAAUUCUAACUCGUAAAAAAUUCAGGUAUCCUUUUCCCAUAUUAGAACCAUCAUACUCCAUAAAAGUACCAAUGAAAUCACCUAAUUGCUUUGCUAAAACCUCAGAAAAGAAACCUGGAGGAAUAUCAUGAAUUUGAACCCAAAAAGGCGAUAAAACUAAAGGGACUUUUAACGGAUCUUCCCCCUACUUCAAAGCAUGUAAAAGCAGUAGAUGAUUAUUGAAUGUCUAGGGAAAGCCUUUCAAAACCCUUUCCAUAUCCAUACUAUGAAGAAAUUGAAACAGAAAUAUUUUUUCCCCAAGAUCCAAAAUUCGAACACCUCUGACCGGAUGCCACAGAUUUGCCAUCGUACUCUUCAUAGUAGAAAAGUGGAUAACACUGGCUGAUCGAAAAUACCCUACCAAACGAAAUUCUUUAUUCUUCCCUCUCUAGAAUCGAAAAAGACGGUAUUUGUAAAAUCGCCUCUUCUUCUUCAUUGAGAGUUAACCCAGCAAAAUUAGAUUCCAUGGAAACGAAUUAGAUCUCAUACAAUUGAGAGAAUAAUUGAGUAAAUUCUGACUUUCAAAAGAAACACCGCCACAAAAGAACAAAAUAAACCUAAACCCUGUCAGAGGAGACAAACAGAAACGUGCUAGGGUAGCAGACUAGUUCUCUCCUUUAUAAAUUUUAACUUUUAAAUUAAUUAAUUAAUUAUAAUUUAAAUAUUAUUUAUGGAUAUCUAUUUUGCUUUUAUAUUCAAAAUUAUUUUCCUGUUACAUAGUUUCAUUCUCUUAUAAAAAUACCAUAAAAUCUCUUAUACUAUGCCACGGAUUGCAAUUUAGUUUCUUUAUUGAAAAUUUAGGCAAAUUAGUCUUGUAUGUUAGAUGAAUGAGCAAAACAACCCCUUAUUAAAUUGCAUCGUUAAAUGUUUGUUUUGGUGUUUAUAUAUAAGGCAUAAUAACAAAUCUAGCCCUCAACUUUUACACAUUUAUUCAAUUUGACCCAUACUAUUUUAUUGGAAGUAAAUUAAAAAAAUUUUAAACUAAUAAGGCUAAAGGGUCAAAAAGCCUUAGUAUCAAAUUAAAAAAAUCAAUUAAUCCCUCUUAAAAUAUUAACAUUAUUAAAAAAUCAUGUAAAUUAUAAAAAAAUUAUAUAUACAUAUAGAUUUUAAAAUUAUAUAAUAUUUAUUAAAAAUAAUAGUACCGAGCCAUUAAAAUCUAAUAGUUACAAGAUUUAAAAAAAAUUUAACCCUACUCUUUUAUUAGAUCAAUAUUAUUAUUUUUAAUAAAAAAUUAUAAUUUUAAAAUAUAUAAAUUUUUUAUAAAUUUUGUUUAUAAUUUUUUAUGAUGUUUUAAUAAUUUUUAAAUUUUAAAAGGGCUUAAUUGAUUUUUUUAAUUUGUUACUAAGGCCUUUUUAUAACACCCCUAACCCGUAUCCGUCGUCGGAAUAAGGUUGCGAGGUAAUACCGAACAAUACACAUCAUUCACAUACAUAAUAUAAACAUUUAUGCAUUCAUAUAUAAAAUUCCUUCAAAUCAUUCACGUUGUCCCUUAUAAGACUUUACGAGACCUUAAAACAUGCUUAGAAGUGGUUCAGGACUAACUGAUAACAUUUGCAAAGUUUGAGAAACUUAGGAAAAUUUUCAACAUUAAAGGGUCACACACCCGUGUUAACAGGCCGUGUGCCUCACACGGCUACCAGACACGCCCGUGUUACAUGCUGUGUUAUUAUAACAUCCUGAAAUAGGGCUUAGUCAAAAUAGUGGUUUCGGGACCACAAAUCUGACAUAAAAAUAUUAAUUUUAUGAUUAUUAUGAGGCCUAGAAUAUGAAUAUAUGCAUGUGUUAAAGUUUCAUGAAGAAAAUCUAAGUAUAAAAUGUCCAAUUGGAAAUUAGGGACUAUAUUGAAUAAAUUGCAAAACUUGAUUUCUAGAAGCAAUUCAUAUGAAAUAUCUUUAGAUUAUGAAUUAGAAGGUCUUGGAGAGCAAUUUACCCAAAUUCUAAAUUUUUGGACAAAAAAGGGCUUGCAUGGUUAAAAUUUUAAAGAAAUGGCAUGAAGGCAUUUUGGUCAUUUGGCUUUUUAAUGAAAUAAAAUGAGAAAAAUCAAGCCAAAAUCAGCCAUUUUCUUCCCCAUAGCUGCUAAAAUUCUCUUGUCACCAUAGCUAGGGUUUCAAUGUAACACCCCAAUCCCGUAUUCGUCGCCGGAAUAGAUAAAGGGGCAUUACCAGUCUUGAAACUCAUAUCAGAACAGUAAAAUUUUUUUUUUUUGAACAUUCCUUUAGAUAAGUACUAGAGACAGUCAGGGAUACAAUUUAAACUUCUAUAAGUACACAUUCAAAAGAUGCCAUUUUCGCAUGGGUUAUAUACAUUAACCAAAAUAUCCUCUCACUACUAGUCUAUUCUAUACAUGCCAUAAGAUAAUCCAAAACGUAGCGGUACCAAACAAUGGAUAGUGAUAGUGUGACUAGUUGCUGAUGAUCCCCGAGCCUGUAGCUUCGUAAUGAGAUCUAUAAAAUAGAGAAAACAAAGUAAACGGAGUAAGCAUUACAAUGCUUAGUAAGUUUUAAGCAGUGACAACAGAUAACAAUCAAAUUAUAACAUAGUUGUUCAUAUUUUUAUUUCACUCUUCCUUCGGGCAUACCAUCCCUUUACCGAAUAUGCACAUCUCAUCAUAUACAAUAGGCAGAUAAACUUUCACAUAAAAGUGAGCUCAUGUGACAUAGAUAUAUUGUAUGAUUUCACAUAUCCUCUCACACUGAUCCGAAGUCACAUAAUCAUAGGAAUAGUCUCAUAGAUUGCUCUCAUAUGCAUCACAUAACUACCUUAUGAUUUAGUUCAAAUCAAGCUCACAUAUAAACUUGGAGUACAUACCUGUUUAACCUUUCGCGUUGAAUAUGUUUAUAUGCAAUUCUUAUUACGGAGUCUUAUAGCUCUAACCUCUACUCGGAUUAUCGGCGAGACCUUUAGCUCAGACGAAAUCUCCACAUGAAGUUAUCGGGUCUUACCCGGACAAAAUCUCCACACGUAGUCAUCGGGUCUUACCCGGAUAAAAUCUCCACACGUAGUCAUCGGGUCUUACCCGGAAUAUAUUUCCAAGUUUCAUGUACAUUUAAUCACAUGUUACAACAUUCACAUCGACUGUCAUAUUUGUAAUUCAUUUGCCUCAUCCAAAAAUCUAAUAAUACACACCUUUCACCGUUUGUCAUUUGGCCACAAUAUAUAUAUACACAUCUCGUACAUAUCUCACAUUAGCCAUUUGGCUUUACCACAUAUCCAUCUCAUACACGUUUUGCAUUAGCCAUUCGGCCUUACCACAUAUAUUCAUGUUCACAUUCAUCACAUUGGCCAUUCGGCCUUAUCUCAUAUAUGCAUGUUCACAUUCAUCACAUUGUCCAUUCGGCCUUAUCACACAUACGCAUGUUCACAUUCAUCACAUUGGCCAUUCGGCCUUAUCACACAUACGCAUGUUCACAUUCAUCACAUUGGCCAUUCGGCCUUAUCACACAUAUAUAUACGGGUUCACAUUCAUCACAUUGGCCAUUCGGCCUUAUCACACAUACGCAUGUUCACAUCCAUCACAUAAAAUCCUAAAUCAAAAUAUAAAUUUUCAUGUAUUCACAUCACAAUUAUCCAAAUAUACUUCACAUACCACAUAUACUUUCACGUAUACACACUGUCUUGGCUGAAUCUACAUCUAUCAUUUUCCAAUAUCACAAUUUAGAAUUCACGUAUGGGUUUAAUCAAUAGCUUAUGAGCAACUAAAACAAGUUUAUCAAGGUUUACAACAUAAUCUCAAAUUCAGCACAAGCUGUUUUUCCUGAGCAAUAGUCACUAAAUUAUUUAUAACUGGAGCUACAAAACUCCAAAUCACUUUCUGUUAAUUUUUCCUGAAUAUAGACUCGUAUAUAUUCCAUCCAUAAAAUUUCAAGAAUUUUAGGUUUGGCCAAUCAAUACCAGAUUUUUCUUAAAGUUUCCCCUGUUUCACUGUUUGACUAAUCUGACCACUCUUCACUAUGAAUCAAAUUUCUCAUUUUACAGAAUUCAAAAUGUGUUUUAUUUGAUUUCAUUUGAAACUAGACUCAUUAAGGAGUCUAAGCAUAUAAAUUUUAUCUUAUAACCAUUUUUGUACAAUUUAUAAUGAUUUUCUUAAAACCGAAUAGGGGAUUUAGGAGUCAUUCUGACACCGUCUCACACAACUUUAAAUAUCUCUUUAUAGGAAAUUUCUUUGCUCACAAGGUCUCUUUUAUAAGAAACUAGACUAAUUAAGCCUUGAUUACAUAUUUUAUGCAACCUAUAAUUCCACACCAACAAUUUAUAGUGAUUUUCUAAAAUCACGUUACUGCUGCUGUCCAAAGCAAAUUAUUACAAUUUGCUCUUAAAUUUCCAAGUCCAAACACUUAUGAACUUACCAUUUGAGUUUAAGACAUAUCAUGGCCACAUCAUAUCUUAUUAAAUCAACUCAUUAUGUCCUAUUAUGAUUGAAUUUACUCAACGUUUAAUCACUUAAAACUUACCUCGGAUGUUGUCGAACGAUUUCGGCGGCUAUUCGAUCACUUUUUCCUUUCCUUUAUCCAACUUUGGUCCUCUAAGCUCUUGAGCUAAUUCAAACAAAUUUAACUUAUUAAAGUCUCAUUAUGCUAGCUUAUGGCCUAAUGUACAACAUCAAUCUAUGCAUUCAUUCGUGUGGCCGAACAUGCAUGUCUAUGUUGAGGCCGAUUGCAUACUUAAUACAUUCUACAAGUAUGGUCACUUGUAUUGACCAAAUACCAUUUUGUUUCAAGUUCAAAACUUGGCUAAUACACAUAUAUGCACUAUUAAAACAUCCUCUCCAUUCCAUCAAUUCAACACAUGCAUUACUCAUUAAUAUACAAAAUUAUAUUCGGCCUUAGCACACCUCUUGCUGGCUGAAUUUUUUCUCCAUCUAGCAACAUUUUAUGUACUAUGCCGAACCAAAAAGAUCAAACGCCUAGCUUAAUCAUUUCCAAAACACUUAACCAGCCUUUGACCAAGACUUUAAACAAAGUCUAUGUUCGGCUAUCACACAUAUGGGCAUUAUUAGUUCAAAGUUUUAACAAGAUUAAUUUCUUUGAUCUUAACCUAAAUGACAACCCCCAUUGUUCAUCUAGAUUUAGCAUGAAACAAAUACCAACCAAGAAAACAACACCCAUGGCCGAGUAUCAUCUUCAUCACAUAGCAAGAUUUAAACCAUAGGCUAGGUAGAACUCAAACUAACAUCAAAAAUAUGCAUGAAUCUCAUGGAACAACAUCAAACUUACCUUAACCUAGCUACAAGCAUGGCCGAAUCUCUUCAACAUUUCCUCCUCCUAAACACCAACCAACCGAACAUGAAGCAAGAACUCCUUCCUUCUUCCUUAGAAUUUUCAGCCAAAAGAAAUGAAAGAGGAUGAACAAAUUUUUUUUUCUUUUCUUCACUCACGGCAAUGGGGGGGGGGACAAUCACACACAUCCUUUCUUUUCUUUUUUUUUGUUUCUCAUCCUACUAACACUAAUAUUUUAUUGCCCAUGCCCUUUAUUUUAUUAAUCCUUACAUAAUGCACUACCCCAACAUGUUUAUGACAUGUUUUUAGCCAUAACAUCUUGUCCACCCAUGCUCAUGGCCGGCCACUACAUAUUAGGGAGAAAAUUGACAUGCAAGUCCUCCCUUUCGAUUACAUGCACUAUUAGGUCAUUGUAGAUUAGCCUAUCACAUUUCAAAAAUGUCACCCAUAAGUCUUUUUGACUAAAUUCACAUGCAAUUUACUAAAUCGAAGCCUAAAGCUUUCACACAUUCAUAUUCACAUAUUUUAGACAAUAAUUAUCAUAUUCAAAUAAUUUGGUGACUCAGUUUAGCGGUCCCGAAACCGCUUUCCGACUAGGGUCACUUUAGGGGUGUCACAUUCAAGCUUUCCAAACUCAAUAGUAAGUGCUCCCAAGCCCCGUUUUUAAUGUUCUUUGUAUUUUUGAAAUCUUGGUAGCUUGCUCUCUCCAUUUCUACCCAAAUUUCAUGCUAGGGUUCAUGUUUAAAAAUUUACCCAUGCAUGAUUUUCUUGUAUUUUGAUAGAUUAUGGAGGAAUAUGAAAUAUUAAUUUGUGUUAAACAUCUUUUCCUAGUUGAUUUUCAUGAGAAAACCUUAUAGGGACUAUUUUGCAAAAGAUAUAAAUGUGUGGUAGAAAUGAGAAAAUAAUGGAUAAUGUGGGCUACCAUAAGAAGGAAAGGUGUUCAGUUAGGCUUGGGUAAGAUAAAAAGUGCAUGUGUUUCAUUAUACGAGCCUAGGGAUUAAAUCGUAAAAAUGUGAAGGGUUAGGGGCAAAACGGUCAUUUGGACCGAAGGUAGAUAUUAAACUUGAAAUGUAUAAUGUGGAGUAUUAAUGAGUUAAUUUUGCUGUUAUAGACCCCGAGGAACAAAUUUCGGAGGUCGACCGUGGUAAACGUAAGGUUUCGGAAUAACCGAAACAUAUCUCUGAAACGAAUACCAGGUAAGUUCGAAUAACUUAAAGUAAACCCCUAAUAUGCAUUAUUGAAUGAUUUAUGAAUACAUGAUGAUUGCAUUUAUUAUUAGUAAGAAAUAUCAUGGAAAUGCAUAUUUGAUGGUAACAUGUGAAAAAUGUCUCGGAUGAGGUUGACAAAGGGAAUUCGAUGGAUAAACCCUCAUUGAUAUGUGUAAAGAGAUCCUACAUGUGUUGCAGUAAGGAUUUAGCCCGGACGGGUAAUCCGUGAUCUCAAGUAUGGAAAGGAUCUAGCCCGGACGGGUGUUCCUUGAAUGAUCGAGCCUCCCAAAGAAUAUAUGUGCAUUGAGGAUUUAGCUCGGACGGGUAAUCCUAUUAGGGUCUGAAUUUAGCCUGGACUGGUAAUUCAGAUCCGAGCUCAUUAAGGGUGUUUGUGACUAUAAAGGAUUUAGCCUGGACUGGUAAUCUCGACAUCACCUUAUGAGUUUAUGAUAUGGGGGAUUCAGCCUGGACUGAUAAUCCUACCCUGAGAUGUGAGGUUCGCGGGAGUGCAUAUAUGUGAAAUAAUCAUUCGUAAGAAUUGACGGAUAAUGGGUAUUCCAUCGAGAUUUCCUAGAAACUCAACAGGAUUAAUAUGACAUACGUCAAUAAGAUGAUGAAUGAUGAGCUCAUCUACAUAAAUUACAUGAUACUUUGUUAUGUGAUUAACUCAUUGAUUGAGUGCAUGUGAUAGGAAAUCAUUUCAUAAUUGAUGAUUUCAUGAUUUAAGUGUGGAUGUAUGCUAAUUACUCGGUAAGUUUACUUUCCGGUUAUUCGAGCUUACUAAGCAUGAAAAUGCUUAUCCCCUCUCUUUUCCCUAUUUUACAGAGCUCGAGGACUCAUAAGGAUUGGAAGACGGUUGGAGAAGCAACACACUAUCAACUAGUUAAGCUUUGGUAUAAAGACACUUCUAUUUUGUUAAUGGCAUGUAUAGAGCUUUCAGUAUUUUUUCAUAUGUGUCAUUUGAAUUGCCAAAUGGAGGCAUGUAAAGAUGUAUUCAUCUUUUUGUAUAAGGCCAUGGAAAUUGGCAUAAUUGAAAGUAGGCUAUGACUUGUCUUUAUAUGCAUGUUUAUGUUCUUAUAUGAUGGGUUGCUACAAUUGGCAAUGAGUUCAAAAACGAGCCAAAUUUUGAAUGUGCUACAACAACAUAAGAACCCAUAACUACUAGAUGAGAAAUAACCUUUUUGUAUGAAACCAAUGAUAUGAGGUUUUCAUACAACUAACUUCAUCAAGAUCAUUUACAAGUGUAUAAUCAUGUUUUACUUUGAAUUUGGUAUCUAUAAGAAGAAGAAGAAGUAGAAAGGGGUGACAAAAGGCUUGGAAAAUAGCCUAUUAAUAUCCAUAUGGUUAGACACACGGGCUUGUGUCUAGGCCGCGUGUGACACACUAUCUAUCCCCAUGGGCGUAUGGUAUGGUCGUGUGUCCCCUGCAUCUAAAUCUUUAAGUCAAAUUAGCACAUAGGUAUGACACACGGGUAUGUGUCUUGGCCGUGUUAAUUUAACAGAAUGCUCAAGUUUUGGACACGGGUUGAGCCCACGGGCGUGUGUCUUGGCCGUGCCUAAAAGUCAGUAUUGCCCACGGGUUAGAGGCAUAGACGUGCCCUAGGCAACACAGGCGUGGGUGACUACACGGCCCAUCAUACACGGGUGUGUGACACUUCUAAGUAAGGAAAUUUUCUAAAGUUAUUAAAUGUUCCCGGUCCUAUCCCGAACUAUCUCUAUGUAUAUUUAGGGCCUUAAAGUCUCAUUUAAUGGAAAAGAUGUGAAUGCCUAAAAGUUUCAAAUCUGAGCUAAACCUGGAAAGUCGAUUCAGUAUAUUUUAAAUGUAAAUUUCCGGUAAUACCUCGAACCUUAUCCUGAUAACGGAUACGGGUAAGGGGUGUUACAGUGAUAAUAGGGCAUACAUACUGACUUCUACCACAUAGCCGAGGACACGCUCGUGUGCCAUAGCCAUGGGAAAACUGGAGGGGUUACUGACUUGGGUCACAUGGCCGACCACACGCCCAUGUUCCAGCCCGUGUGCCACACAUGACUAGUAGACACGCCCGUGUGUCUAGGCCGUACCAAACUUGUAGGGUAUACUGACUUUAAUUCGAAAGGUUACCUCAGGGGACACACGAUCGUGUAGCAUGAUCAUGUGUCACACACGGCUAAGAUACACGCCCGUGUCUCUGCCCGUGUGGACAAAAAUAGGCCAUUUGUAAAGCCAAUUUGCCACCCUUCUUUUAUGCACACAAAGCAACCCAUAUAGUACCAUUUUGAUGCAUAUUUUAGCAACCAAAACAUGCUAUUCCAUUCACAUAUCAUGCCAUCUAUCCUCAACCAUUUCAACUACUUAAUUCCAUAUUCAAACAUAUGAAAUCAUUAAGCCAAAAUCAUCACAACUUACAUAGCUACUAAAUGCAUUUACUCAUCAAAUUAUCAUCUAUAUCAUGACACAAAUUGCACCAUAUCGUCAUCUCAAAAUCAAACCACAAUAUGCCAAUCUUCCAAGCAUUAAUACACCAACUUACAACUAUCCAAAAUAACCAACACAUAACCACACCAAACAAGUCAACAUAUAAGGCAUUAUAUACAUCAAUAAAUAUUACUAACCAAACACAAUUCAAGCCAACUUAAAUUGCCAUACAUACCAACAUUUACAAGGCAAAUCUCAUGGCUAAUACUAUAACUCAAUACAUACAAAUAUGACAUUAGCCUAUACAUGCCAUAUACCAUAUAUACAAAGCUCCCAAAAGUACCAACGAGAUGAUCGAUAGUUUGAUGAUGUUUCCUGACGAUCCCCGAGUCCGAGAUAGCUUCGAUAAUCUAUAAAAUAGGGAAAGAACACAAAAAGUAAGCUUUAAAAGCUUAGUAAGCCAUAGACAAAUAAAGUCAUCAAAUGAAUAUUUGCAUAUCAAUUCAAAUAUACUAAACAUAACUAAUCACUUUCAAAUUCACAAACCUUUCUCAUUCAGCAUGUAUAUUCAAUGUCUUAAUCAAUUCAUCACAUACUUCCCCUUUUCAAUCCUCGUGUGAAUUCCAUACAUACCUGAGCCACUUGGCUCAUUCACAUAUUCUUUCUCGACUUGACUUUUCCCGUUGAACCGUUCGGAAUCAUUAAGGAUACUCGAAAAUCACAUAAACUCGUACAAUGCCAUAUCCUAGAUAUGGUCUUACAUGUUAUCACAUAUCGAUGCCACUGUCCCAGACAAGGUCUUACACGUAUUGAUUAACGAUGCCAAUGUCCCAGACAUGGUCUUACACAUAAUCACAAUACAAUGCCAAUGUCCCAGACAUGGUCUUACAUGUAAUCACAUCUCGAUAACCUAAUGUCAUGACAUUCGUAUCCUAUACUAUUCCUAAGGUUCGUACAGGAAUUCUGGAUGUUGUAACUUUGUCAAUUCUUGCUCGUAACUACUCGUUCAACAUUUAUAACAAUUCAAUGACAAACAAACACAUAUAAUUCAUUUUAAAGACAUUUAUUUGCAUAUGAACUUACCUCGUAGUCAGAAUAGAGGAACCGGAUCAACUAUUCGAUAACUUUCGAUUUCCCUCGAUCUAAAUCCGAUUUCUUUCAUUCUUGAUCUAUAUAUAUUCAAAAUUAAUCCACUUAAUCACCAACUCAAUCCACAAACACAUAUUUAAGCCAAUUUGCAAUUUGGCCCUAAACUUUUACAUUUCCUACAAUUUAGUCCCUAUUUAAUAAAAUUACAAAUUCAUGAAAUUUAAGAACAAUCCAUGCUAGCCGAAUUCUCUAUAGGUCCCUAACAGCCCAUAUUUCACAUUUAUUUCACAUUUUAACCCUUCAAUUUACACUUUUCACAAUUUAAUCCCUAUUUGACAUUUUUGUCAAAAAUCAUUUAACAAAACUUUAAUAUCUAUCAUCAAGCUUUUAAAAUUCAUCAACAAUCAUUCAAAAGCUCAAGCAUUCAUCAAUAGCAACUCACAAAAUUAUCAAAAAUUUUGAAAAUUAAGACAGGCUAGCUAGAACACGAAGCAAUGAUCACAAAAACAUAAAAAUCAUUUAAAAUCGAGUCAAAAUGAACUUACAAUUAAUUUUCCAAAUUACCAAACCCUAAAACACAUCCAUGGCUUUUCUUUUCUUUGUAUUUUCAGUGGAAUAAAGAAAAGAUGAUAAUACAUUAUGAUUUAUUUUAUUUUACUUAAGUUAUAUAUAAAUUACUAAAUUAACCUUUGUAAUAACCUUUUAAUAUCACUUAAAUAAGUGUCCAUAAAUGUCCACUAAGAUAUUUAAGGGUAUAAUUAUCACAUAAGGAUCUCACAUUUAAUAAGCCAUAGCAAUUAGACUCUUUUAUCAAAUAGAAUGGAACUUUUGCAUUUUACGCUAUUUAGUCCUUUUGUUUCUCAAAUUGAGCUAUUAAAUGAUAAAAUUAGAAAACGAAACUUUCACACAUACAUAUUUACAUAUUGUAAACAUAUAAAAUAACAUUAAAAUAAUUUUACGAGCUCAGAUCUGUGGUUCCAAAAUCAUUGUUCCGAUUUAGCUAAAACCAGGUUGUUACACUUUUUGACAAUGUAGCCUGAUUAGUUUCAAAUUUUCUAAUUUACUUUCAAUAAGAAAGUAGGGGUCAAAUUGAAUAAAUAUGUAAAAUUUGAGAGUUAAAUUUGUUAUUAUACCUUAUAUAAAAACACACAAAAAAAUUUACCGACGCAAUUGUAAAGAGGCUUUGUUUUGCUCACUCAUCUAAUCUAUAUGAGUUAACUUGUCCAUUUUUCAAUAGAAAUACUAAAAUAUAUUCUAAAAUAUAAUAUAGAGAUUUUGUUACUUUUACCCUAUUUUAUCUUCUAAAUUGAUUUUAAAAAUAUAGUAUAAGUGAUCGAAACUUGCUUUAAGUUUAUAUUUGGGCUAGAGAAUUAACAAUAAUAUACUUAGUUAAGGUUUUUUACUUUUUUAAACUCAUAUUUUCUUUAAAUGAAAACUCGUUAAUACUUUAAUGGGUAAACUACAACUAUAGUCACUCUAAAAUAGGGUUUAUCAUAUUUUGGUCAUUCUAAUUUGUUUCCUCAAUUUAGUCACUAUAAUUAAGAUAAUUGUUUCAAUCAAUCAUUGAGGUUAAAAUUUCCAUUAAUCCACUAACAAAUUGUUGAUGUGGCAACAAAACUGUAACAUCAAGCCCAACGGGAACGAUUGGAGGCCCCCACAUUUAAAGAGCACCACAUCAGCUUUUGGGCUUGACCCUUCUCUUAAUCAAUUCUUGAUGAUGAUUAAGAAUCAGAAGGAAUAAAGGCUCCGCGAAAAUUGAAAGGCCCAAAUACUCCCAAGAGGACAUAAAUAGAAUGAAAAGGGGAGUUGACCUAGCCCUUACCAUCUUUUAGGGAUUUAAAUACCUUAUUUUCAAAACAUAAAGGGGAGAGUCGACUGGUACAAAAGAGAACACCCGGUUUCAAAAGAAGAGAAGUUUGAAAAAAAGAAGAUAAGAAGAGGAAGAAAGAGAAGAACUAAUUGAGGAGAACUGCCUUAUUUGGCUUGAAAUCUCUUCGCUUUUUCUCUUUUAAUGCGUUAUUGAUAGCACCAAAAAUAUCCUAUUCCCUGUAAAAUAAUGAAAAAGAAAUAUUAAAGGGGAAGUAGGGUUGAAUCCUCAAGGACUGGAUUAUACAAAUGCUUGUUUCUCGAAAUCCUGGGCAGAAUCGUGCCCAAGAAAACCUGCGUUCCUGGAAAAAAAACAGAAUUUAAGAAUUAAUUUUGGAAGUGAAAAAUAAAAUAAAAAUAGAAUUUAAAGUUUACUGAAAUUAUGAUUACGAAAAUAAUAAAAAUAAUAAAGAGAGUUUUAAGAGAAAAGAAAUUCUUAUGGGAAAGUUCUAGCCUCCGGUUGUCUUAUUCUGCCUUGGGCUCAAUCCUUGGCUUUUGGAUGAUCCUUCUCGACUCAAGUAAGCCAGUUAUAGUGGAAUAGGACGCCUACGACCACCAGCUCCAAAGAUUAUUAGACUUACGAUUUUUAGGGAACCUGACUCUAGCCAGUAAUCUAUGCUAGAUCAACGCUUCUCAAUGGCGAAUCCCACGCCAUUUUGUCUCUUUGGCUCGCCAACCUCUGACGCAGUAAGUUAACGAACGGCCGCCUUUGCAUAUGCUAAAAAGCUUACUUCUUAAGGGCCAUGGACGGAAGCGUCAGCCCGUAGUGCGGAGAAACGAUGAAUACUUGGCGAGAAGGCUAAGUACGGAUUCUAGGCCUCAAGAACCCUUUUUGGGGAAAUAUUGACAACUUUUGGCUAGAAGGGUUUUAGUGGCUCAUGAUAAUGGUGGAAAAGAAAAGAAAAUUAUGGAAAAAGAAAUUUUAUUAAAAGAAAAAAAUAUGGAAAGAACAAAAGACUUUUAGGGGGAGAGUGUUUACAGAAAAGAUCCACUAAAUAGAGUCACUUCACCCCCUAUUUAUAGUGCUAGGGAGAUAGUCUAAUUUAACUUAAAUUCUAAAAAGAUAAAUAUAUUUAAUUAAAGAUAAAUAAAGAUAAUUAAAAUAAAAUCCUAAAAUUUAAAUAAUCCUAAUAUUUAUCUUUAAUAUUAAUUAUCCUAAUAUAAAUAAAAUAAAAUAAAAUAAAAUAGAGUCUUCCAAAAUAAAAUCUCUUCUAUUUGCUUUUAAGUCCUUGUGCCUUCCAUGUUCGUACUUUUGGCACCAUAUUUGUCCCACGUUGCAUAUUGGCCCAUUUAAUCUCCAAAUUGACGUUUUUUUCCCUUGAAUUUACUUUUUGCCUCCAAUUUAGUCCCUAAAAGAUAAAAAGACAUAAAUAGCUCAAAUUAGUAGGCUCAAGCUCAAAAUAAACACAUGAUUAAUAUAUAAAAACACGUCAUUUUAGAGUAUUAUCAUAUUUACAUUUUAUUUCUUUUCUUUUUGUUAUCUUGAACCAUGGCUGAGUUUUUCUUAAUUAUUUUUAAUUUGGUGAUUAUGGGCUAAACUUUUAUUAGCUAGAAUAAUUAUGAAACCUUAAGAUGAGAUUAUUGGUACCAGGGGCGAAACAUCACGGGGGCUAGAAGGUGCCUUAGGCCCUACUAACCUUUUUUUGCAAAUGUUAAAGGCUAUUUAAAAACUUUGUAGAAAAGAUUAAAUAAUUUUAGAUUUCCCCCCAACAACUUAAAAAAAUUAUUAUAAAAAGAGUGUAACGCCUCAAAAUUUGAGUUUUGAUGUUGAGUUGUGUCAAUGAAUAUGUGUCUGCCUCUGUGUGUUUUGUUUGCUUAUUUUUGAUUUGAGGUUAGAGUUACGUUAAUUUUGGAAUUUUUAAUUUCUUUAUUUGAACCUUAGCCUAGGUUCCUUCCUUAAGCUUAACUCUAUACUCUUUUGUGUCAAGAACGAGCCUGUUGGUUUACUAGUUAAGCAUUUGCCUAUUAUCUGGUCUCGUGUUCAAGUCUUUGCGUAAGCGAAGCAGUGAUAUGUUUUUGGUUACUUUACGGGAUUAGUUAAAUGAGUUUUGAAAUAAUCUUCUUUAUUUUCUUUAUUUUUUCAGUAACGUAACUUUCUGAUAUACUCGUCGCGAUAAGUUUUAAAAAUUUAUAAUUGACCAUUCUUGAAACUAACUAUUAUCAUGAUGAAGGCAAGUGUACCUAUCGAACAGUAGUAUAGCUUUAGCAAGACCGGAUUGUCGAACCCAAAGAAACCAAGAGUACUAGUAAUUACUUUCUUUUUAUUAUCUAGCCUAAAAAUUAAAGGAUUUGUUUAUCUAAACUAAUUAACUAAACUAAUGGCGCACAGAGAGAAAAUUGGGGGAAAAGCUUUUGGGAAAACUGGAUUGAUUAAGAGAAUACCCAAGGAAAAAUCCACCUAGACUUGUUAUUUGACUCUGAAUCAAGUGAUUUAUUCAUUUGACUUGAUCCGUAGAAAUCCCUAAGUUAUAUUAUUAUCUCUCUCGAGACUAAUAACGUCAAACCCUAGGUUGAUUAAUUGAAAUCUCUUUCUAAUUAACACCCUAUUGUUGCAUUAACUCGAUCUAUAGACUCCCUUAUUAGGUUUCACCCUAAUCCGGCAAAAUCUUGUCACCUUAUCUCUAGGCGUGUAAUCAAAUCUGCUUAAUUACAACAAAUUUACUCUUAUACAGGGACUUUUGCUCCUUUGAAUAAGCGCAUUAACUUGAAUCAAUAUCCUGGAAUAUUAAAACAAGAAUUAAGAACACAUAAUUAAGAACAAGUCAAAUAUUUAUCAUAUAAUUCAAAUAAUAAUAACAAGAUCCGUCUUAGAUUUCAUUCCCUUUAGGUAUCUUGGGGGUUUAGUUCAUAAUUAUGAAAGAAAACAUCUCAAAAGAAGAAAGAUAACAAAACAUAAAGAAAACCCAAAACUCCUGAAGGAAAUUGAAGGGAGAUCUUCAGUCUUGAUGAUGAAUUCGGCUUCUGAGAUGGAUCAAUCGGCUUUCCUUGAGUAAUUCCUUGCCUCCUACUCUGUUUCUCCCUUCUAAGUUCCUCCUCCGGUGUUUAAAUAGGCUUUAGAAUGCCUAAAAGCCCUCAAGAGUGGCCUUUUUUGAAUAGAACUAAACUUGGGCUCGACAGGGACACGCUCGUCUAACACGCCCAUGUGCGAUUUCUUUAAUCCAUGUUCAAGGCUAUUACAUAGGCACGGGCAUGUGGUCUAUCCAUGUAAGUCAUGCUUCGAUUCUGCCAAAUGGACACGGUCGUGUGGCUUACUCAUGUGAGGAAGUCCAGGUCGUGUUGAUUUUCCAUGUUGGUCCAUUUUCUCCAUUUUUGGCCCAUUUCUCGCUCUUUUUACCCUCAUAUGCUCACCUAAGUAUAAAACAUGAAAUUAAAGAAUUAGGAGCAUCGAAUUCACCAAAUCUAAGGAGAAAUCAUCCAUAAAUGUGCUAAGCAUGGGAUAAAAAUAUGUAUAAAUUACGGUUUAUCACUUUCCCUCUCCUUUUCUUUUUUACUUUCAUUUGAUAUUCUUUUUCUCAAAUUUUAGUCACUUAAUUCCCAAAUUCUACUAGUUAAUUUUGUUGUGCUUAUCGUAAGAGUUCUGUUCUCUGUUGUUCUUUCACUGGAAGUCAAUUCGAUAAGUUGGUGUUAAAAUUCUGUUAGCAUUCUUUGUCAUUUAUUGUCGUCGUUUUUUUUAUCAAAGUUGGUUUCCUAAAUGUAUUGCUCAAUUUCUUUGUCUAAACAUUCAAUUGGUGUUCGCUGGGAGAAGGUUCCGAGGAAACCUAUUCCUCAAACGUCUUAGGCUCGUGAAUUUGUUCUAUCGUGCGAAGGUAACAGUUGUUUUGAGUUUAGGAUUUAUGUUGAGGUUUUUGACAUGUUUGGUUGACUGUUUAAUUAGUUUUGUAAGUUCUAUUAAGUUCUGUAACUAGACAAUUGUUGACUGUUUUUAGGUUCUAGAGUGUUUCUGUUGCUUCUACUUUUAAUCUUCUUCAAGUGGGUACCAAAACCCUUCUUUUUUUGCCUUUUUCCUUCUCCAAAAUCAGGAUUAUCGAUGAUCUGAGAUUUUUUGGAUGAUUUUCUCGAUGAAUUGUCAAGAGUACCAUCGAACCAGAAGGUUGAGUUCAGUAUUGAUUUGAUACCGGGGACAAUUCCGGUGUCGACUGCACCCUAUCGUAUAGCACCAAAAGAGCUGGCUGAGCUGAAAGCCCAAGUUCAGGAGCUUCUUGACCGAGGGUUUAUUAGGCCGAGUGUGUCUCUGUGGGGAGAACCGGUGCUGUUUAUCAAAAAGAAAGACGGUACAAUGAGAAUGUGUAUUGAUUAUCGUCAGCUGAAUAAGUUAACAAUAAAAAACAAGUAUCUGCUUUCGAGAAUCGUCGAUUUUCUUGAUCAGUUUCGUGAAGUUUUUGUGUUUUCCAAGAUCAAUCUUUUUUUAGGAUACCACUAGUUUAAAGUUAAGGAGACAGAUGUGUUCAAAACUGCCUUAAGCACUCGUUACGAACAUUACGAGUUCCUGGUUAUGCCUUUUGGGUUAACUAAUACCCCAAUUGCAUUUAUAAACUUAAUGAAUUGGGUAUUUCAAUCGUAUUUGGAUCGAUCUAUAGUUUUUUUCAUUAACGAUAUUAUGAUAUACUAAAAGAUUGAAGUUGAACAUGAUAAGCAUCUUCGCAUCGUACUUUAAACUCUUUGUGAGAAGCAACUUUAUGCUAAGUUUAGUAAGUGUGAAUUUUGGUUGUCUGAUGUUGUAAUUCUAGGGCAUGUUGUGACGGACGAUGGAAUCUGGGUCGAUUCCAAGAAAGUUGAGGCUGUAGUCGAGUAGAAACAACCGAAGAAUAGAUCUAAACUUUAGAGAUUCCUCAGGUUAGUGAGUUACUACCGGCGGUUCGUCGAAGUAUUUUCUCUGAUAGCAUCUCCCUCGACUAAGUUACUGUAAAAGAAUACUCCGUUUAAGUGGCCUAAGGAACACCAGUCGAGCUUUGGAAAACUCAAGUCUAUUUUAACUCAAGCUCUUGUUCUGGUCCAGCCCGAGCCAGGUAAGGAGUUCGUGGUUUAUAGUGAUAUGUCGUACGUCAAUUUAGGAUGUGUAUUGAUGCAAUAUGGUAAGGUGGUAGCGUAUGCCUCUCAACAGCUUAAGACAAAUGAAUGAAAAUUACCCUAAUUAUGAUCUUGAACUGGCUACGGUUGUGUUCGCUCUAAAGAUAUGAAGAUACUAUCUGUACGGUGAAAGGUGUAUCAUCUACACCGAUCACAAGAGUCUCAAGUAUCUAUUAACUCAGAAGGAGUUGAAUCCCAGACAGCGUAGAUGGGUGAAGCUGCUUAAGAACUACGACUGCACUAUCGAAUAUCAUCCUGAUAAGGCCAAUGUGGUAGCUGACACCCUUAACCAUCGAGCGAUGUCUGAUCUCACUCGAUUGAGUUUGUUUGAUAACGAGAGUUUAUUGACCCAACUGCAAGUCAGGCCCAUUCGGGUUGAGCAGAUUCGAGCUAAAUAGUUCAAUGAUGAGUCAUUAAUUCAAAAUUUACGUCAACUUGAGUUUGGUGAAGCUUUCGAAUUUGGUUUGAACAGUGGCGAGGUUUUGUGUUUUAGAAGUCGGGUUUGUGUGCCUAAGGACCGUGAGUUGCAACAGUCGAUCCUAAAGGAAGCGCAUUGCAGUCCUUACGCUAUGUAUCUUGGUGGAAAUAAAAUGUAUCGUGAUCUUCGAGAACUGUACUGGUGGCUGGGGUUAAAAUUGGAAGUGACUACCUUCAUUUCUCACUAUCUAACGUAUCAGAAAGUGAAGGCUGAACAUCAAUUACCUUUGGGGUUGCUUCUGGCCAUCAAGAUUCCCCAAUGGAAGUGGAAACGUGUAACAAUGGACUUCGUUAGUGGAUUACCCCUUAUGCUCAUUUUCUACCAAUCAAGACCGAUUAUUUACUACAGAGGUUAGCAAAGCUACACGUGUCUGAGAUUGUGAGGUCACACAGACUUUUGAUUUUGAUUAAUUAGGAUAAGGAUCUGCAUUUCACCUCUUGAUUCUAGAAAAAAUUGUACGAGGCAUUAGGUACACGAUUGGGUUUCAGUAAUAUGUAUCACCCUCAGUCUGACGAACAAUCUGAGCCAGUUAUUCAGAUAUUAUAGGAUAUUCUGCGGAGUUGUGUGAUUGACUUCGGGGGCAGUUGGGAGUAUCACCUACCAUUAGCUGAAUUUACGUAUAACAACAACUACUAGUCUAGCAUUUAGAUGGCACCUUACGAGGCCCUGUAUGGCCAUAAGUGUUGUAUUCUCUUUUGUUGGACCGAGUUGAGUGAUC
rnacentral:lncRNA from 1 species